rnacentral:lncRNA from 1 species
GGCGAUGUGCUGUUUGAGGAGCGUGAAUCCAGGGGCACAAUACGCGGCAAGAUCCCAUCCUAGCAUCCUUCCGUGCUGGAAGAUGAUGGCUGGUAGUGGAUCGGGUGGAUAUAUAUUUUUUGUCGCUAGAGGAUCGAGUGGAUCUUAGCCUGAUAAGCUCGGCGCCUAGAUAUCAUACUCUUUUUUUUUGCAAAAAACCGUGAUACUGUACUCUGCUUGCAUAUGAAUAUGACUACACUUUAUCAAAAAAAAAUCAAUGAGCUUGACUUGGCUGUAAUUUGUGUUUGUUUAAUUUUUAAUUUAAUGAUAUGAGCAGAAAUCUUAAAAAAUGUAUUUGUUUCAAAUGUUAACAAACAAAAAAUAAUAGGUAUUGAACGUCAAAAUAAAAUAAAAAUAGUAGGUAUUGGUCUAGACUAUAAUUAGUGGGCUAAAGAUUUCUAAUGAAAUUGAUGGGGCAAAAUAUUAAUUGGGCCACAACUACAACGAGUGGGCUAAGAUUUUAGCUGGGCUGAUGAUCACAUGGGCCGGAACUAAAAGAAUGGGCUAGAAUCCUAUAUGGGCUGACUACCAGAUGGGCCGCCAUGUCGGAUGAUGACGUGGCAUGCACGUUAACGUCCUUAUUAGCACGUCUGUUAAGUGCCAUCUGUGACGGUCAAGAGCCGUCAUGGAUCCAUGACGGUAUUGGAAGAUCCGUCACCGAGCGCAUGGUGGUCAAAUUAUGACGCGAUAUACAUGACAGAUUUUAAAUCCGUCACGCAUGGCCAUCCAUGAUGGUUUUGUGCCCGUCCACGACAGUUGGAAUCCGUCAUGUAUUAACAGAUUUCUUGUAGUGUUCCUCCGUCUGGAAAUACUUGUCCGGGGAAUGGAUGACUCUAGAUGUAUUUUAAUUCUAGAUACAUCCAUUUAUAUUCAUUUCUUGGACAAAUAUUUUCGGACGGAGGGAGUAUAGUAUACAGCGCAGCUUUUGAAAAUAAAUGUUUGCAAAAGUGUUGCCGAGAAGCAACUUACACGGCCCCUUUCGGACACUCUGGAUAGUCUAUACUAGUAUAUAUAAUGAAGAUGUAUCCGUGAUGCUUGUGACAUUCCCAUAUUUGUCCGGUGAUGUUUGCAUAGACUAACGUGGACAGAAUCUUCAAAUAUGGCAAAGCUAAUUAAUGCACGUGUCAUCGACUCAACCCUCUGUUGCUUAUCUGUCAUGCCUCUCUUACUAGUUUUGUUGAUUUGUGCAGCUUUGAAGAUGGAUUAAUGAAAGACGGCGGCAAUGACCUAUGAGUGCGUCGGACCGAUUUGUGCCCCAGACCCAGUAUGUGGCUUGGUCGGGGCCUCCGGCUUUAGAUGUUAGGCUAGGUAAGAAGUCUGGGUAUUCGACUCACACUUUUUGCACCCCUUUAUCAAUGGAUACGAGUAGUGACAGAUGUUGUCAAGAUGGUGGCUUCACACGUAUUGAUGUAUUACUUUGUAAGGUCUUUGUGAAUAAUUAAUAAAGUGGCUGCAUGCAUCUUUGAGAUGCCGAGGCCGGGGGUCAUCCUCCUUUUUUUAGAAAAAUAUUACCAUCCGUUCCCAAAAUUUGGCCUCUCACAAAAUGCAAGACGUAUUUAAUUUCACUAAGACAAUAUCUUUUUUAGUGACACUAAGACGAAUCUCUGGUCGCUAAUUAGUUUUUAUGGGAAUUAUUUUGUUUGUUAUCUGUUCCAUGUGACAUAAAGAAUACGGCAUUAAGUUCAUCAAAUAGAAUCAUACUUAUAAUCAAUUAUAAUACAUAUUAAGUCGUUUAACACCUCUUAUUACACCAGAUUAGACCAGAACAAUAUGUGAUUCAUUCACCGCACACGAUCGACAGAAGGUGACCGUUUGUGAUGAGCUAUAGUAAAAAACGCUUGUGUGUGACCUGAUUCACAUCGCACACGACGUAUCAUAGCCCUUCGUUGAUAUAAUGAUGCACAAAUCUUUUGCGUGUUCCCAAAAAAUUGUUGCUUACGAUGUGGCCUGUCACAUCAAACACAAUUUUAUGCAAUUGGGCAUAUGCCCACAUGGUUGCCCGUACGCAAAUGUCUCAUGUGGAUAUGGUUGAGGUUGGGUACCAGGCGACUUAAUGCACAUUCAUUUGGAGUAGGGUGAGCAAUCGAUGACACCUAGCUAGUGAGAGAGGCGGCGAUGGUGCCUAGUCGGAGCGGUGCAACUAUAGCGAAGCUUUUUGAGGGCCUACUCGAUGAGUUCUUUUAAUCUGUACCACCCCCCUCCCCUCGAAAAAAGUGAUAACCAAUACCUUCUCCGUCCUUCAAGAAGUGUACUUUCAACUUUGUUGGAAAGUCAAACCCUUUUACGUUUGACCGUCAUGUGCGCAUAGCCGCACCGCAGAGAAAGAAACUGGCUGCGAAUAUGUGGACGAGGUGGCGGCCAGCACAUCCGCGCCCGCCGCCUUCAUCGAGGAGAAAUAGAACACGGGAGGCCACCGUCGCUUGGGUCCCAGGAAGGGCAUUGCUGGUUACACAGUCGGUUCUCCUUUACCUUAGACCAUCCUGGACACCCGCCAAUGCUCCACGGAAGCACACCCUUCCGCUCUGCUUGAAGCACCCUCUUAGUCGCUCCGAUGAGCGGCACAACCCAAUAUAGAGAAGAUACGAGGGAAGAAUAUGCCUCCGGGGCUCCCGACAAUCCGGUUAGCGGACUGCCGAACAUGGAAAAGACAAGCCGCGGCCGUCCGUAGACUAGUGUAGUGUAUCCGUUUUGUAGGAGUGGAGCUCCGCGCGACCGUACAUGCACAUAGUUUUAGCUUUUUAACCGUUAUCAUCUGGUUUGUAUGAAACCCGUCAUGUUUGUAUGAAAUCCAGUCGUGUUUGCAUGAACUUAUCCGGUUUGUUGAAAAAGAGUUUGGUAUGUAUGCGGCUACGGUUGAAUGGCAUCCUCCCGCAUCCAUGACCGAACCGUAACUACCGGCGCUUCUCGACCACGCCAACUUGCCAAGUCACUGUCCUGGUCAAAGCGCACGCACUGGAUGGGCUGGUGGUCAAGCAUACAGAAAGAUUAUCCGACCAAAAUUUCUUUCUGAGAGAGAACCAGCUGGUGAAGCUGCAGGUAUAGUGAACCAAACAAACAAAAAUGCUUGCAACAAAAGGCAAGCAAGGCAACAAUCAGCACCUACACGACACUGAAUGCAGGACCGAGCGUUAGGGUAUCUCCAACGGUAAUCCGCAAAUUUUCUCCCGCAUCCAUGACCGCGGUAUUUUUGUUUGUUUGGUUCACUAUACCUGCAGCUUCACCAGCUGGCUCUCUCUCAGAAAGAAAUUUUGGUGGGAUAAUCUUUCUGUAUGCUUGACCACCGGCCCAUCCAGUGCGUGCAAUUUGACCAGGACAGUGACUUGGCAGGUUGGCAUGGUCGAGAAGCGCCGAUAGUUAUGGUUCACUGGGUUUUUACUUUUGCUCCAGUUGCCUCCACCGGACUCUACUCACGGUGGGUUGCCGGAGAGUAAAGCUACGGCGUGUUCGGCCGUGGGCUUUGACUGGCCCUUCUUUCUGUUCUGGAUGGAUGUUGUUGUUUGCAUUAUAGAGUUGGCGCCGAACAUUCUUGAACUCACAGAGCAGUGAGUUAAAAGAUAGGAGUAUCUUCAUGGGCAUGGCUGGUGUGCAGAUUAUACUAACGACGAGUCUUCUUCUUCUGGGGGCUAUAUUUCUCCUCCAUCUUGCAGUAGGCGAUCGCCACAUGAGCCGGUCCAAUAUGGGUAGCGGUUUUUGGAAGCUUCUAUGACCGGUUUGACCCGCUUUUUAUCAUUUUUCUAUCAGUUUUCUAUGUUUCUUUAAUGGUUUUAUUUUUCCUUUUUAUUUCUUCUUUCUAUUUCACAAAACAUGUUCUACUUUUUUCGUAUACAUCAGCAACAAUUUUCCUUUUUACCUUUUUAUUAGAUGUCAAGUACAAUUUUGAAUGGUAUAAAAUGUUUUUAAAUAGAAUAAUGGUUUUCUACAUUGUAUAAACAUUUUUAAAAUAUAAAAAACAUUUUAGUGAAGCACAGGAACUUUUUAAAUGUCACAAACAUUUUUCUUGAAUGCUACUAAAAGUUUUUAAAGGUCGUGCAACAUUUUUUGAACACUGCAUGACCAUUUGUUAAUGAGUUGUAAACUUUUCCAAAAAUUUAAAUACUCAUACAACAUUUUCCAUUUCAGAAAUGUAAGUAAAAGUAAUAAAAAUAAAUAGGAAGGAAAAAGAAGCGGAGGCUCCUCCUACGCUGGGCCGAACCACUAAGGUAGCGCUAGAGGUGACCGCCUCUUUCUUCUCGCUUGAAGCGAGACAAAGCGAAAGCAACUAUUUGACGAGCGCUUCUUCAAAACCCUCACAACAAUCAUUUGGGGGUGUGCUGAGAGCGCGCCACUUGGGGCACUUUUAGUCGCCGCCAUGUGUCGCGCUCUAGGCGCUCCCUCCGAUUUUUAUUUUAUUUUUCCAUACAUGUUUUCGCCUUUUUAAACGGUUUUUUCUAGGGUUUUUUUUUUGAAUUUUUAGUUUUCCACCAGUCUUCCUUAGUUUUUGGAAAAACAAUCAAAAAAUUUACACGAGAAAACACAUUUUUUUCCUUUCGAUAGAGGCACAAUUUUGCUUCCGCGAGAGGCACAGCUAUGCCUCUCGAAACGAAAAAAACAUGUUUUCUAUUAUUAUUUUUCUUUCGUGAGAGGCAAGGCCGUGCCUCUUGGAAACGAAAAAAGAAGUGUUCUCUAUUUUUUUCCUUCCGCGAGAGGUAUGGUUUGUCUUUCACGAGAGGCACGAUUGUGCGUCCGUGAAAGGUACGAGCGUGCCUUUCGGAAACGGAAAAAAUGCAUUUUCUGUUUUUUUAUCCGUGAGAGGCACAGUUUUUGUUCCGUGAGAGGCACGGUUGUGCUUUCAGGAGAGGCAUGGCUGUGAUUCUCUUGGAAGGGGAAAAAACGUGUUCCCGGUUAGGGUUUUUUGUCCUUUUUUGUGAAAAAGAAAGUUCGUCAAAAUCUAUCAAUACGGAAUCUAGUUUUGAAGAUAUCAGCGUGAGAAUCCAAUGGUGAAAACAGUUCGAGAUUUGGACGCUAGGUUUAAGAGAUAAAACCUUUUGAUUAAAUGGAUGUAUGAAAAGGAGGAAAACUCUCAGAUUGCGAUAAAUGGCAUGAGGAAAUGGGAGUGAUCUUUGAAAGGAGUACUCUUAAUCAUUUUAAUCCGUGAUUUCGAGACAAAGCGCUCCCAGUCUUCUUUAGCUCACUUUAGCUCACUAGGCCGUGUUGGGCUUAAUAUUUAAACCAGGGCUCUGUACAGCGUGCGUCGAGUGCGCGUCAAGGUCUCGCCUGUAGCGAUAUUAAAACGCGGCAUCGACUAGGAAGUCCUUUUUGUGUUAAAUUCAAUAAUAUGUACGUGUUGGCUCGUUCAUUUUUUUCCUUUAUUUGUAUUUUGAAAUAUUCUACACACACAUAGAGACAGAGAAGCAGAGAGAGAGAGAGAGAGAUGAAAAUGUUCAACUCACACUAAAAUAUGAUGAAUUACAUAAAAAAUGUUCAUGACAUAUAGAAAAAUAUUUUCACAUGUUUAAAAACAUGUUCAUCGAAUUUUCACAAAAAACUAAUGAAAUGUGAAAAGUUGUUUGCAUAAUUUUUUAAAAUGCUUGUAAAAUUUUAAAAAUGUUCACAUGUUUAAAAAUAUGUAAAUGCUAUUUUCAAAUAUAUAUUAAAAUGUAAAAUUUUCUUUGUGUAAUUUUUACAAAACGUCCUACCAUUCAAAACAUAUUAUAUGAUAUUUAAGAAAAUGUGUUAGUGUUACAAAUUGGUUCAUGAAAUUUUAGAAAAUAUGCAUGCAAUGUUUAAUUUUGUUCGUAUAGUUUUGAAAAAGUUCUUCAUAACAUAUCAAAUAAAAUAAUGACAUUAAAAAGAAUUUCAACACUACUAAAGAAUGUUUGCAUCAUUAAAAAAAUGAUCACUAAAUAUUUGAAAAAUAGUUCAAUGUGCAUUUGACAAAUGUUCAACUUGUAUUCAAAAAUAAUUGUCAUGUAUUUAAAAAAUUCACAACGUGCGUCUAAAAAAUGUUCAGUGUGUAUUAAUGAAAAUUUGAAAGGUACUUGAAAGAAUAAAAAGGAAAAAAAGAAAAAAGCGAACAACCAAGAAAAGGAAUGGCCCUGGUGACGGCAAAUGUGUGUGGUGCGAUCAGGAUGACUCAUGUGACCAUAUCACUUUUCAGUGCAUCAUCGGCCGGUUUACCUGGAGCAUAUCGAGGGCGGCUACCGGUUGCUCCUGGAACCCAAGUAAUUUCUCGGACGUGUAUCUCCUUAUUUAUUUAUUUUUGAGGGGUAAAACACACUUUAUUCAUCAAAGUUCACAUGCAGUGGGAUACGUCUCUGGUCAUAGGGCUGUCCAAACCACACAUGGCGUCCCAGACCUUUUGACAAAGCAAACUUAGCUAAGUUAUGUGCUUCAUAGUUUGGAGCACGACUCUCAAAAGUAAAAAUACAAUGAAAGGUAGUAGCUCUAUGGUUUAUCUCGUUUAUAAUUGACGCAUAUCCUCCCCGUGUACCCAUGUUGAUGUCCUGGAUUACCUGUCGGCAGUCUGAUGCAAUAACAAACUCUCUGAUAUUGAGGUCCUCCGCUAGCGCCAUUGCCUCGCGACAUGCGAUCGUUUCCAGAGUGGCUGGAUCGAGGGUUCCUUCGAUGACCAGAGCCGAGCCUCCAACAUAGUUACCAUUCUCAUCCCUGCAGACCGCCGUCGCCGAACCCCCACGUGAUCGAACUGCAGCAUCGGCGUGGAUUUUGCAAAAUCCCGGUGGUGGCCGUUUUGGUCUUUGUUGUUGCCCCGCCGGGGUUCCGGUGGCUCUCCUGGGCCUUUGUUGCUUAUUGCUCAGUACUCCUAGCUCAUCGAUAAAGCGGUGGAUGAACAUGUGUGUCGCUUGGGGGCUUUGGAAAAUUCCUUCAUGAAUAGCCUUUCGGCGAGCAUGCCAUAUUGACCAUAAAGUGACCGUCAUGAGUAUGAACUCGUCGUGGGAGAGUAAGUCCAUCAAGGUGAAUAACCAAUUCUUCGCAUUGGGCUCUGUUGUAGCUGUGAUUUUAUGUGUUACUUCUUCAUCUGUCAAAGCCCAUAUACUCCAUGAGGAUGAGCACUCCAACAGCGAGUGGCGCCACGAAUCUUGACUUCCACACAGUCCACACUGUCCCGAAUCUAUCAUGUGCCGAUGUGUACGGACAUCAUUCGUUGGCAAAGACUGUUUGGAGAGUCUCCAUAAAAACAUGUGUAUCUCCUUAUGAGGGACACAAAUGCGCAAGACCGUAACAUGGCCUGGGUGGGCUUUGCGGCUCUUGCGUGGUCCCUAUGGGCUACUCGCAACAAAGCUUUAAUGGAAGGAAUGUUUUUCCGACAAUUGGCAAGACCAAGGGAGCGAGGAAGGGUGGAGCUUCUCGCCAGCAGCCUACGCGCAAGGUGUGCUGAACUUCGCCGUGCCAGCACAAGUGCAGAUGUGUGAUAGGGACGUCCCUCAUGGUUUGCGGGAUCCUUCAAACUUCACCUUUGUUUAGAGCAACUCUAGCAUACUCCGCAAAACGCGUUUGCGGUUUGACGAAGAUCGCGUUUGCGGGUCGAAAACUAGCGCGGCCGAACAGAAACCGUAUCUAAAACUGCAUAAUUUGAAAAAACACUUUCGCGGGAGAAAUUGCACCUCGAGAACGUGAGUAGUUCAUCACAUGCUACAUAGAUUUUACAUGAUCAACACGCUACAAACAUAGUUCAUACUACAUACUACGUUAAUACUAGUACUAGAGGGGGUCGGAUCUGACGUCGGCGAGGUCGCGGCAAAUGGACGACGCCGUGGAGGGGAAGGAUGCUCAAUCCUCCUCGCCGGAGCUGCAGAGGUCGAUGUACUUCGCCCUCUACUCCUCGUGGAUGCGGCACCACUCCUCGUACUUCUCCUUGGCGGCAAGGUUGGCGGCGACCGCCUGCCGCCACUCGAGGUCUUCGAGCUCCUCGGCGUAGCGCUGGCGCUCCUCCUUCUCGCGCACGCUCCGCUUGUCGAUGGCGGCCGCAACGGCGUCCACGUCGGCGACGUAGUCUUGCGGCCCGAUGACUCCCCGGCAGCCGAGCGGAGCGGGCUCCUUGGGCUCCUCCUUGACGGGGACGAAGUCGAACUCGUCCGGAUCCUCCGGCUCCUCCUCGCCCUUCGACCACUCCCUAUUCACGGGGAGAAGGCCCGCGCCAGAGGAGGAGGAGCUCCCGGCGUACGAAGAUCUCGCGGAGGAGAAGGACGCGCGCCAGCGGUCGUACUCCUCCAUCUCGCUUCGACGGAAGCUCGCCGGCGGCGACAACCGCGGUUGGUCCACCUCCGGACCCCGCGCUUCCUCGCGUUGUCCGACCGGACGCGCCGCUCGCGCUCCGGGUCGCUUCCGCCGCCGGAUCUGCUGCCGGAGCCGCGUCCGGAGCUCCACAUGCGGCCCCACAUGGCUGCUGGAGGCGGGGGAGGUGGUUGCCGACGGCGAGAAAUAUGGAGAAGGGGGUGGGGAAUCGCGUGGCUCGGCGGCGGCGAGGGAUAGGGGUUCGACCCGCAAACGAGCCGCAGAAUCGUAGAUAUAGCGGUCGGGGCGUGCGGUUUGCAGGUCGCGGCAAUUUUCUUUGCGGGCUGGGCGAGUAUGCCUGCUCUGUUCUGGCCGGAAAAUUAGGCCGAGCCUGCAUACUCGCCAGAAUUUUGCGGGUCUGUAUGUUUUGCGGGGUCUGCUAGAGUUGCUCUUAGCACGCUGUGACGUGGCUACGGGUAUGGCCGACCUUGUAUCGCUCGUUGAACUUCUUUUUUUCCUUUUCGUACUUCUGUCCCGCGUGUGUAAGGGCCACAGUCUAAGGCCUGGUAUGUGCCUCCAUUCUAAAAAUCACACCAUGAAAAAGACUAUGCGUGAGCUAGAUCUCCGAGAAGGUGUGAAUAUUUCUCGCGUUGGAGAUGCUGAAGUUACUUGUAUCGAAAGGGCAAAGCCACACAAGAAAUAGGUCCCAUUGACAAGUGGACACAACCAAUUGAUCCUAAAUUAACACAAGCUGAAGCCUAGCAGCGAUAGAAGAUAAACAAGGGAGUUUGGAAAAGGAGAACACAGAAGGUGAGGUUGGAUCGUGCGGUUUGCUCGGAUGCUUUCCUCGCUUGCUACCCGGAAUCUGUUGUUGAACACAUAGUUACAAGGAGGUCUUCGAGCUCCUCGGCGCGGCGCCGGCGCUCCUCCUUCUUGUGCACGCUCCGCUCUGCCAUGGCGGCCGCAACGGCGUCGAUGUAGUCUUCCGGCCCGACGACUCCGCGGCGGCCGAGCGGAGCGGGCUCCUUGGGCUCCUCCUUGACGGGGACGAAGUCGAACUUGUCCGGAUCCUCCGGCUCCUUCUCGUCCUCCGACCACUCCCUCUUCACGGGGAGAAGGCCCGCGCCGGAGGAGGAGGAGCUCCCGGCGUACGAAGAUCUCGCGGAGGAGAAGGACGUGCGCCAGCGGUCGUACUCCUCCAUCUGGCUCCGACGGAAGCUCGCUAGCGGCAACAGGCCGCGGUUGGUCCACCUCCGGGCCCCGCGCUUCCUCGCGUUGUCCGACCGGACGCGCCGCUCACGCUCUGGGUCGCUUUCGCCGCCAGAUCUGCUGCCGGAGCCGUGUCCGGAGCUCCACAUGCGGCCCCACAUGGCGGCUGGAGGCGGGGGAGGUGGUCGCCGACGACGAGAAAUGUGGAGAAGGGGGUGGGGAAUCGCGUGACUCAGCAGCGGCGGGGGAUAGGGUUUCGACCCGCAAACGAGCCGCGGAACCGUAGAUAUAGUGGUCGGGGCGUGCAGUUUGCGGGCCGCGGCAAGUUUUUUUGCGGGCUGCGCGAGUAUGCGGGCUCUGUUCUGGCCGAAAAAUUGGGCCGAGCUCGCAUACUCGCCAGAAUUUUACGAGUCUGUGUGUUUUGCAGGGUCCGCUAGAGUUGCUCCUAGCUAUACCUGGCCAAACCUUGGGCCGGGCCGAGCUUCGGGCCGGGCCUAGCCAAGCCCGACACAAAAAACCCAGGCCCUGGCCCGGCCCGUCCAUCGGGCCUGUGUUUUUGGGCCCGAGCCCGGCCCGAAUACCUAAAAGCCCGUCGGGCUUCGGGCCGGCCCGGCCCAGCCUUCGGGCUAAAAAACUAGGCCCGAGCCUGGUUCGGGGGCAGCGUCGGGCCGGGCCGGGCUUCCCAUGACCGGGACUACUCUUAGCACGCUGUGACGUGGCUAUGAGUCUGGCCGACCUUAUCGCUCGUGGAACUUCUUUUUUUACUUUUCUUACUUUGCCCCGCGUGUGUAAGGGCAUCAGUCUAAGGCCUGGUAUGUGCCUCCAUUCUAAAAGUCACACCAUGGAAAUUACUUGUUGUAUGUAGCAUGGCAAUUUUGUAAGUAUUACAUAUCGGUGGAUUUUUUAAAUUGUGUCAUGGUAAUGUCCUCCGUUUUUUCUAUAUUUCUACUCAUGUAUAUGAAUUCUUGUAACACGACAAUAUACUUUUGGAAAUGCUAAAAAUCUGACAUCAGAAUUUUAAGCAUGCAAAAUCGGAUGUUUUUCUUAUGAAAAAUUAUAUUGUCGCAAAGAUGGCAAAUUUAUUUAGUAAGCAUGACAAUUCCUGGCAAAAAACUGAGCAUGACAAGGAUUUGCCGUUCUUGUUGAAGGAAAUUGACAUACUCGCCACAACAUAAUUUGUCAUCUCGGUCAUUCGGUUUGCCAUGUCAAAAAAAAUCCAGCGUUUAAUUUGUAGUGAAAUCCUUAUAUAUUGCUAUUUUUGAGAUGGCAAUAUAUUGGGCCUGGUAAAUUUAUGAUUUUGCUACUGCCCAAAUUUCUGCAUUUUAUCAGCGAAUUGGGUCUAACCUGUUUUCCUCACGCGCUCGUUAUACUCUGGGCCAGUUUGUGUUGCGCUGAAAAUCUUUCUAGUGAACGUGUUUCAGGGGACUGCGACGACUAUUAUAACUGUGACGACUAUUAUAUCUCUUAUUAUAGUGAGUCAUACCUCUGCCGGGUCAUGGUUGGCGGCCCCCUGAAGGUAAUCUUGUAAAGAUCAACACUGAUGCUGUAGUACAUCUCGGUGCCGGCAUCGCCGGCAUGGGGGGAGUAGCCCGCUCUUCCACGUCCUUCAUGGGCGCAUGGUGCAAACCCCAUCUAGGGGUCACGGAUCCUUUCAUUGCUGAAGUGCUCUCCUUGCGUGAGGGCGUCAUCUUCACGAAGCUUCAAGGCUACAUGCACGUGCGACUGGAAUCUGAUUGUCUUGAGGCAGUUAACCUCACGUCCAAGGGAUUGCGACGACUAUUGUAUAGGAGUAUCUCUUAUACCGAGUCGUACGAUACGCUUGCAUGAAGCUUUCUCCUUUGCGCUACAAUAUUUGGGCCGGCCCAUUUUCCGUACAUUUUUUUCUUGCUCAGCCGCUCGAUGGUUAUGUUCGCUCUGUUUUUUUCGGGUAUUUUUUCAUUUUCAUUUUUUGUUUUUCUUCUGUUUUCUUUGUAUUUUCACCGGAUUUAUUCAAAUAUCUUUGUUUUUUCACUGGUUUUCUUUAGUGUUUCUAAUUUUCUUUGUUUUCUAUCGGUUUUCAUCGUUUCUUUCUCGGUUUUCACCGAUCCUUUUUUCUUUUCUUCCUUUUAUUCUUUUUUUCUGUUUCGUUUUUCUUGUUUAUUUUUUAUUUCUGCAGUGUUUUUCCUCCGGUUUUCUUGUUUCCCUUUUCUUUUUUUCUCUUCAGUUUUAUUUUUUUCCUUUUUUCCACAAUGGUCUACAUUUUUAUUACAUAUUGUACAUUUUUUAAUAUCAAAAACUUUUUUAUACACGUUUAUAAUUUUUCAAAUACAUCAUUAACAGUUUUUCAAAUAUAUAUUUUGAUGUCUAUUGCUUUCAUACACAUGCAUAUUUUUGGUACACAUGAAAAACAUUUUUGAUACGUGUUUAACAUUUAUAUUAUACACGAUUAACAUUUUUUCUAAAUAUAUAUUUUUAUGUCCAAUUUUGUCCGUACAUAUCACACAUGUUUCCUAUAAAUUUGAAAAGAAAUAUAUGCACAUUUAAUAUUUUUUGAAUUACACGAACUUCUUUUACAUAGUAUAAAAUUUUGUGAAAGUUCCAUGUACUUGUUUUUGAAAAGUAUGAAUAUUUUUUAAAUGUCACAAACAUUGUUUCGAAAGCUACCAGCAUUUUUUAAGUUACGGUAAAUGUUUUUUGCACUGCAUUAAUAUUCUUAAUAAUCUUAAUUAUAUAUAUUUCUGAAGUAUAAAUUAAGUUUUGGAAUGUAUGUGUUUAAAAAUAUUCGAACAUAUAAACAAAAGGAAAAAGCUUACGUUCAACCGACUGAUAACGCUCAUGCGUCCGCCGGCUCCACAUCCGUUGGAUCGUCUGUUGAUCAGACAGACGAGAGCGUCCACGCUUCCGCGUCGCGCGGACGUUUUUUCUGAAACUUACCUGUUGUUUCAGGAAACAUUCGUGCAACUGGAUAACGCCUGCGGCUCAGUUGACUCGUGUGGCCAGGACAGAGGGCAGCGCGGUUGCAAGGAAUUCAGAAACACUUUGUACACAAUGAAAUCAUUUUUCAGAGAUACAAUCAAGCAGGACAAUGGGAAUUAGAAUUCAUGUUUCAGAGAUACAAUCAAGUAGCCAGUAGUCCUGAACCUCUUGGUUUCAGAGAUACAAUCAAGCAGGACAGUGGGAUUUGUUGAUUCACGUUUUUCAGAGAUAGCUAUGUUUCAGAAACAGAGACCAUGUUUCAGAAACUAACCUAGGCUUCCAGAUGCGAUCUACUCGAAGUAGUUUCAGGAAACACCACCGGGGGGAUUGUGAACCAAGAGGAAACUNNNNNNNNNNNNNNNNNNNNNNNNNNNNNNNNNNNNNNNNNNNNNNNNNNNNNNNNNNNNNNNNNNNNNNNNNNNNNNNNNNNNNNNNNNNNNNNNNNNNNNNNNNNNNNNNNNNNNNNNNNNNNNNNNNNNNNNNNNNNNNNNNNNNNNNNNNNNNNNNNNNNNNNNNNNNNNNNNNNNNNNNNNNNNNNNNNNNNNNNNNNUGAGAACGAUGGUCGCGCCUGAUCUCGAAGCAGGGCCCCUUGGUGAGCUCGAUUUGCGUCAGAUCCGGCCAUCUGACGCGCGAUAUGGAGCGCCAUAGUGUUGCAGAAACUUCAAUUUAGCUCCAGGAUGCCGCCGGCGAGCUGAUUUUGCGGUGGGUCGGCGACGGAGUCGCGCGGGGCGCAGCUCUGUCGGGGCUUGGGGCAAGAGUGUUAUUUGUUUCUGCAACAUAGUGGCUGUUGCAGGAAAUAACGAGUGCGCAUGCGGGCGUCUACACUAGAUCGAAUGGCCAUCAGGUCGGGCAUCCAACGGCCGUCGAGACGACGGAUAAAAUCAGAAAAUCGGCCGAUGGACGCGCAGCGUCGCCCUAAACAAAAGUAUAAAGCAAAAAAAGGAAAGAGUGAAGAAACGUAAAUAAAAAGGAACUAACCUGAAAGUUGGGCCUGCCCGUUACUUGCUGCUGGGGAGGGCGCGCUUCUUCGGUCUCGCUACGAGCGAGGUAGGCGCUCCGGACCCGCUCUCGAUUGUUGUUCGCUCCAUCCCGUAUGCUUGACCAGCUUCACCAGCUGGCUCUCUCUCAGAAAGAAAUUUUGGUGGGAUAAUCUUUCUGUAUGCUUGACCACCGGCCCAUCCAGUGCGUGCAAUUUGACCAGGACAGUGACUUGGCAGGUUGGCAUGGUCGAGAAGCGCCGAUAGUCAUGGUUCACUGGGUUUUUACUUUUGCUCCAGUGGCCUCCACCGGACUCUACUCACGGUGGGUUGCCGGAGAGUAAAGCUACGGCGUGUUCAGCCGUGGGCUUUGACCGGCCCUUCUUUCUGUUCUGGAUGGAUGUUGUUGUUUGCAUUAUAGAGUUGGCGCCGGACAUUCUUGAACUCACAGAGCAGUGAGUUAAAAGAUAGGAGUAUCUUCAUGGGCAUGGCUGGUGUGCAGAUUAUACUAACGACGAGCCUUCUUCUUCGGGGGGCUAUAUUUCUCCUCCAUCUUGCAGUAGGCGAUCGCCACAUGAGCCGGUCCAAUAUGGGUAGCGGUUUUUGGAAGCUUCUAUGACCGGUUUGACCCGCUUUUUAUCAUUUUUCUAUCAGUUUUCUAUGUUUCUUUAAUGGUUUUAUUUUUCCUUUUUAUUUCUUCUUUCUAUUUCACAAAACAUGUUCUACUUUUUUCGUAUACAUCAGCAACAUUUUUCCUUUUUACCUUUUUAUUAUAUGUCAAGUACAAUUUUGAAUGGUAUAAAAUGUUUUAAAAUAAAAUAAUGGUUUUCUACAUUGUAUAAACCUUUUAAAAUAUAACGAACAUUUUAGUGAAGCACAGGAACUUUUUAAAUGUCACAAACAUUUUUCUUGAAUGCUACUAAAAGUUUUUAAAGGUCUUGCAAGAUUUUUUGAACACUGCAUGACCAUUUGUUAAUGAGUGGUGAAUGUUUCCAAAAAUUUAAAUACUCAUACAAAAUUUUCCAUUUCAGAAAUGUAAGUAAAACUAAUAAAAUAAAUAGGAAGGAAAACAAAGCGGAGGCUCCUCCUACGCUGGGCUGAACCACUAAGGUAGCCCUAGAGGUGACGACCUCUUUCUUCUCACUUGAAGCGAGACAAAGCGAGAGCAGUUAGUUGACGAGCGCUUCUUCAAAAGCCUCACAACAAUCACUUGGGGGUGUGCUGAGAGCACGCCAUUUGGCGCGCUCUUAGUCGCCCACCAUGUGUCCCGCUCUGGGCGCUCUCUUCGGAUUUUUUUAUUUUUCCGUACAUAUUUUCGCCCUUUUAAACGAUUUUUUCUGGGUUUUUUUUGUCUUUUUUGUUUUCCACCAGUCUUCCUUAGCUUUUGGAAAAAUAAAAAAAAAUUCACGAGAAAAGAGGUCUUUUUUCUUCCGAUAGAGUCACGAUUUUGCUUUCGCGAGGGCACAGCUAUGCCUCUCGAAACGAGAAAAAAAGUGUUUUUUAUUAUUAUUUUCCUUCCGCGAGAGGCACGGCCAUACCUCUCGGAAAUGAAAAAAGAAGUGUUUUCUAUUUUUUCCUUCCGCGGGAGGCAUGGUUUGUCUUUCACGAGAGGCACGAGCGUGCCUCUCGGAAACGAAAAAACGCAUUUUUUUGUUUGUUUAUUUGUGAGAGGCGCGAUUUUGUUUCCGUGAGAGGCACGGUUGUGCUUUCAGGAGAGGCAUGGCUGUGCCUCUCUAGGAAGGGAAAACGGUGUUCCCGGUUAGGUUUUUCCGUCAGUUUUUUUUGUGAAAAAGAAAGUUCGUCAAAAUCUAUCAAUAUGGGAUCUAGUUUUGAAGAUAUCGCCGCGAGGAUCCAAUGGUGAAAACGGUUCGAGAUAAACAUUUUGAUUAAAUGGAUGCAUGGGAAAGAGGAAAACUCCCAAAUUGUGAUAAGUGCCAUGAGGAGAUGGGAGUGAUCUUUAGAACGAGUACUCUUAAUCAGUUUAAUCCAUGAUUUCGAGACAAAGCGCUCCCAGUCUUCUUUAGCCACCUUUAGCUCACGUAGGCCGUGUUGGGCUUAAUAUUUAAACCAGGGCUUUGUACGGCGUGCGCCGGGUGCGCGUCAAAGUCUCGCCUGUAGCGAGAUUAAAACGUGGCAUUGACUAGGAAGUCCUUUCUGUGUUAAAUUCAAUAAUAUGUACAUGUUGGCUCGUUCAUUUUUUCCUUUUUUUAUAUUUCGAUAUAUUCUACACACACAGAGCCAGAGAAGCAGAGAGAAAGAGAUGAAAAUGUUCAACUCAUACUAAAAUAUGUUGAAUUAUAUAAAAAAUGUUCAUGACAUAUAGAAAUAUAUUCACACAUUUUAAAAACAUGUUCAUCGAAUUUUCACAACAAAACUAAUGAAAUGUGAAAAGGUGUUUACAUAAUUGUUGAAAAAUGCUCGUAAAAUUUUAAAAAUGUUCACAUGUUUAAAAAUAUGUGAAUGCUAUUUUUAAAAAUAUAUUGAAAUGUAAAAUUUUCUUUGUGUAUUUUUUACAAAAUGUCCUACCAUUCAAAACAUAAUAUGUGAUAUUUAAGAAAAUGUAUCAGGGUUACAAAUAGGUUCAUGAAAUUUUAGUAAAUAUGCAUGCAAUGUUAAAUUUUGUUCGUAUAGUUUUGAAAAAGUUCUUCAUAACAUAUCAAAUAAAUUAAUGACAUUAAAAAGAAUUUCAACACUACUAAGGAAUGUUUGCAUCAUUAAAAAAAUGAUCACUAAAUAUUUGAAAAAUAGUUCAAUGUGAAUUUGACAAAUGUUCAACUUGUAUUCGAAAAAUAUUGUCAUGUAUUUGAAAAAUUCUCAACGUGCAUCUAAAAAAUGUUCAGUGUGUACUAAUAAAAAUUUGAAAGGUACUUGAAAAAAUAAAAAGGAAAAAAAGACAAGCGAACAACCAAGAAAAGGAAUGGCCCUGGUGACGGCAAAUGUGUAUGGUGCGAUCAGGAUGACUCAUGUGACCAUAUCAUUUUUCAGUGCAUCAUCGCCCGGUUUACCUGGAGCGUAUCGAGGGCGGCUACCGAUUGCUCCUGGAACCCAAGUAAUUUCUCGGACGUGUAUCACCUUAUGAGGGACACAAAUGCGCAAGACCGUAACGUGGCCUGGGUGGGCUCUUGCGUGGUCCCUAUGGACUACUCGCAACAAAGCUUUAAUUGGAAGGAAUGUUUUUCGACAAUUGGCAAGACCAAGGGAGCAAGGAAGGGUGGAGCUUCUCGCCAGCAGCCUACGCGCUAGGUGUGCUGAACUUCGCCGCGCCAGCACAAGUGCAGAUGUGGGAUAGGGACGUCCCUCAUGGUUCGCGGGAUCCUUCAAACUCCACCUUUGUUUAGCACGUUGUGACGCGGCUAUGGGUCUAGCCGACCUUGUAUCACUCGUUGAACUUCAUUUUUUUUCCUUUUCGUACUUCUGUCCCGUGUGCGUAAGGGCCUCAGUCUAAGGCCGGGUAUGUGCCACCAUUCUAAAAAUCACACCAUGGAAAUUACUUGUUGUAUGUAGCAUGGCAAUUUUCUAAGUAUUACAUUUUAAAUUGUGUCAUGGUAAUGUCCUCUCUGUUUUCUAUAUUCCUACUCAUGUAUAUGAAUUCUUGUAACACGACAAUAUACUUUUGGAAAUGCUAAAAAUCUGGCAUCAGAAUUUUAAGCAUGCCAAAUCGGAUGUUUUUCUUAUGGAAAAUUAUAUUAUCGCAAAGAUGGCAAAUUUAUUUAGUAAGCACGAGAAUUCCUGGCAAAAAACUGAGCAUGGGGAUGUUCUUGUUAAAGGAAAUUGACAUCCUCGGCACAACAUAAUUUGUUAUCUCGGACGUUCGGUUUGCAAUGUAAAAAAAAUCCAACGUUUGAUUUGUAGCGAAAUCCUUUUUUCGUAGAUCCGUUUAUACAAAAUGUUUUAUCUUUUAAACCGUGCGUCCAAAUCUUGAACCGAUUUCGCCGUUGAAUUCCUCGCGUCGAGAUCUUCAAAGCUAGAUUCUAUGCUGAUAGGUUUUGACGAACUUUUUUUUCACGAAGAAAACCGGACAAAAAAAGCAAACCGGGAGCACGGGUUUUUCCCUUUCCGAAAAAGGCACGAAAAGAAAACAGAAAACACAUUUUUUUUCGUUUCCGAGAGGCACAGCCGUGACUCUCGCUAAAGCACAACCGUGCCUCACACGGAAGCAAAACCGUGACUCUCACGAAAGAAAAAAAACAAAAAAUGCGUUUUUUCGUUUCCGAGAGGCACGGCCAUGACUCUCGCGAAAGCAAAACUGUGCCUCUCGCGGAAGCAAAACCGUGACUCUCGCAAAAAGGGAAAAAAAGAAACAUGUUUUUUUUGUGCAAAUUUUGUUUUUGUCGAAAAGCUAGGGAAGACCGGUGAAAACCCAAAAUGUCGAAAAAAAAGGAAAAAGAUACUAUUUAAAAAGCCGAAAAUGUGUGCGGAAAAAUAAAAAAAAUCCGGAGGGAGCGCCCAGAGCGCGACACGUGGCAAAUGGCUGAGAGCGCCAAGUGGUGCUGAUCGUUGCGAGGCUCCUGAAGGAGCUCUCGUUAAUUAGUUGCUCCCGUGUUUCAAGGGACUGCGACGACUAUAUAUCUCUUAUAGCGAGUCGUAUGAUAUGCUUGCAUGAAGCUUUCUCCUUUGUGCUACAAUGUUUGGGCCGGCCCAUUUUUCGUACGUUUUUUUUCUUGCUCAGCCGCUCGAUGGUUAUGUUCGCUCUGGUGUUUUCGGGCAUUUUUUCAUUUCAUUUUUUAUUUUUUCUUGUGUUUUCUUUGUUUUUUCACCGGAUUUAUUCAAAUAUCUUUGUUUUUUCACUGGUUUUCUUUAGUGUUCCUACUUUUCUUUGUUUUCUAUCGGUUUUCAUCUUUUCUUUCUUGGUUUUGACCGAUCUUUUUUUCUUUUCUUCCUUUUAUUCUUUUUUUUUCUGUUUCUGUUNNNNNNNNNNNNNNNNNNNNNNNNNNNNNNNNNNNNNNNNNNNNNNNNNNNNNNNNNNNNNNNNNNNNNNNNNNNNNNNNNNNNNNNNNNNNNNNNNNNNNNNNNNNNNNNNNNNNNNNNNNNNNNNNNNNNNNNNNNNNNNNNNNNNNNNNNNNNNNNNNNNNNNNNNNNNNNNNNNNNNNNNUUGUUUAUUUUUUAUUUUUGCAGUGUUUUUCCUCCGGUUUUGUUGUUCCCUUUUCUUUUUCCCUUUCCUUUUUCUCUUCAGUUGUAUUUUUUUCCUUUUUUGCAACAAUGGUCUACAUUUUUAUUACAUAUUGUACAUUUUUUAUAUAUCAAAAACUUUUUAAUACAUGUUUAUAAUUUUUCAAACAUAUAUUUUGAUGCCUAUUGUUUUCAUACACAUGCAUAUUUUUGGUAAACAUGAAAAACAUUUUCGGUACGUGUUUAAAUUUUUAUUAUACAUGAUUAACAUUUUUUUAAAUAUACGUUUUGAUGUCUACUUUUUUAGUACAUAUCACACAUGUUUCCUAUACAUGUGGAAAAAAAAUAUAAACAUUUAACAUUUUUUUGAAUUACACGAACGUUUUUUACAUAAUUUUUUUUGAAAGUUCCAUGUACUUGUUUUUGAAAUGUAUGAAUAUUUUUUAAAUGUCACAAACAUUGUUUUGAAAGCUACCGGCAUUUUUGAAGUUACGGUAAAUGUUUUUUGCACUGCAUUAAUAUUCUUAAUAAUAUUAAUUUUAUAGUUUUUUUGAAGUAUAAAUUAAGUUUGGAAUGUAUGUGUUUAAAACAUAUUCGAACAUAUAAACAAAAGUAUAUAGCAAAAAAAGGAAAGAGUGAAGAAACGUAAAAAAAAAGGAACUAACCUGAAAGUUGGGCCUGCCCGUUACUUGCGGCUGGGGAGGGCGCGCUUCUUCGGUCUCGCUACGAGCGAGACAUAGGCGUUCCGGACCCGCUCUCGGUCGUUGUUCGCUCCAUCCCGUACCACCGCCGGAGUCGCCGAGAUGACCGGCCUCCAUGACGAGCGCGCCACCAGCGAACCCCGGAGAUCCAAGCGGUCCAGGCCGGAGGCGAAGGCGGCGGAGCCUCCGGCACGCCGGGCCAAGCGCGCCGAGGGCCAGGUUCCUCUGCGCAAGCGCGAGUCUGCGAGGCUUGCGCGACCACCCCGCCCCCUGGACCUGGACCUGGACCUGGACUCGGAGGGUGCGGUCGCGUCGCCUCCUCCUCCUUCUCCUCCAGCACCCCGCGCCGAGACCCCGGCCCCUCCGCCCAAGCGUCCAGCGGCGAGGGUUGCGCGACCAUCUUCGCCCCCUUACGGCCAUCGGGAUUCGGCGGAUGUGACCAUGGUUGCUCCUCCGCCCAAGCCCGAGCACUCCGUCCCCCCUAAUUGGCAUCGCACCGCGUACAGACUCCACAACCGCGUCGUCCGGGAUACCAGCAACCGCAAGCCCGCCCCCAGUCGCUACGACAACGGGUAACCUCUCCACACCGGCAACGCAAUCACUUCCACUCCCUAAUGUGCUGCAUGCUUUGGAUUAAUUCUUUGAUUGAUGGAUAUAGUGAACUGAAUCGAUGCCAUUGUCCGUGAUUUUGCUAUUAUGCUCACCACAUGAGCCAAGCUUCAGACCCCUGCCCUUGGCCCUUGCCACUAACUUUGUUGAAUAGGCCAACAUUAGCAUUUUAGUGAUAAUAAUUGGUAUAAAUGGGAGUUUAUAUAGUUUCAACUAUGCGAUCAAGUACUAGAAAUAUGAUCUGUAUAUAUCCCGGUGAUAAAUUAUGUCUUCUACUAUCUAUCUGAACAGUUGGUUUAGUUGUGUUUCUGCAUACCCUGCUUGCUAGGGGAUUCUCUUUUAAAAUGCAACAACUCUGACAUUUGUACCUGGGAGUAAAAUCUGCUUGGUGCCUAGGAUAUUCAAGCAACAUGCGAUCCUGUAACGCCUUCCUUUAUCUCUUAUCCAUUAUCUCACCAUCAAGUCCUAAUUGCAUUACAAUACUUUUCUUAUCAUGUCUCCAGUUUUGAGGGCCAUUGGUUAUGAGUUAUGACGCAGUUUAAUGUUCUCCACUGCUCCCUGCCUGCUAUUUACUUUAUUUUUCCAUCAACAAGUAGUAUCUAGGUCCAAAAUUGUCCGUCGUUGCAAGGUAUCACCUGCUAUUCAGUUCUCCGUCGAGAAGUAUGAGCUGUAACCUCUCACUAGUGAUAAUUAACAUCGAGAUCCAAAAUCAUUUGUCGAUGUAAGUUAUCGCCUUUUGACUUUAUACUUAUUAAAGGUGGUUUAGUUCUUCUGUUCUAUGUGAUAGUACCAUUCAGUGUUAACUCGUUAAUUAGUACAGUACUAGUUUGAUGGAAAACACACAAGCAAGAUAUGCGUAUGAUGUUGACACUUCUGCUCUUUCAGGAUAUAAAUUAAGUAUGAUCCAACAUGGCAAACUCCGACGUGUGCACGUGUGGCUUUGGAACGCUACAACAACAUGAAUCAGGUUUGCUCUAUUCUACUCAAGUGUACAAAUAUUGCAUAGUGCCAUUUAGUGCCGGGGUAGUCAUUCGACAUUUAGUUCAUCAGAUUGGGACAACUUUUCAGCUUUCUUUACUUUGUCAGUGUGCCGUUUUCCGCCGGUGGUAAACAAUCUUGCAAGUGGUCUAGAAUGCGAUUAAGCUCGAGACAUGGGUGUGUAUGACUAUAAAGAAACUAACAUGUGGUCUAGAAUGCUUCUGCACUGUGUAUGCUUUGCUGCCUGCAUCUUUUGCAUGAGGCUCAAUAGGUCUGGUUUGGCCCUAUGUACAUGAAAGUGUUGUUAUUGAACAGCCUGCAAGUUGUCUAGACUCUGGUAUCACAAGGUUAAAAUAGUCUUCUUGUCUUGAUGUUCUGUAAAUGUUCCCCAGCAAUAUCCCAGUGAGCUGGACCUUGUAAACUGUGAUCAUACUCUUUAAUUGCUUCCAACGUGCGGUGAAGACUAUGUGGAACCAGUGUGCAAUGUGAUUCACCUCUUGACCUGCCCAAGUUGUCCUUUUUUCUUGUCCUUUCCCAGUUUGUUUUUCAUGAUACGUUUAACUUCUUUCUCAGUUACAUGGCACUUAAUUGCACCCUUGAACUGCCCUCUUAUGAUGGUGAAUUCCACAGACUAAAUCUAACAAUUCAUAAUGCAUUACCAAGUGCCUAGCUACUCAUUAAUUCAUAUAUGCACCCUUCGACUGCCCUCUUAUGUUUGUGAAUUUGUUAGGGGGAUGAGCAUGAGAUGGUUAAACCAGUGAGCAGCCAUAUCUUUGUCUUCAAUGGUAUCUGGUUCCAUGCAAAUUUCCUUGCCAAGCGAAAAGGAGCCACCAACUGUGUUGAUCUCGUCCCCAAGUACUUCUUUGCUGAAUCGGAAAUUGUGGGGACGAGGAAAAUAUCUUGUAUUUCAUGUGUUAAGCUUGACCCAGGUAUUUUCAAUAAUCCAAGUUCCAGUUUUUGUUCACACAAAUUUUAUCUUGAUGAAUUAUGCGGGUGUGUGUGUGUGGUGUUCUUUACAUAAAUGAUUUUACACUCGCAGGCAAUCCCAAAAAAAUUGGUGGUUGUAGCCUGUGCUCUGAGAAUAUCCUGCAUCCUGCUGGGGGUGGAUACCAUGGUGCCCAAGCUCGAUCUGUUCGACAUGCUCCUGGUGGCCUACAGAUUUCAUUCAAGUUCUGAAUGUUUGAAGUGUGGUAGAAUCGUCCAUCACUAAUUCACUAUGCUAAUAUAAUGUAGGCGGAAGAAGCAGAAAAUCAUGUUUCAUUAUGAGCGUCAAACCUGUUCUAGUAGAAUCAUGCAUCAUUUUGGUUGUAAUGAAGGAUAAAACUCCACUUUGAUGUAUGUCCGAUGUUAUUAAUCUGUUUCACGUAGUAAGGAGGUGCUUGUUGCAUUUUGCUGUGAAGCAAGGUGUUUGACAUGGAUCUGCCGUCAAAUAUUUUGAUAUCAUCUCUUAGAUUGAAACUCUAGAAUAUAAUCCUCAGUUGUGCUCACACAUAUGGGUUUCAGUGCAAGAUGGACAAAGUGGAUUUGUGGCUUACUUGUGACCUCGUCCACUAGAAUCAUGAUCAAUGGAACCAAGGGAAGACCUAUACUCAACUGUCAGUGCUUAUGGCAGGGAGCACCACUAUCACCUAUGCUUUUCAUACUCAUCAUGGAGCCGCUACGCACAUCACGUGACCGGACUGGGGUGCCAAAAACUUGAUUGGAUCGAGGUGGAGGGGGCGGGAUGGCGAGCGACGUACGCUGGCUAGUCUCCUACGCGGCUGACCUUACCUCGGCGCGCAUGCUUUCCUUCGUCGACAGCGAGAUCCGGCUUUGACACGACACGCUUUGGAUCGUCUUGAUCGAUGAGAGGGGCGUGACAGUCGACGCGCGCUAUCUCCGGGCCCGAGAGCGGAUCGACAUCGGUCAGGCCGUAUCCUUUCCUUGUCACAUAGCCAGGGUGCGGGACCGGAUUCCGGAAGGACACGCGGCGGCGCCGCGUCAGACUCGUUCGACUGAUGAUGCGGGCGGUACACCGCGGGGACGUGGUGGCGGGGCCAGGGCAUCCUUGGGCCACAUCCGGACGCGACCGAGGCGCCCGCCAUGGAUGCGCGACACGUGGACGAGGAUCCCGGUUGCCAUGGCGGGGAGACGAGCCAUGCGACAGGUACAAAAGCCCACCCCGUUCCCACCCGUGACCUAGAUGCCGCUUUCUCGCAUUUCUGGGAGNNNNNNNNNNNNNNNNNNNNNNNNNNNNNNNNNNNNNNNNNNNNNNNNNNNNNNNNNNNNNNNNNNNNNNNNNNNNNNNNNNNNNNNNNNNNNNNNNNNNNNNNNNNNNNNNNNNNNNNNNNNNNNNNNNNNNNNNNNNNNNNNNNNNNNNNNNNNNNNNNNNNNNNNNNNNNNNNNNNNNNNNNNNNNNNNNNNNNNNNNNNNNNNNNNNNNNCUUCCAUGGGAAUCGGCGGGAAGGCUUCGAAUCUAGGCGAUUCGGGCACGGUGCCGGUCGUUUCGAUCGGGGCCGCGGUCGGGGCCGCUUCUCGUGGUCCAGGGAGGCGGACGGCGACGACUUCUCCACGAACAAGCAGGCGACAUCGGCCUCGGAUGACACCACGCGAUGGGACGACGCGGCGGAGUUGGCCAAGCGGGCAAGAUCUGGGGGGGUGUGUGGAUGGAGAAGCACCCAAACCCUAAUCCCCUUGGAAUCGACAUCGACAACGCAUCCAAGAAGAAGCAGAUCCCUGACGUCGUCCAACGGGCUGAAUCAUCUACCCGGGUGCUCCCAACCAAAACCUAUGAUCCGUGUCUGAUCUGCAAAGCUACUAGUCAUACUCCUGCUAGUUGCCCGCAAGCCCUUUGUGAGAGAUGCAGUAAGAUGGGGCAUCUAGCUUCAAUCUGCACUACUUUUCUGCCUUGGGAGUGUGUAGCCCCUAUGUGUGCUUUUCAGGCCAAGGGCCCAGUUUUUUUCUAUAUUCCAGAUUCUUGCACUGCUAAGCAGCUCAAGGAAAGAGCCACUAGUGUUGUGAUUACUGUCAUUGAGGGAGAGGCGAGUGUUAAGGAGUUGGAAGAUGCGUUUUUUUUAUUAUAUUGGGACAAAAUGGCACCGCACAGCCCGCCUUAUAGGCCCUAAUACUUAUGUCAUGUGGUUCCCUAAUCAGAGAGAUGUGAAAAAAGCUUGCUAUAAUGAUAGAAUGACUCUCAAAUCUUGUGGAGUAGUGGUCAAGAUUGUUCCCUGGUCUGCCAAUGUAGGGCCGAAAGGGGUGAUGGAGGUUGCUUGGGUGAGAGUGGCUAAUGUUCCUCUAGAACGGAGAAAUGAAAGAAACUUGGCAUAUGUCUCAUCUUUGGUUGGUGUUCCACUUGAAAUUGACAUGGCCACUCUGCACAAACCUGAGUAUGUGCGGGCCCGGCUGGGAUGUCACAAUGUGGACGAACUACCUGGUGUGGCUGAGGCUUUUUUGAUUUCUUUUAUGACAUUGAGAAGAUACUGGUCAGAGAUCCUGAAAGAAUGAGCAACGUGACCCAGGUUGAGUUAGCUAAGAAAAACUCAUCCCAUGGGAAGCAGUUUGCUCGGGCUGAUCCACAAAAUGUUGAAAAAGAAAAAGAUGUGGGGGCCUAUAAGAGCAAUAGCACUGGGGAAAAUGCUCCCAGUGACAGUGCAGAGGAGGGGUAGGAGGAGUCAAAGGACUCAGAGGAUGAUACACUCUUGAUCGACACCACUACUAAAGAGGCUUGUGGGAGAGAAAAUUUGGGUGGGUCUCAAGCACUGGUUGUUGUUGAUAACAGCAAGCUGAAUGUGGAUGAGAUUCAGGUAAAAAAUGAUAUCCGAGUCUAUUGCUAAUGAUAUAUAUGAUAUCUAUACUUCUCACUUGGAGGUGAAUGAAAAAUGUACCCAUGUGGAAGAGCUGGUGGAUGAUGAUCACAUCAAGCGUGGGGUGCGUUCUGAGUACAUGGUACAAUUUCUUGUCUCUUCUGAUGAUGUGGAGGAAGUGAUUCCUACUCCAUUAAAAAUCUAAGGAUGCACUGAGAUUCAGUACAAAGGAUGUGCAGAACAUGGGUGACAAGAUUCAGGAUAGGGCAGUUGCCAUUUCAAAGAAGAGGAACUUGGAAGGUAACCCCAACCAUAAUUCCUUUGAUUUAUUUUCAGAUAAUGAUCUUAUGCUUAGAACAUAAAAAAUGGGGGUAAUUAUUUUUUAGAGUAAUUUUUCUAGUAUUGAUAUCUUGAGAGAAUUGGAGAGGGUCAGGAAUAAUGAUACAAAUAAUAUCUCUAAGUCUGAUACUCUAGUAGAGGAGAAAGUGAUGUUCAUUACCAAUGGGAAAGGGGAUAAAACUCCUAUUAGUUCUGAUUGGGCUGAUGGUGAGGAGGAUUUGGAGGAAAAUUUUAUCCUAGUCAGGUCUAGGAGGAAGAGAAGUCCUAAAAUUCAAGUGGCCAUAUCCAGACCUUCGACCAGGAGCCAAAAAUAUGAUUUAAUGAUGAAGAAAGAAAAUGCUGGCAGCCCUGUCUAUCAUACCAGGGCCACCAGGGGGGAGGAAAAAGAAACCUGGUUGAUAUGAUAGGUCUUUUCUGGAAUUGUAUGGGGGCUAGAAAAAAGGGGAUGAGUUCCUGCCUUUCCCAUAUCAUCAAGGAUCAUUCCCUUGAUUUCAUUUGCUUGCAAGAAACCCAUAAGAAGAAUUUCCAGGAUACUUAUUUUAGGAAGAUUGACUCUUACAAUGCUUUUGAGUCGGAGUGGGUCCCCUCAGUGGGAAAAUCUGGAGGAAUUUUAUGUGGGGUUAGAAAAGAGAGGUUUGAAGUAGUUGCCUGGAGGAAAGGCAAGUUUAUCCUCCAGGUUACUAUUUAUGACAUCAAAAUUAAGAAGAUGUGGACACUAUGCACUGUCUAUGGGCAGCUCAUGAUUGUGACAAACAAGACUUCCUUAUAGAGCUAGCUGAUUUUUGCACUCAUGUGCAAACUCCUUUACUUAUAGGAGGUGAUUUUAACAUCUUGAGGCACGAGGGAGAAAAAAAAUAAAAAUUGGCAUCGUUCUCUUUACACGGAUAUAUUUAAUUCUGUGAUUAAUACUAUGUGCUUGAAUGAGAUUCACAUGAGUUGGGGAUUGUACGCUUGGACUAACAACCAAUCCCACCCAACUCUAGAAAAAUUAGAUCGGGUGCUUAUGAGCACUGAUUGGGAGGAUUUAUUCCCUCAAGUUAAUAUAAAAAGAUAGUCAGAGAUGUUUCAGACCAUAAUGCUCUUUUGCUGUCGUCUGACAAUCAUGUUGUUAGAGUCCCACAACAAAGAGAGUUUAGGUUUGAAAUUAUUUGGCUCAAAUCUGAGUAUCUCUCCUCCCUUUGGUGGAUAAGAUUUGGAAUCAAUAUGUUAAGGCAACAGACCCUAUUGAUGUUUUAAACAUCAAGCUGAAAUGUUUUAAAAAGUUCUUUAAAGGAUGGGGAUCUAACAAGUUUGGUCAUGAGAAAAUUCAAAAGCAAAUGAUUAGAGAGGAGCUGACUAAUAUUGAAGAGGAAGAAGAGAAAGGGGUUCUAGAUCCAGAUAUGUUUUGUAGAAAAACUGAGCUGUUAGUGGAGUUGAAUGAAAUUUUGGCUAAUGAGGAGCUCUUUUUGCUACAACAAUCUAAAGAGAGGUGGUUGCUCAAGGGUGACAGUAACACUGCCUAUUAUCAAAAGAUGCUAAUGGCAAUAAAAGGAAAAACACCAUUCACUCCUUGAAUGUGGGGGAUUUAGUCAUAGAGGGGACUGGUAAUCUUCUGAACCAUGCCACUGAAUUCUAUAAAAAUCUAUUUGGGCCUGCACCUGGAAAUAUGCUUCAAAUCGACCCUAGUAUUUGGGGGGAGGAGGAGAAACUAGAUGAUGAGGAUAAUGAGGUUUUAUGUAGGCCUUUCUCAGAAGAGGAGGUCAAGAAUGCUUUGUUUAGUAUGAACAAUAAUAGAGCUCCUGGUCCUGAUAAUAUACCAGCAGAGUUUUAUCAGCACUUUUGGGACAUUAUGAAAAAAUAUAUUAUGAGGCUCUUUACUGCUUUAUAUGAAGGAACUCUUGAUGUGCAUAGGCUGAACUAUGGGAUUAUUACGCUACUCCCUAAGAUCAAUGGUGCGAACAAAAUUCAACAGUUUAGGCCUAUUUGUUUGCUUAGAUGUCCAUAUAAGUUGAUUACAAAGGUGUUAGACAAUAGAGUGACCCCUUAUAUGCUGACAUUUUGUUUAGCAAACAUCAAAAUGCUUUUAUCAAACAUAGGAAUAUCAUGGAUGGGGUGUUGACCUUACAUGAGAUUUUACACCAUACUCAUGUUAAGAAGAAGGUUGGCAUCGUUAUCAAACUCGAUUUCGGAAAGGCCUAUGACAAGGUUAACUGGGACUUCCUGUUAAAAUGCCUUGAGAUUAGAGGGUUUGGAAAAACUUGGUGUAGCUGGAUGAAAAAGAUUAUUCAAAAUGGCAUUGUGAGUGUGAAAUUAAACAACACUUCGGGGCCUUACUUUCAGAGUUACAAAGGGGUUAGGCAGGGGGACACAGUGUCUUGAUACGUCUCCAACAUAUCUAUAAUUUAUGAAGCAUUCAUGCUAUAUUACUAUGUGUUUUGAAUGAUUAUGGGCUUUAUUAUACACUUUUGUAUUACAUUUGAGACUAACCUAUUAACCGGAGUUUCCCCCCUCUACUCUCUUGUGAUGAAUUGAGUUUCCCCUUUGAAGUUAUCUUAUCGGAUUGAGUCUUUUAUGAGAACACUUGAUGUAUGUCUUGCCGUGUUUAUCUGUGGUGACAAUGGGAUAUCAUGUGCCUCUUGAUGUAUGUUUUGGUGACCAACUUGCGGGUUCCGCCCAUGAACCUAUGCAUAGGGGUUGGCACACGUUCUUGACUCUCCGGUAGAAACUUUGGGGCACUCUUUGGAGUACUUUGUGUUGGUUGGAUGAAUCUGAGAUUGUGUGAUGCAUAUCGUAUAAUCAUGCCCACGGAUACUUGAGGUGACAAUGGAGUAUCUAGGUGACAUUAGGGUUUUGGUUGAUUUGUGUCUUAAGGUGUUAUUCUAGUACGAACUCUUUUAUAGAUCGAUCCGAAAGAAUAACUUUGAGGUGGUUUCGUACCCUACCAUAAUCUCUACGUUUGUUCUCCACUAUUAGUGGCUUUGGAGUGACUCUUUGUUGCAUGUUGAGGGAUUGUUAUAUGAUCUAUCUAUGUUAUUAUUGUUGAGAGAACUUGCACUAGUGAAAGUAUGAACCCUAGGCCUUGUUUCCUAUCAUUGCAAUACCGUUUAUGCUCACUUUUACCACUUGUUACCUUGCUGUUUUUACAAUUUCAGAUUACAAAAACCUUUAUCUACUAUCUAUUUUGCACUUGUAUCUUCAUAUCUUCGCCGAACUAGUGCACCUAUACAAUUUACCAUUGUAUUGGGUGUGUUGGGGACAUAAGAGACUCUUUGUUAUUUGGUUGUAGGGUUGCUUGAGAGAGACCAUCUUCAUCCUACGCCUCCUACGGAUUGAUAAACCUUAGGUCAUCCACUUGAGGGAAAUUUGCUACUGUCCUACAAACCUAUGCACUUGCAGGCCCAACAACGUCUACAAGAAGAAGGUUGAGUAGUAGACAUCAAGCUCUUUUCUGGCGCCGUUGCCGGGGAGGUUAGUGCUUGAAGGUAUAUCUUUAGAUCUUGCAAUCGAAUCUUUUUGUUUCUUGUUUUAUCACUAGUUUAGUUUAUAAAAGAAAACUAAAAAAAAUGGAGUUAAGUUUGUCUCUUACGCUUCGUCUUUUUAAUAUCUUUCGUGAGUUUGAUGAAAAGGAAAAUUGUGCUCAAGUGCUAGAAGAAGAAUUACAUAGAAUGCUUGGCAUGAAAUAUGUGAAUGAUGAGCAUGAUUGCCAUGUUGUUAGUAUGAAUUCCUUGAAUAUCCAUGAUGCUAAUGAUAUGCAAUGCCACAAGCUUGGGGAAGCUAUGUUUGAUGAAUAUGAUAUUUUUAGUCCCCCAAGUUUUGAUGAGAAUAUUUAUUAUGAUGAAAGCAUGCCUCCUAUUAUGAUGAUUAUAUUGAUGAAAGUGGGUUUAAAGAGUGUCAACUUUAGGAAGUAGUGAUCCCACUAUUUUGGAGGAUGUUGAAUCUUAUUGUGAUGAACAUGAAAGUGGAUUUGGAAGAGUGUCAACUUUAUUUAGUGAUGAUUCCACUAUUUCGGAAGAGGUUCCAAUUGAUUAUGAGAACAAAGUUGCUAUCUAUGAUGAUUAUUGUGAUGACUUGUAUGCUAUUAGGAAUAAUGAUAACCAUGAAACUUGUCAUCAUGAUUUUAGUUUUCAAUUGGAUUAUGCCUCACAUGAUAAUUAUUUUGUUGAGUUUGCUCCCACUAUUAUUCAUGAGAAGAAUUUUGCUUAUGUGGGGAGUAGUAAAUUUUCUAUGCUUGUAGAUCAUGAAAAGAAUGCUUUAGGUGCUGGUUAUAUUGUUGAAUUCAUUCAUGAUGAUACUGAAAAUUAUUAUGAGGGAGGAACAUAUGCUUGUAGGAAUUGCAAUAAUGUCAACUUUCCUCUCUAUGUGUUGAAAAUCUUGAAGUUAUGCUUGUUUUACCUCCCUAUGCUAGUUGAUUAUUGUUCCCAUAAGUUGUUUGCUCAUAAAAUCCCUAUGCAUAGAAAGUGGGUUAGGCUUAAAUGAGAUAGUCAUAUGCUUCAUGAUGCUCCCGUUAUGUUUCAAUUCUUAUCUUUUAUGUGAGCAUCAUUGCCAUCAUCAUGCCUAGCUAGAAAGGCAUUAAAGAAAAGCUCUUGUUGGGAGACAACCCAAUAUUUAUCCUUACUGUUUUUGUGUGUCCACAUGAUUAUGCUACUGUAGUAAUCAUGUUUUAUAGCCUUUGUUUCAAUAAAGUGCCAAGUAGAACCUUUGGGAAUACUUGGGUGAAGUUUAUGUGAUCUUGCUGUAAGAAACAGAAACUUUUGCGCUCACGAGAAUAGCUGCCAUUUUUUUUACUAGAGAGUGAUUUUAGGUUGAUUCUUUUUGCAGAUGAUUAAUAGACAAAUUCCUCAGGUCCAGCAAUUUAUUUCAUACUUUUUGGGGUUCCAGAGGUAUACGUUUGAUACAGAUUACUACAGACUGUUCUGUUUUUGACAGAUUCUGUUUUCCUUGUGUUGUUUGCUUAUUUUGAUACAUCUAUGAGUAGUAUCGGAGGGUAUGAACCAUAGAGAAGUUGGAAUACAGUAGGUUUUACACCAAUAUGAAUUUAGAAUGAGUUCAUUACAGUAUCUAAGUGGUGGUUUUAUUUUCUUAUACUAACGGAGCUUACGAGUUUUGUUUUGAGUUUUGUGUGGUUGAAGUUUUCAAGUUUUGGGUAAAGAUUCGAUGGACUAUGGAAUAAGGAGUGAAAAGAGCCUAAGAUUGGGGAUGAACAAGGCACCCCAAGGUAAUCUUCAAGGACAACCAAGAGCCUAAGCUUGGGGAUGCCCCGGAAGGCAUCCCCUCUUUCGUCUUUGUUCAUCGGUAACUUUACUUGGAGCUAUAUUUUUAUUCGCCACAUGAUAUGUGUUCUGCUUGGAGCGUCAUUUCCUUUUGUUAGUGAUUGCUUGAUGUUAGUUAGAAUAAUGUUUUGCUUCUUUAGUUUCAAUAAAAGUGUCAAGGAUAGCCUUUGCCAUGCUUAUUUUGCUACUAUACAUGUUGCUGUUUAAAAACAGAAAGUUUACCGCUGUUGCAAAAAUUUUGUAGAAAAGUCAGAGAAUGGUAUAACGUUGAAUCUUUUUGCAUAUUAAGCUCUGAUAAAUUUAUUACAGUCGGUAGUUUAUUUCAUAAUUUUUGGAGUCAGGGAAGUAUUGAUACUCUUGCAUUCUUUACAGACUGUACUGUUUUGGCAGAUUGCUGUUAUGUUUGCAUUGUUUGCAUAUGUUUGCUUGUUUAAUGAUUCUAUUUAAGGAUAGGAGUAUUAAAUAUGAAGAGGAAUUUAGUAUGAAAUGUUGAAUAAUAAUUUUAGUGAUUUGUUACAGUAGAAAAUGAUAAGGUUUUGCAUUGGUUUAUACUAACCUAUCUCACGAGUUCUUGUUCAGUUUGUUGUGAAUGAAGCUUUUUAUAAUAAAAAGAAACCAUGAUACGAGAGGAAUUAAAGAGACACAAAAGUUCAAGCUUGGGGAUGCCCAAGGCACCCCAAGAUAAUAUUUCAAGAAGUCUCAAGCAUCUAAGCUUGGGGAUGCCCCGGUAGGCAUCCCACCUUUCUUCUUCAACAAUCAUCGGUUAGUAUCGGUUGAGCCUAAGUUUUUGCUUCUUCACAUGAGUUGUGCUAUCCUUGCAAUUUUAUUUUAUUUUGUUUUGCUUGCUGCUUGAAUACAAUACCAAGAUCUGAAAUCCUUUAAUGAGAGGGAGUCUUCAUAUAGUUGCAUAAUUAUUUAGCUACUCAUUGAUCUUCACUUAUAUCUUUUUGGAGUAGCUUUUCAUUUACUCGUGUGCUUCACUUAUAUCCUAUGAAUAAAUUGUUGAAUGAGUUGAAUGUCAUAAAUCUGAAUUUAUAUAUGUUUCAUUUGCUUAUCCCAUGGGGAGUUAUGAUUUCACAUCUAAGAAGUAGAGGUUUUAAGUUUAUUGACGGUUAGCAAGCAUUGUUUUAGUCAUUUGAACAAUUCAUGAAAGAAUAUUGAAGGAAGAGAGAUUUCACAUAUAAAUAUAUUAUCAUAGACAUCUUUUAUAAUUGUGAGUACUCAUUAAGUAUGACAUGCUAACGAGUUGAUGUUGGACAAGGAAGACAACGUAAUGGGUUAUGUUCUCUCGUAUCUCAGUUAAAGUAUAUUGUCAUGGAUCAUUCAAACAUGUUGAGCUUGCCUUUCCCCCUCAUGCUAGCCAAAAUUCCUAGCACCAAGUAGAGAUACUACUUGUGCUUCCAAAUAUCCCUAAACCCAGUUUUGCCAUGAGAGUCCACCAUACCUACCUAUGGAUUGAGUAAGAUCCUUCAAGUAAGUUGUCAUCAGUGCAAGCAAUAAAAAUUGCUCUCUAAAUAUGCAUGACUUAUUAGUGUGGAGAAAAUAAGCUUUGUACGAACUUGUUAUGGAAGCAAUAAAAGCGAUGGACUGCAUAAUAAAGUUCCAUAUACAAGGGGCAAUAUAAAGUGACUUCUUUCGCAUUAAGAUUUUGUGUAUCCAACCCUAAAAGCGCAUGACAACCUCUGCUUCCCUCUGCGAAGGGCCUAUCUUUUACUUUAUGUUUUUUACUUUAUGCAAGAGUCAAGGUGAUCUUCACCUUUCCCUUUUUCAUUUUAUCCUUUGGCAAGCACUUUGUGUUAGGGUGAUCCUGAUAUAUAUAUCCAAUUGGAUGUACGUUAGCAUGAACUAUUAUUGUUGACAUCACCCAAAGGUGAAUACGUUUGGAGGCAACAUUAUAAGCCCCAAUCUUUCUCUAUGUCUGAUUAAAACUUCAUAACCACAAGUAUUGCGUGAGUGUUAGCAAUUGUAGAAGACUAUAUGAUAGUUGAGUAUGUGAAGUUUGCUAAAUCAAAGCUCUGACAUAGACUCUUCCUGAAAGUAAGAUGAAUUGCAAUUGUUUGAUGACUAAGAAUGAAGUUUGCUAGUUUUCAAGAAAGUUUAUGGUCUAUGCUUUAAUAUGUGAAUUGCUUGUUACUAGUUUGUGAAAAGUUUUAUGGGAUGAACUACUGUUAUGACAUAUAAUCAUGCUAGAAAAGGUGAUUGAAAUUAUCAUUGAUCAAACUUGUGCACCUUCUAGCAUUCACACUUCAUAAACUCUUUCUUUUAUCAUUUACCUACUCGAGGACGAGUAGGAAUUAAGCUUGGGGAUGUUGAUACGUCUCCAACGUAUCUACAAUUUAUGAAGCAUUCAUACUAUAUUACUAUGUGUUUUGAAUGAUUAUGGGCUUUAUUAUACACUUUUAUAUUACUUUUGGGACUAACCUAUUAACCGGAGGCCCAGCCCAUAUUGCUGUUUUAUUGCCUGUUUCAGUAUUUCAAAGAAAAGGAAUAUCAAACGGAGUCCAAACGGAAUGAAACCUUCGGCAUCAUGAUUUUUUGGACGAAUACCAUCCUGGAGGCUUGGAGAUCAAGUCAGAAGAUACUUGAGGAGCCCAGGAGAUAGGGGGCGCCCCCCCUACAGGGUGCGGCCCCCUGUCUCGUGGGCCCCUCGAGCACCUCCCGACCGACUUCUUUCGCCUAUAUAUUCCCCCGUACUCUAAAAACAUCGAAAAUCAAGAUAGAUCGGGAGUUCCGCCGCUGCAAGCCUUUGUAGCCACCAAAAACCUCUCGGGAGCCCUUCCCGGCACCGUGUCGGAGGGGGGAUCCUUCACCGGUGGCCAUCUUCAUCAUCCCGGUGCUCUCCAUGAUGAGGAGGGAGUAGUUCACCCUCGGGGCUGAGGGUAUGUACCAGUAGCUAUGUGUUUGAUCUCUCUCUCUCUCUCGUGUUCUCUCUCGUGUUCCCUCUAUGGCACGAUCUUGAUGUAUCCCGAGCUUUGCUAUUGUAGUUGGAUCUUAUGAUGUUUCUCCCCCUCUACUCUCUUGUGAUCAAUUGAGUUUCCCUUUGAAGUUAUCUUAUCGGAUUGAGUCUUUUAUGAGAACACUUGAUGUAUGUCUUGCCGUGUUUAUCUGUGGUGACAAUGGGAUAUCAUGUGCCUCUUGAUGUAUGUUUUGGUGACCAACUUGCGGGUUCCGCCCAUGAACCUAUGCAUAGGGGUUGGCACACAUUCUUGACUCUCCGGUAGAAACUUUGGGGCACUCUUUGAAGUACUUUGUGUUGGUUGGAUGAAUCUGAGAUUGUGUUAUGCAUAUCGUAUAAUCAUGCCCACGGAUACUUGAGGUGACAAUGGAGUAUCUAGGUGACAUUAGGGUUUUGGUUGAUUUGUGUCUUAAGGUGUUAUUCUAGUAGGAACUCUUUUAUAGAUCGAUCCGAAAGAAUAACUUUGAGGUGGUUUUGUACCCUACCAUAAUCUGUACGUUUGUUCUCCGCUAUUAGUGGCUUUGGAGUGACUCUUUGUUGCAUGUUGAGGGAUUGUUAUAUGAUCUAUCUAUGUUAUUAUUGUUGAGAGAACUUGCACUAGUGAAAGUAUGAACCCUAGGCCUUGUUUCCUAUCAUUGCAAUACCGUUUACGCUCACUUUUACCACUUGUUACCUUGCUGUUUUUACAAUUUCAGAUUACAAAAACCUUUAUCUACUAUCUAUUUUGCACUUGUAUCUUCAUCUCUUCGCCGAACUAGUGCACCUCUACAAUUUACAAUUGUAUUGGGUGUGUUGGGGACACAAGAGACUCUUUGUUAUUUGGUUGCAGAGUUGCUUGAGAGAGACCAUCUUCAUCCUACGCCUCUGAUACGUCUCCAACGUAUCUAUAAUUUAUGAAGUAUUCAUGCUAUUAUAUUACCCAUCUAUGGUGUUUUAUAUGCAUUUAUAUAUCAUUUUAUAUGAUUUUUGGGACUAACCUAUUGACCUAGAGCCCAGUGCCAGUUUAUGUUUUCUCCUUGUUUUUGUGUUUUACAGAAAAGGGAUACCAAACGGAGUCCAAAUGACGUGCCAAUUUUUGAGGAUUUUUUUAUGGACCAAAAGAAGACCACGGAGCAUCGGAGUUGGGCCAGAAGAGCUCCGGGCUGCCCACGAGAUAGGAGGGCGCGCCCCUAGGGGGGGCGCCCCCCUGUCUUGUGGACGGCCCGGAGACCCCCCUUACGUGAAACCAACGCCAAUAAUUCCUAUAAAUACAGAAACUUUCGGGAAUUAACCUAGAUCGGAAGUUCCGCCGCUGCAAGCCUCUGUAGCCACGAGAAAUCAAUCUAGGCCCUCUCUGGCACCCUGCCAGAGGGGGCCAUCAUCACCGGAGGCCAUGGAGGAGGAUCUCCGAGGGGCCAUCAUCUCCAUGAAGGCCUAGGACCAGAGGGGGAAAGCCACGGAGGAGGAAGCACAAGGGGGAGAACCUCUCCUCCUCUUUCUUGGUGGCACCAGAGUGCCAUCGGGAGGGGAAUCAUCGCCGCGGUGAUCGUCUUCAUCAACAUCACCAUCAUCAUCACCAUCCUCAUCUCUUUUACACGGUCCACUCUCCCGCACUCCGCUGUAAUCCCUACUUGAACAUGGUGCUUUAUGCUACAUAUUAUGAUCCAAUGAUGUGUUGCCAUCUUAUGAUGUUUUGAGUAGAUAUCUUUUGUCUUUGGGUUGAUUGAUGAUCUAGAUUGGUAUGAGUUGUAUGUUUCGCUUUGAUGCUGUCCUAUGGUGCCCUCCAUGUCGCACAAGCAUGAGGAUUCCCGCUGUAGGGUGUUGCAACACAUUCAUGAUUCGCUUAUAGUGGGUUGGUGAGUGACGGAAACACGAACCCGAGUAAGAGGGGUUGUUGCGUAUGGGAAUAAAGAGGACUUGAUGCUUUAAUGCUAUGGUUGGGUUUUACCUUAAUAAUCUUUAGUAUUUGCGGACGCUUGCUAGGGUUCCAAUCAUAAGUGCAUAUGAUCCAAGUAGAGAAAGUAUGUUAGCUUUUGCCUCUCCCUCAUAUGAAAUUGCAAUAGUGACUACCGGUCUUGUUAACAAUUGCCUAGGACAAUUCCGCACACCGAUCCACCAUUAUUCCACACUCGCUAUUUAUAUUAUUUAGUAUUAUAUUCUAACUUCAUGAUAACAGCACCUACUUUUAUGUUUUAGCUCUCCGAUAUCAUACAAAGUUAUCCUCUUUAUACCCACAACACAGUUUUAUUUCUUGUUUCUAGUUGGAAGCAAACGUUCGGUGCACGUAGAGUCGUAUCAGUGGAAGAUAGGGCUUGAGAGAAUAUUGAUCUUACCUUUAUCUCCUUGUGGGUUCGACACUCCAUACUUAUCACUUCCACCUUUGGGAAUUGCUACGAUGAUUCCUUGCACUUGGGGAUUAUCAAGCUCUUUUCUGGCGCCGUUGCCGGGGAGCAAUAGCGUGGGGUUGAUAUUCUCGUGUGUGCUUGUUUGCUUUCUUUACUUAGUAGAUUUUGUUUUUCCUUUUUGUUUCUGUUUAGUUGUGGGUGAAACAUAUAAAAAAUUCAAAAAGAAUUAAAAUACCAAAAAGGAAUUGCUUGCCUUUCAUGCCUAAAAAAGUUUUUAGAAAAGAGAAGUGAUUGGAAAGUUAUGCAUUGAAGAAGUGAGGGUCGACCUUGAGCACUUGUGUUCAUGCUCACGGAAACAAUGUAGAAUUUUUUCAUGGAAGUUUCUCUGUAAAUAAUUAUCCCCUUGUAUAUAUUCAUUGUAUUAUAAAAUUAAUGUGUCAAGCUUUGGUUUUAGCAUGAUAAGAUUUCUUGUUUACUAUGUGCAGAACAAAAACAGAAACUUUGGCUGUAGUGCAUGAAUUUACAUUUUUUACUGGAAAGUCAAAUGGGUCUGAAACUUUUUACACAUUACUUCUUUACAAAAUGUUCAAAUUGUAAAAUGUAUUUCAUAAUUUUUGGAGUUACAGAAGUUUACUAAACUUCCAGAUUACUAUAGACUGUCCUGUUCUUAACAGAUUCUAUUUUUCGUGUGUUGUUUGCUUAUUUUGAUGCAUCUAUGGCUAGUAUCGGGGGGUAUGAACCAUAGAGAAGUUGGAAUACAGUAGGUUUACCACCAAUAUAAACAAAGAAUGAGUUAAUUACAAUACUUUAAAGUGGUAGUUUGCUUUAUUACACUAACGGAUCUCACAAAGUUUUUGUUUAAGUUUUUGUGAAUGAAGUGUUUGAAGAACGAGGAGUUACCGAUGUGAGAAGAAAAAGAGAGAGAGAAGAGUUCAAACUUGGGGAUGCCCAAGGCACCCCAAGUAAAUAUUUCAAAGGAUACUCAAGCGCCUAAGCUUGGGGAUGCCCCGGUGGCAUCCCAUCUUUCUUCUUCGACAAAUAUCGGUAUACCUCGGUUUUUGUUUUGUUCACAUUGUUUGUGUCCUUUGUGUUUGUAUUUUCCUUUAAGAAUCAUGCUAGUAUGAGAUAGCUCUUCAUUGAUUUAUAGAAUACUUCAUGUGCUUCACUUAUAUCUUUUAAGUAUGAUCUUAUAGAAUUGCUCCAUGAACCUCACUUAUAUCUUUUGGAGUAUGAAUAAUGCUAUAGUUUAAAGUGGGUUUGGAAGAGUGUCAACUUUAUGAAUUAGUGAUCCCACUAUCUUGGAGGGAGUUGAAUCUCUGUACGAUAUUUAUGAAAGUGGAUUUGGAAGAGUGUCAACUUUAGUUAGUAUUCCACUAUUUUUGAAAGAGGUUCCAAUUGAGUAUGAGAACAAAAUAGCUAUCCAUGAUGCUACUGAAAAUUAUUAUGAGGGAGGAAUAUGUGCUUGUAGGAGUUGCAAUAAUGUCAAGUUUCUUCUCUAUGUGCUUAAUGUUUUGGAGUUAAACUUGUUUUGCCUUCCUACGCUAGUUGAUUCUUGUUCCUAUAAUUUGUGUGCUCACAAAAUCCCUAGGCAUAGUAAGUGAGUUAGAUUUAAAUAUGCUAGUCAUAUUCUUCAUGAUGCUCUCUUUGUGUUUCAACUCUUAUAUUUUGUGCGAGCAUCAUUGAAAUCAUCAUGCCUAACUAAAAGGCGUUAAAGAAAAGCGCUUGUUGGGAGACAACCCAAUAUUUAUCCUUACUGUUUUUGUGUGUCAACAUGAUUAAGCUACUGUAGUAAUCAUGUUUUAUAGCUUUUGUUUCAAUAAAGUGCCAAGUAAGACCUUUGGGAAGACUUGGGUGAAAGUUAAUGUGAUCUUGCUGUAAAAAACAGAAACUUUGCGCUCACGAGAUUAGCUGUCAUUUUUUUACAUAAGAGUGAUUUUGAGUUGAUUCUUUUUGCAGAAGAUUAAUAGACAAAUUCCUCACGUCCACCAAUUUAUUUCAUAAUUUUUGGAGUAGCAGAAGUAUGGUUAUUGUUCAGAUCAUUACAGACUGUUCUGUUUCUGACAGAUUCUGUUUUCAUUGCAUAGUUUGCUUGUUUUCUAGUUUCUAUGGCUUAUAUUUCUCAAUAUAAAUUGUAGAAAUGAUAUGGUACAGUAGGCAUUAUGUGAAAAUAAUUAUGAACCUUGUCUUUUACAGUACCAAAGUGCAUGGUUUACUCUUUAUCAUACUAACCUAUCUCACGAAGUUCCAUUAAGUUUUGUGUGAUUGAAGUUUUCAAGUUUUGGGUGAGAUAUCGAUAUGAGGAGAAUAAGGAGUGGAAAUACCCUAAUCUUGGGGAUGCACAAGGCAUUCCAAGGUAAUAUUCAAGGAAGACUCAAGCGCCUAAGCUUGGGGAUGCCCCGGAAGGCAUCCCCUCUUUCGUCUUCAAAACUAUCGGUAUAUCUUACUCGGAGCUAUAUUUUUAUUUGUCACAUGAUAUGUGUUUUGCUUGGAGCGUCAUUUUAUUUUGUUAGUAUUUGCUUUCUGUUAUUUAUAUUAGUGUUUUGCAUCUUCAUUUUCAAUAAAACAGUCAAGGAUAGCCUUUGCCAUGCUUAUUUUGCUUGUAUACAUGUUGCUGUUUGAAAACAGAAAGUUUACCGCUGCUGCAAAAAUUCCCUAGAAAAGUCAGAGAAUGGUAUAACGUUCAAUCUUUUUGCAUAUUGAGCUCUGAUAAAUUCAUUACAGUGGUAAUUUUAGUUCAUAAUUUUUGGGGUCAGGGAAGUAUUGAUACUCUUGCAUUCUUUACAGACUGUACUGUUUUGGCAGAUUGCUGUUAUGUUUGCAUUGUUUGCAUAUGUUUGCUUGUUUAGUGAUUCUAUUUAAGGAUAGGAGUAUUAAAUAUGCAGAGGAAUUUAGUAUGAAAUGUUGAAUAAUAAUUUUAGUGAUUUGUUACAGUAGAAAAUGAUAAGGUUUUGCAUUGGUUUAUACUAACCUAUCUCACGAGUUCUUGUUGAGUUUGUUGUGAAUGAAGCUUUUUAUAAAAAGAGAAACCAUGAUAUGAGAGGAAUUAAGGAGACAUAAAAGCUCAAACUUGGGGAUGCCCAAGGAACCCCAAGAUAAUAUUCCAAGAAGUCUCAAGCAUCUAAGCUUGGGGAUGCCUCGCUAGUCAUCCCACCUUUCUUCUUCAACAACUAUCGGUUAGUAUCGGUUGAGCCUAAGUUUUUGCUUCUUCACAUGAGUUGUGAUAUCCUUGCAAUGUCAUUUUAUUUUGUUUUACUUGCUGUUUGAAUAAAAUCAUUGGAUAUGAAUUAUUGAAUAAAAAGGAAUCCUCCCAUGGCUAGAUAAUUAUUUGACUACUCAGUGUCCUUCACUCAUAUCUUUUGGAGUAGUUUGUCAUUUACUCAUGUGCUUCAUGUAUAUCCUAUGAGUAAAUGGGGGAAAUGAAUUGAAUGCCAUAAAUCUGAAUUUUUAUAUGUUUCAUAUGCUUAUAACAUGGUUAGUGAUGACUUCACACAUAGAAAGUAUGAGGCAUAAAAGUUGUUGAGAGUUGGCAAACGUAGUUUUGGUCAUCAUUGCAAUUAAUAGGAAGUAAUUCGGAAAGAUAGGUUCACAUACAAAUAUAUUAUCUUGGACAUCUUUUAUGAUUGUGAAGCAGUCAUUAAGUAUGACAUGCUAAAAAGAGUUGACAUUGGACAAGGAAGACAACAUAAUGGUUUAUGUUUUCCGACAUCUCAGUUAAAGUAUAUUGUCAUUGACCUUCCAAACAUGUUGAGCUUGCCUUUCCCCCUCAUGCUAGCCAAAAAUUCCUAGCACCAAGUAGAGAUACUACUUGUGCUUCCAAAUAUCCUUAAACCCAGUUUUGCCAUGAGAGUCCACCAUAUCUACUUAUGGAUUGAGUAAGAUCCUUCAAGUAAGUUGUCAUCGGUGCAAGCAAUAAAAAUUGCUCUCUAAAUAUGCAUGACUUAUUAGUGCGGAGAAAAUAAGCUUUGUACGAACUUGUUAUGGAAGCAAUAAAAGCGACGGACUGCAUAAUAAAGGUCCAUAUACAAGGGGCAAUAUAAAGUGAUGUUCUUUCGCAUUAAGAUUUUGUGUAUCCAACCCUAAAAGCGCAUGGCAACCUCUGCUUCCCUCUACGAAGGGCCUAUCUUUUACUUUAUGUUUUUACUUUAUGCUUGAGUCAAGGUGAUCCUUACCUUUCCCUUUUUCAUUUUAUCCUUUGGCGAGGCGAGCUCCUCGUGUUUGAAAUAUNNNNNNNNNNNNNNNNNNNNNNNNNNNNNNNNNNNNNNNNNNNNNNNNNNNNNNNNNNNNNNNNNNNNNNNNNNNNNNNNNNNNNNNNNNNNNNNNNNNNNNNNNNNNNNNNNNNNNNNNNNNNNNNNNNNNNNNNNNNNNNNNNNNNNNNNNNNNNNNNNNNNNNNNNNNNNNNNNNNNNNNNNNNNNNNNNNNNNNNNNNNNNNNNNNNNNNNNNAUAUAUAUAUAUAUAUAUAUAUAUAUAUAUAUAUAUAUAUAUCCAAUUGGAUGUAAGUUAGCAUGGGCUAUUAUUGUUGACAUCACCUAAAGGUGAAUAUGUUGGAAGGCAACACAAUAAGCCCCUAUCUUUCUCAGUGUCCGGCUGAAACUCCAUAACCACAAGUAUUGCGUGAGUGUUAGCAAUUGUAGGAGACUAUAUGAUAGUUGAGUAUGUGGACUUGCUGAAAAGCUCUAUUCUUGACUCUUUCUAAUGUUAUGAUAAAUUGCAAUUGCUUCAAUGACUGAGAUUAUAGUUUGUUAGUUCUCAAUGAAGUUUCUGAACCAUGCUUGACAUUGUGAAUAGAUUGUUACUUGAUCAUGAAAAGUUUUAUGAGAUAAGCUACUAUUAUGACACAUAUUGAUGCUAGAAAAGGUGAUUGAAAUUAUCAUUGAUCAAACUUGUGCACCUACUGUUGAGGAACGUAGCAGAAAUUCAAAAUUUUCCUAUGAAUCACCAAGAUCUAUCUAUGGAGAGACUAGCAACAAGGGAAAGAAGAGUGCAUCUACAUACCCUUGUAGAUCGCUAAGCGGAAGCGUUCAAGAGAACGGGGUUGAAGGAGUCGUACUCGUCGUGAUCCAAAUCACCGGAGAUCCUAGUGCCGAACGGACGGCACCUCCGCGUUCAACACACGUACAACCCGGUGACGUCUCCCAUGCCUUGAUCCAGCAAGGUGAGAGGGAGAGGUUGAGGAAGACUCCAUCCAGCAGCAGCAUAACGGCGUGGUGGUGGUGGAGGAGCGUGGCAAUCCUGCAGGGCUUUGCCAAGCACCGCGAGAGAGGAGAAGGGAGAGAGGUAGGGCUGCGCCAGGGAGAGGUGAAACUCAUGUGUUGGCAGCCCCAAAACCCUCAAGUAUAUAUAGGGGAGAGGGAGGGGGGUGCGCCCCCUCUAGGGUUUCCACCCCAAGGGGUGCGGCUGCCCCAAUCCCAUCUAAGGGUGGCGGCCAAGGGGGGAGAGGGGGAAACUUGUCCCCCGAGUUAGGUGGAAGCACCCCCUCCCCAAACCCUAGGCGCCUUGGGCCCUUGGGGGGGGGGGGGGCGCACCAGCCCACCUGGGGCUGGUCCCCUCCCACACUUGGCCCUUGCAGCCCUCCAGGGCCGGUGGCCCCACUUGGUGGACCCCCAGGACCCUCCCGGUGGUCCCGGUACGUUACCGAUAAAACCCGAAACUUUUCCAAUGACCAAAACAGGACUUCCCAUAUAUAAUUCUUUACCUCCGGACCAUUCCAGAACUCCUCGUGACGCCCGGGAUCUCAUACGGGACUCCGAGCAACAUUCGGUAACCACAUACAAACUUCCUUUAUAACCCUAGCGUCAUCGAACCUUAAGUGUGUAGACCCUACGGGUUCGGGAACCAUGUAGACAUGACCGAGACAUUCUCCGGUCAAUAACCAACAGCGGUAUCUGGAUACCCAUGUUGGCUCCCACAUGUUCCAUGAUGAUCUCAUCGGAUGAACCACGAUUUCAAGGACUCAAUCGAUCCCGUAUACAAUUCCCUUUGUCUAACGGUAUUGUACUUGCCCGAGAUUCGAUCGUCGGUAUCCCGAUACCUUGUUCAAUCUCGUUACCGGCAAGUCUCUUUACUCAUUCCAUAACACAUCAUCCCGUGAUCAACCCCUUGGUCACAUUGUGCACAUUAUGAUGAUGUCCUACCGAGUGGGCCCAGAGAUACCUCUCCGUUUACCGGAGUGACAAAUCCUAGUCUCGAUUCGUGCCAACCCAACAGACACUUUCGAAGAUACCUGUAGUGCACCUUUAUAGUCACCCAGUUACGUUGUGACGUUCGGUACACUCAAAGCAUUCCUACGGUAUCCGGGAGUUGCACAAUCUCAUGGUCUAAGGAAAAGAUACUUGACAUUAGAAAAGCUUUAGCAUACGAACUAAGAUCUUUGUGCUAGGCUUAGGAUUGGGUCUUGUCCAUCUCAUCAUUCUCCUAAUGAUGUGAUCCCGUUAUCAACGACAUCCAAUGUCCAUGGUCAGGAAACCGUAACCUUCUAUUGAUCAACGAGCUAGUCAACUAGAGGCUUACUAGGGACAUGGUGUUGUCUAUGUACCCACACAUGUAUCUGAGUUUCCUAUCAAUACAAUUAUAGCAUGGAUAAUAAACGAUUAUCAUGAACAAGGAAAUAUAAUAAUAACUAAUUUAUUAUUGCCUCUAGGGCAUAUUUCCAAUAGUCUCCCACUUGCACUAGAGUCAAUAAUCUAGUUCACAUCGCUAUGUGAUUAACGCUGACAGGUCACAUCGCCAUGUGACCAACAUCCAAAGAGUUUACUAGUGUCACUAAACUAGUUCACAUCAUCAUGUGAUUAAGACUCAAUGAGUUCUGGGGUUUGAUCAUGUUUUGCUUGUAAGAGAGGUUUUAGUCAACGGGUCUGCAACAUUCAGAUCCGUAUGUACUUUGCAAAUCUCUAUGUCAUAUUGUAAAUGCUGCUUCCACGCUCCACUUGGAGCUAUUCCAAAUGGUUGCUCCACUAUAUGUAUCCGGUUUGCUACUCAGAGUCAUUCAGAUAGGUGUUAAGCUUGCAUCGACGCAACUCUUUACGUCGAACUCUUUAUCACCUCCAUAACCGAGAAACAUAUCCUUAUUCCUCUAAGGAUAAUUUUGACCGCCAUCUGGUGAUCCACUCCUUGAUCACCUUUGUACCCUCUUGCCAGACAUGUGGCAAGGCACACAUCAGGUGCGGUACUUAGCAUAGCAUACUGUAGAGCCUACGUCUAAAGCAUAGGGGACGACCUUCGUCCUUUCUCUCUUUUCUGCCGUGGUCGAGCUUUAAGUCUUAACUUCAUACCUUACAUCUCAGGCAAGAACUCCUUCUUUGACUGAUCCAUCUUGAACACCUUCAAGAUCAUGUCAAGGUAUAUGCUCAUUUGAAAGUAUUAUUAAGCAUUUUGAUCUAUCCUUAUAGAUCUUGAUGCUCAAUGUUCAAGUAGCUUAAUCCAGGUUUUUUAUUGAAAAACAUAUUUCAAAUAACCCUAUAUGCUUUCCAGAAAUUCUACAUCAUUUCUGAUCAACAAUAUGUCAACAACAUAUACUCAUCAGAAAUUCUAUAGUGCUCCCACUCACUUCUUUGGAAAUACAAGUUUCUCAUAAACUUUGUAUAAACCCAAAAUCUUUGAUCAUCCUAUCAAAGUGCACAUUCCAACUCCGAGAUGCUUACUCCAGUCCUUAGAAGGAUCGCUGGAGCUAGCAUACCUUUUAGCAUCCUUAGGAUCGACAAAACCUUUCUGAUUGUAUCACAUACAAUCUUUCCUUACGAAAACUGGUAAGGAAACUCGUUUUGACAUCCAUCUGCCAGAUUUCAUAAAUGCAGCUAAUGCUAACAUGAUUCCGACGGACUUAAGCAUCGCUACGGAUGAGAAAAUCUCAUCAUAGUCAACUCCUUGAACUUGUGAAAAACUCUUCGCCACAAGUCGAGCUUCAUAGACGGUGACAUUACCGUCCACGACCGUCUUCUUCUUAAAAAACAUUUAUCUCAAUGGCUUGCCGAUCAUCGGGCAAGUCCACCAAAGUCCAUGAUUUGUUCUGAUACAUGGAUCCUAUCUCAGAUUUCAUGGCUUCUAACCAUUUGUCGGAAUUUGGGCCCACCAUCGCUUCUCCAUAGCUCGUAGGUUCAUUGUUGUCUAGCAACAUGACCUUCAAGACAGGAUUACUGUACCACUCUGAAGUAGUACGCAUCCUUGUCACCCUACGAGGUACGGCAGUGACUUGAUCCGAAACUUCAUGAUCACUAUCAUAAGCUUCUACUUCAAUUGGUGUAGGAGCCACAGGAACAACUUCCUGUGCCCUGCUACACACUAGUUGAAGUGACGGUUCAAUAACCUCAUCAAGUCUCCACCAUCCUCCCACUCAACUUUCCAAGAUAAACUUUUCCUCGAGAAAGGACCCGAUUCAAGAAACAAUCCCUAUUGCUUUCGGAUCUGAAUUAGGAGGUAUACCCAACUGUUUUGGGUGUCCUAUGAAGAUGCAUUUUAUCUGCUUUGGGUUCGAGCUUAUCAACCUGAAACUUUUUCACAUAAGCGUCGCAGCCCCAAACUUUUAAGAAAUGACAACUUAGGUUUCUCUAAACCAUAGUUCAUACGGUGUCAUCUCAACGGAAUUAUGUGGUGCCCUAUUUAAAGUGAAUGUGGUUGUAUCUAAUGCCUAACCCAUAAACGAUAGUGGUAAUUCGAUAAGAGACAUCAUGGUACGCACCAUAUCCAAUAGGAUGCAACUAUGAUGUUUGGACACACCAUCACACUAUGGUGUUCCAGGCGGUAUUAAUUGUGAAACAAUUUCCACAAUGUCUUAAUUGCGUGCCAAAGCUUGUAACUCAGAUACUCAUCUCUGUGAUCAUAUCAUAGAUAUUUUAUCCUCUUGUCACAAUGAUCUUCAACUUCACUCUGAAAUUACUUGAACCAUUCAAUAAUUCAGACUUGUGUUUCAUCAAGUAAAUAUACUCAACAUCUACUCGAAUCAUCUGUGAAGUAAGAACAUAACGAUAUUCACUGCAUGCCUUAGCACUCAUUGGACUGCUCACAUCAAAAUGUGUUACUUCCAACAAGUUGCUAUCUUGUUCCAUCUUACUGAAAACGAGGCUUUUCAGUCAUCUUGCCCAUGUGGUAAGAUUUGCAUAUCUCAAGUGAUUCAAAAUCAAGUGAGUCCAGACGAUCCAUCUGCAUGGAGUUUCUUCAUGCGUAUACACCAAUAGACAUGGUUCGCAUGUCUCAAACUUUUCAAAAAUGAGUGAGUCCAAAGAUCCAUCAACAUGGAGCUUCUUCAUGCGCUUUAUACCAAUAUGACUUACAUGGCAGUGCCACAAGUAAGUGGUACUAUCAUUACUAUCUUAUAUUUUUGGCAUGAAAAUGUGUAUCACUACGAUCGAGAUUUAAUAAACCAUUCCUUUAGGUGCAAGACCAUUGAAGGUAUUAUUCAAAUAAAUAGAGUAACCAUUAUUCUCCUUAAAUGAAUAACCGUAUUGCGAUAGACAUAAUCCAAUCAUGUCUAUGCUCAACGCAAACACCAAAUGACAAUUAUUCAGGUUUAAUACUAAUCUUGAUGGUAGAGGGAGCAUGCGAUGUUUGAUCACAUCAAACUUGGAAACACUUCCAACACAUAUCGUCAUCUCACCUUUAGCUAGUCUCCGUUUAUUCCGUAGCUCUUUUAUUUCGAGUUACUAACACUUAGCAACCGAACCGGUAUCUAAUACCCUGGUGCUACUAGGGGUACUAGUAAAGUACACAUUAACAUAAUGUAUAUCCAAUAUACUUCUAUCGACCUUGCUAGCCUUCUCAUCUACCAAGUAUCUAGGGUAAUUCUGCUUCAGUGGCUGUUCCCCUUAUUACAGAAGCACUUAGUCUCGGGUUUGGGUUCAACCUUGGGUUUGUUCACUAGAGCAGCAGCUGAUUUGCCGUUUCAUGAAGUAUCCCUUCUUGCCCUUGCCCUUCUUGAAACUAGUGGUUUCACCAACCAUCAACAAUUGAUGCUCCUUCUUGAUUUCUACUUUCGCGGUGUCAAACAUCGCGAAUACCUCAAGGAUCAUCAUAUCUAUCCCUGAUAUGUUAUAGUUCAUCACGAAGCUCUAGCAGCUUGGUGGCAAUGACUUUGGAGAAACAUCACUAUCUCAUUUGGAAGAAACUCCCACUCAAUUCAAGUGAUUGUUGCACUCAGACAAUCUGAGCACAAGCUCAACGAUUGAGCUUUUCUCCCUUAGUUUGCAGGCUAAGCAAAUCGUCGGAGGUCUUAUACCUCUUGACGUGGGCACGAGCCUGAAAUCCCAAUUUCAGCCCUCGAAACAUCUCAUAUGUUCCGUGAUGUUUCGAAAAACGUCUUUGGUGCCUCAACUCUAAACCGUUUAACUGAACUAUCACGUAGUUAUCAAAACGUGUAUGUCCGAUGUUCGCAACAUCCAUAAACGACGUUUGGGGUUCAGCACACUGAGCGGUGCAUUAAGGACAUAAGCUUUAUACUGUCCGCAUAAUCGCUACUGUCAACUUUCAACUAUAUUUUCUCUAGGAACAUAUCUAAACAGUGGAACUAAAGCGCGAGCUUACGACAUAAUUUGCAAAGAUCUUUUGACUAUGUUCAGGAUAAUUAAGUUCAUCUUAUGAACUCCCACUCAGAUAGACAUCCCUCUAGUCAUCUAAGUGAUUACAUGAUCCGAGUCAACUAGGCCAUGUCCGAUCAUCACGUGAGACAGACUAGUCAUCAUCGGUGAACAUCUUCAUGUUGAUCGUAUCCUCCAUACGACUCAUGCUCGACCUUUCGGUCUCUUGUGUUCUGAGGCCAUGUCUGUACAUGCUAGGCUCGUCAAGUUAACCUAAGUGUUUCGCGUGUGUAAAUCUGGCUUACACCCGUUGUAUGUGAACGUAAGAAUCUAUCACACCCGAUCAUCACGUGGUGCUUCGAAACGACGAACUUUCGCAACGGUGUUAGGGGGAACACUUUCUUGAAAUUUUAAUGAGGGAUCAUCUUAUUUACUACCGUCGUUCUAAGCAAAUAAGAUGCAUAAACAUGAUAAACAUCACAUGCAAUCAAAUAGUGACAUGAUAUGGCCAAUAUCAUAUUGCUCCUUUUGAUCUCCAUCUUCGGGGCUCCAUGAUCAUCAUCGUCACCGGCAUGACACCAUGAUAUCCAUCAUCAUGAUCUCCAUCAUCGUGUCUUCAUGAAGUUGUCUCGCCAACUUAUUACUUCCACUACUAUGGUUACCGGUUAGCAAUAAAGUAAAGUAAUUACAUGGCAUUGUUCAAUGACACGCAGGUCAUACAAUAAAUAAAGACAACUCCUAUGGCUCCUGCCGGUUGUCAUACUCAUCGACAUGCAAGUCGUGAUUCCAAUUACAAGAACAUGAUCAAUCUCAUACAUCACAUAUCCUUCAUCACAUUCUUCUUGGCCAUAUCACAUCACAUAGCAUACCCUGCAAAAACAAGUUAGACGUCCUCUAAUUGUUGUUUGCAUGUUUUACGUGGCUGCUAUGGGUUUCUAGCAAGAACGUUUUUACCUACGCAAAACCACAACGUGAUAUGCCAAUUGCUAUUUACCCUUCAUAAGGACCCUUUUCAUCGAAUCCGUUCCGACUAAAGUGGGAGAGACUGGCACCUGCUAGCCACCUUAUGCACCAAGUGCAUGUCAGUCGGUGGAACCUGUCUCAUGUAAGAGUACGUGUAAGGUCGGUCCGGGCCGCUUCAUCCCACAAUACCGUCGAAACAAGAUUGGACUAGUAACGGUAAGCAUAUUGAAAAAAAUCAACGCCCACAACUACUUUGUGUUCUACUCGUGCAAAGAUUCUACGCAAUAGACCUAGCUCAUGAUGCCACUGUUGAGGAACGUAGCAGAAAUUCAAAAUUUUCCUACGAAUCACCAAGAUCUAUCUAUGGAGAGACUAGCAACGAGGGGAAGAAGAGUGCAUCUACAUACCCUUGUAGAUCGCUAAGCGGAAGCGUUCAAGAGAACGGGGUUGAAGGAGUCGUACUCGUCGUGAUCCAAAUCACCAGAGAUCCUAGUGCCGAACGGACGGCACCUCCGCGUUCAACACACGUACAGCCCGGUGACGUCUCCCAUGCCUUGAUCCAGCAAGGUGAGAGGGAGAGGUUGAGGAAGACUCCAUCCAGCAGCAUCAUAACGGCGUGGUGGUGGUGGAGGAGCGUGGCAAUCCCGCAGGAGGGAGGGGGGUGCGCCCCCUCUAGGGUUUCCACCCCAAGGGGUGCGGCUGCCCCAAUCCCAUCUAAGGGUGGCGGCCAAGGGGGGAGAGGGUGAAACUUGUCCCCCAAGUUAGGUGGAAGCACCCCCUNNNNNNNNNNNNNNNNNNNNNNNNNNNNNNNNNNNNNNNNNNNNNNNNNNNNNNNNNNNNNNNNNNNNNNNNNNNNNNNNNNNNNNNNNNNNNNNNNNNNNNNNNNNNNNNNNNNNNNNNNNNNNNNNNNNNNNNNNNNNNNNNNNNNNNNNNNNNNNNNNNNNNNNNNNNNNNNNNNNNNNNNNNNNNNNNNNNNNNNNNNGCACCAGCCCACCUGGGGCUGGUCCCCUCCCACACUUGGCCCAUGCAGCCCUCCGGGGCCGGUGGCCCCACUUGUUGGACCCCCGGGACCCUCCCGGUGGUCCCGGUACGUUACCGAUAAAACCCGAAACUUUUCCGGUGACCAAAACAGGACUUCCCAUAUAUAAUACUUUACCUCCGGACCAUUCCAGAACUCCUCGUGACGUCCGGGAUCUCAUCCGGGACUCCGAACAACAUUCUCUAACCACAUACAAACUUCCUUUAUAACCCUAGCGUCAUCGAACCUUAAGUGUGUAGACCCUACGGGUUCGGGAACCAUGUAGACAUGACCGAGACGUUCUCCGGUCAAUAACCAACAGCGGGAUAUGGAUACCCAUGUUGGCUCCCACAUGUUCCAUGAUGAUCUCAUUGGAUGAACCACGAUGUCAAGGACUCAAUCGAUCCCAUAUACAAUUCCCUUUGUCUAACGGUAUUGUACUUGCCCGAGAUUCGAUCGUCGGUAUCCCGAUAACUUGUUCAAUCUCGUUACCGGCAAGUCUCUUUACUCGUUCCAUAACACAUCAUCCCGUGAUCAACCCCUUGGUCACAUUGUGCACAUUAUUGUGAUGUCCUACCGAGUGGGCCCAGAGAUACCUCUCCGUUUACCGGAGUGACAAAUCCCAGUCUCGAUUCGUGCCAACCCAACAGACACUUUCGAAGAUACCUGUAGUGCACCUUUAUAGUCACCCAGUUACGUUGUGACGUUUGGUACACCCAAAGCAUUCCUACGGUAUCCUGGAGUUGCACAAUCUCAUGGUCUAAGGAAAAGAUACUUAACAUUAGGAAAGCUUUAGCAUACGAACUACGAUCUUUGUGCUAGGCUUAGGAUUGGGUCUUGUCCAUCUCAUCAUUCUCCUAAUGAUGUGAUCCCGUUAUCAACGACAUCCAAUGUCCAUGGUCAGGAAACCGUAACCAUCUAUUGAUCAACGAGCUAGUCAACUAGAGGCUUACUAGGGACAUGGUGUUGUCUAUGUACCCACACAUGUAUCUGAGUUUCCUAUCAAUACAAUUAUAGCAAGGAUAAUAAACGAUUAUCAUGAACAAGGAAAUAUAAUAAUAACUAAUUUAUUAUUGCCUCUAAGACAUAUUUCGAACACCUACUAGCAUUCACACUUCAUAAAUUAUUUCUUUUAUCAUUUACCUACUCAAGGACGAGCAGGAAUUAAGCUUGGGGAUGUUGAUACGUCUCCAACGUAUCUAUAAUUUAUGAAGUAUUCAUGCUAUUAUAUUACCCAUCUAUGGUGUUUUAUAUGUUGGGGAACGUAGCAGAAAUUCAAAAUUUUCCUACGUGUCACCAAGAUCUAUCUAUGGAGAAACCAGCAACGAGGGGAAGGAGAGUGCAUCUACAUACCCUUGUAGAUCGCUAAGCGGAAGCGUUCAAGAGAACGGGGUUGAAGGAGUCGUACUCGCCGUGAUCCAAAUCACCGGAGAUCCUAGUGCCGAACGGACGGCACCUCCGCGUUCAACACACGUACAGCCCGGUGACGUCUCCCACGCCUUGAUCUAGCAAGGAGAGAGGAAGAGGUUGAGGAAGACUCCAUCCAGCAGCAGCACAACGGCGUGGUGGUGAUGGAGGAGCGUGGUAGUCUGGCAGGGCUUCGCCAAGCACCGCGAGAUAUGAGGAGAAAGAGAGGUAGUGCUGCGCCAACAGGAGAAGAAACUCAUGUGUUGGGAUGCUCCAAUGCCUCCACUAUAUAUAGGGGGAGAGGGGGCUGCGCCCCCACCUAGGUUUCCAGCCCUAGGGAGCGGCGGCCAGCCCUAGAUGGGACUUGGAGGGGGCGGCCAAGAGGGGGAGAGAGGGGGCGCGCCCUAGGGUGGGCCUAUAGGCCCAUCUGCGCCUAGGGUUUCCCCUCUUCCCUCCUAGCUGCGCCUUGGGCAAGGGUGGGAGGCGCACCAGCCCACUCUGGGGCUGGUCCCUUUCCACUCUAGGCCCAUGCAAGCCUCCGGGGCUGGUGGACCCUCCCGGUGGACCCCGGAACCCUUCCGGUGGUCCCGAUACAUUACCGGUGACCCUCAAAACACUUCCGGUGGCCAAAACCUCACUUCCUAUAUAUUAUUCUUUACCUCCGGACCAUUCCGGAACUCCUCGUGACGUCCGGGAUCUCAUCCGGGACUCCGAACAACAUUCGGUAACCACAUACAAACUUCCUUUAUAACCCUAGCAUCAUCGAACCUUAAGUGUGUAGACCCUACGGGUUCGGGAACCAUGCAGACAUGACCGAGACGUUCUCUGGUCAAUAACCAACAGCGGGAUCUGGAUACCCAUGUUGGCUCCCACAUGUUCCACGAUGAUCUCAUCAAAUAAACCACGAUGUCAAGGACUCAAUUGAUCCCGUAUACAAUUCCCUUUGUCUAGCGGUAUUAUACUUGCCCGAGAUUCGAUUGUCGGUAUGCCGAUACCUUGUUCAAUCUCGUUACCGGCAAGUCUCUUUACUCGUUCCCGUAACACAUCAUCCCGUGAUCAACUCCUUGGUCACAUUGUGCACAUUAUGAUGAUGUCCUACCGAGUGGGCCCAGAGAUACCUCUCUGUUAACCGGAGUGACAAAUCCCAGUCUCGAUUCGUGCCAACCCAACAGACACUUUCGGAGAUACCUGUAGUGCACCUUUAUAGCCACCCAGUUACAUUGUGACGUUUGGUACACCCAAAGCAUUCUUACGGUAUCCGGGAGUUGCACAAUCUCAUGGUCUAAGGAAAAGAUACUUGACAUUAGAAAAGCUUUAGCAUACGAACUACACGAUCUCUGUGCUAUGCUUAGGAUUGGGUCUUGUCCAUCACAUCAUUCUCCUAAUGAUGUGAUCCCGUUAUCAACGACAUCCAAUGUCCAUGGUCAGGAAACCGUAACCAUCUGUCGAUCAACGAGCUAGUCAACUAGAGGCUUACUAGGGACAUGGUGUUGUUUAUGUACCCACACAUGUAUCUGAGUUUCCUAUCAAUACAAUUAUAGCAUGGGUAAUAAACGAUUAUCAUGAACAAGGAAAUAUAAUAAUAACUAAUUUAUUAUUGCCUCUAGGGCAUAUUUCCAACAGUCUCCCACUUGCACUAGAGUCAAUAAUCUAGUUCACAUCGCCAUGUGAUUAACACUCACACGUCACAUCGCUAUGUGACCAACAUCCAAAGAGUUUACUAGUGUCAUUAAACUAGUUCACAUCAUCAUGUGAUUAAGACUCAAUGAGUUCUGGGGUUUGAUCAUGUUUUGCUUGUGAGAGAAGUUUUAGUCAACGAUUCUGCAACAUUCAGAUCCAUAUGUACUUCGCAAUUCUCUAUGUCAUAUUGUAAAUGCUGCUUCCACGCUCCACUUGGAGCUAUUCCAAAUGGUUGCUCCACUAUACGUAUCCGGUUUGCUACUCAGAGUCAUUCGGAUAGGUGUUAAAGCUUGCAUCGACGUAAACCUUUACGCCGAACUCUUUAUCACCUCCAUAAUCGAGAGACAUGUCCUUAUUUACUCCAAGGACAAUUUUGACCGCUGUCCAAUGAUCCAUUCCUGGAUCAUUCUUGUACCCCUUGACUAACUCAUGGCAAGGCACACUUCCGGUGCGGUACAUAGCAUAGCAUACUAUAGAGCCUACGUCUAAAGCAUAGGGGACGACCUUCGUCCUUUCUCUCUGUUCUGCCGUGGUCGAGCUUUAAGUCUUAACUUCAUACCUUACAUCUCAGGCAAGAACUCCUUCUUUGACUGAUCCAUCUUGAACACCUUCGAGAUCAUGUCAAGGUAUAUGCUCAUUUGAAAGUACCAUUAAGCGGUUUUUGAUCUAUCCUCAUAGAUCUUGAUGCUCAAUGUUCAAGUAGCUUAAUCCAGGUUUUCACUUGAAAAACACCUUUCAAAUAACCCUAUAUGCAUUCCAGAAAUUCUACAUCAUUUCUGAUCAUCAAUAUGUCAACAACAUAUACUCAUCAGAAAUUCUAUAGUGCUCCCACUCACUUCUUUGGAAAUACAAGUUUAUCAUAAACUUUGUAUAAACCCAAAAUCUUUGAUCAUCUUAUCAAAGUACAUAUUCCAACUCAGAGAUGCUUACUCCAGUCCAUGGAAGGAUCGCUGGAGCUAGCAUACCUUUUAGCAUCCUUAGGAUCGACAAAACCUUUCUGAUUGUAUCACAUACAAUCUUUCCUCAAGUAUAACAUCGAGGAAACAAUGUUUUGACAUCCUAUCUGCAAGAUUUCAUAAAUCAUGCAGUAAUUGCUAAUAUAAUCCCAACAGAUUCUUAGCAUCGCUACGAGUGAGAAAGGCUCAUCGUAGUCAACUCCUUGAACUUGUCGGAAAACAUCUUAACGAUAAGUCGAGCUUUCUUAAUGGUGAUACUUACCAUCAUUGUCUGUCUUUCUUUUCAAAUCCAUCUGUACCCAACGGCCUUACGACCAUCAAGUAUUUCUUCCAAAGUCAUGGAUCCUCUCUCGGAUUUUAUGGCUUCGAGCCAUUCAUCGGAAUCCGGGCCCACCAUCACUUCUCCAUAGCUCGUAGGUUCAUUGUUGUCUAGCAACAUGACCUCCAAGACAAGAUUACAGUACCACUCCGAAGCAGUACGCGUCCUUGUCGUCCUACGAGGUUCGAUAGUGACUUGAUCCGAAGCAUCAUGAUCACUAUCAUCAUCUUCCACUUCAAUUGGUGUAGGUGCCACAUGAACAACUUCUGUGCCCUGCUACACACUGGUUGAAGUGAUGGUUCAAUAACCUCAUCAAGUCUCCACCAUCCUCCCACUCAAUUCUUUCGAGAGAAACUUUUCUCGAGAAAGGACCCGAUUCAAGAAACAAUUACUUUUGCUUCCGGAUCUGAGAUAGUAGGUAUACCCAACCAUUUUGGGUAUCCUAUGAAGAUGUAUUUAUCCGUUUUGGGUUCGAUCUUAUCACGAUGAAACUUUUUCACAUAAGCGUCACAGCCCCAAACUUUUAAGAAACGACAACUUAGGUUUCUCUAAACCACAGUUCAUACGUUGUCAUCUCAACGGAAUUACGUGGUGCCCUAUUAAUGUGAGUGUGGUUGUCUCUAAUGCCAAACCCAUGAAGAUAGUGGUAAUUCGAUAAGAGACAUCAUGGUACGCACCAUAUCCAAUAGGGUGCAACUAUGAUGUUCGGACACACCAUCACACUAUGGUGUUUCAGGCGGUAUUAAUUGUGAAACAAUUUCCACAAUGUCUUAAUUGCGUGCCAAAGCUCGUAACUUAGAUACUCAUCUCUAUGAUCAUAUCAUAGACAUUUUAUCCUCUUGUCACGAUGAUCUUCAACUUCACUCUGAAAUUACUUGAACCAUUCAAUAAUUCAGACUUGUGUUUCAUCAAGUAAAUAUACUCAACAUCUACUCGAAUCAUCUGUGAAGUAAGAACAUAACGAUAUACACUGUGUGCCUUAGCACUCAUUGGACUGCACACAUCAAAAUGUGUUACUUCCAACAAGUUGCUUUCUUGUUCCAUCUUACUGAAAACGAGGCUUUUCAGUCAUCUUGCCCAUGUGGUAUGAUUUGCAUAUCUCAAGUGAUUCAAAAUCAAGUGAGUCUAAACGAUCCAUCUGCAUGGAGUUUCUUCAUGCGUAUACACCAAUAGACAUGGUUCGCAUGUCUCAAACUUUUCAAAAAUGAGUGAGUCCAAAGAUCCAUCAACAUGGAGCUUCUUCAUGCAUUUUUAUGACUUACAUGGCAGUGCCACAAGUAGGUGGUACUAUCAUUACUAUCUUAUAUCUUUUGGCAUGAACAUGUGUAUCACUAUGAUUGAGAUUCAAUAAACCAUUCAUUUUGGGUGCAAGACCAUUGAAGGUAUUAUUCAAAUAAACAGAGUAACCAUUAUUCUCCUUAAAUGAAUAACUGUAUUGCGAUAGACAUAAUCCAAUCAUGUCUAUGCUCAACGCAAACACCAAAUAACAAUUAUUUAGGUUUAACACCAAUCUCGAUGGUAGAGGGAGCGUGCGAUUCUUGAUCACAUCAAGAUUGGAAAACACUUCCAACACAUAUCGUCAGCUCACCUUUAGCUAGUCUCCGUUUAUUCCGUAGCUUUUAUUUCGAGUUACUAACACUUAGCAACCAAACCGGUAUCUAAUACCCUGGUGCUACUAGGAGUACUAGUAAAGUACACAUUAACAUAAUGUAUAUCCAAUAUACUUCUAUCAACCUUGCCAGCCUUCUCAUCUACAAGUAUCUAGGGUAAUUCUGCUCCAGUGGAUGUUCCCUUUAUUAUAGAAGCACUGAGUCUCGGGUUUCGGUUCAACCUUGGGUUUCUUCACUAGAGCAGCAGCUGAUUUGCCGUUUCAUAAAGUAUCCCUUUCUUGCCCUUGCCCUUUUUGAAACUAGUGGUUUCACUAACCAUCAACAAUUGAUGCUCCUUCUUGAUUUCUACUUUCGCGGUGUCAAACAUCACGAAUAUUUCAAGGAUCAUCAUAUCUAUCCUGAUAUGUUAUAGUUCAUCACGAAGCUCUAGCAGCUUGGUGGCAAUGACUUUGGAGAAACAUCACUAUCUCAUCUGGAAGAUAAACUCCCACUUGAUUAAAGUGAUUGUUGUACUCAAACAAUAUGAGCACAAGCUCAACGAUUGAGCUUUUCUCCCUUAGUUUGCAGGCUAAGAAAAUCGUCGGAGGUCUCAUACCUCUUGAUGUGGGCAUGAGCCUGAAAUCCUAAUUUCAGCCCUCGAAACAUCUCAUAUGUUCCGCGACGUUUCGAAAACGUCUUUGGUGCCUCAACUCUAAACCGUUUAACUGAACUAUCACGUAGUUAUCAAAACGUGUAUGUCCGAUGUUUGCAACAUCCACAAACGACGUUUGGGGUUCAGCACACUGAGCGGUGCAUUAAGGACAUAAGCUUUCUACUGUCCGCAUAAUCGCUACUGUCAACUUUCAACUAUAUUUUUCUCUAGGAACAUAUCUAAACAGUGGAACUAAAGCGCGAGCUUACGACAUAAUUUGCAAAGAUCUUUUGACUAUGUUCAGGAUAAUUAAGUUCAUCUCAUGAACUCCCACUCAGAUAGACAUCCCUCUAGUCAUCUAAGUGAUUACAUGAUCCGAGUCAACUAGGCCGUGUCCGAUCAUCAUGUGAGAUGGACUAGUCAUCAUCGGUGAACAUCUUCAUGUUGAUCGUAUCCACCAUACGACUCAUGCUCGACCUUUCGGUCUCUUGUGUUCCGAGACCAUGUCUGUACAUGCUAGGCUCGUCAAGUUAACCUAAGUGUUUCGCAUGUGUAAAUCUGGCUUACACCCGUUGUAUGUGAACGUAAGAAUCUAUCACACCCGAUCAUCACGUGGUGCUUCGAAACGACGAACUUUCACAACGGUGCAUAGUUAGGGGGAACACUUUCUUGAAAUUUUAAUGAGGGAUCAUCUUAUUUACUACCGUCGUUCUAAGCAAAUAAGAUGCAUAAACAUGAUAAACAUCACAUGCAAUCAAAUAGUGACAUGAUAUGGCCAAUAUCACAUUGCUCCUUUUGAUCUCCAUCUUCGGGGCUCCAUGAUCAUCAUCGUCACCGGCAUGACACCAUGAUCUCCAUCAUCAUGAUCUCCAUCAUCGUGUCUUCAUGAAGUUGUCUCGCCAACUAUUACUUCUACUACUAUGGCUACCGGUUAGCAAUAAAGUAAAGUAAUUACAUGGCGUUGUUUAAUGACACGCAGGUCAUACAAUAAAUAAAGACAACUCCUAUGGCUCCUGCCGGUUGUCAUACUCAUCGACAUGCAAGUCGUAAUUCCUAUUACAAGAACAUGAUCAAUCUCAUACAUCACAUAUCAUUCAUCAUAUUCUUCUUGGGCAUAUCACAUCACAUAGCAUACCCUGCAAAAACAAGUUAGACGUCCUCUAAUUGUUGUUUGCAUGUUUUACGUGGUUGCUAUGGGUUUCUAGCAAGAACGUUUCUUACCUACGCAAAACCACAACGUGAUAUGCCAAUUGCUAUUUACCCUUCAUAAGGACCCUUUUCAUCGAAUCCGUUCCGACUAAAGUGGGAGAGACUGGCACCCGCUAGCCACCUUAUGCACCAAGUGCAUGUCAGUCGGUGGAACCUGUCUCACGUAAGUGCACGUGUAAGGUCGGUCCGGGCUGCUUCAUCCCACAAUACCGUCGAAACAAGAUUGGACUAGUAACGGUAAGCAUAUUGAACAAAAUCAACGCCCACAACUACUUUGUGUUCUACUCAUGCAAAGAAUCUACGCAAUAGACCUAGCUCAUGAUGCCACUGUUGGGGAACGUAGCAGAAAUUCAAAAUUUUCCUACGUGUCACCAAGAUCUAUCUAUGGAGAAACCAACAACGAGGGGAAGGAGAGUGCAUCUACAUACCCUUGUAGAUCGCUAAGCGGAAGCGUUCAAGAGAACGGGGUUGAAGGAGUCGUACUCGCCGUGAUCCAAAUCACCUGAGAUCCUAGUGCCAAACGGACGGCACCUCCGCGUUCAACACACGUACAGCCCGGUGACGUCCCCCACGCCUUGAUCCAACAAGGAGAGAGGGAGAGGUUGAGGAAGACUCCAUCCAGCAGCAGCACAAUGGUGUGGUGGUGAUGGAGGAGCGUGGUAGUCCAGCAGGGCUUCGCCAAGCACCGCGAGAUAUGAGGAGAAAGAGAGGUAGGGCUGCGCCAACAGGAGAAGAAACUCAUGUGUUGGGCUGCUCCAAUGCCUCCACUAUAUAUAGGGGGAGAGGGGGCUGCGCCCCCACCUAGGUUUCCACCCCUAGGGGGCGGCGGCCAGCCCUAGAUGGGACUUUGAGGGGGCAGCCAAGAGGGGGAGAGAGGGGGCGCGCCCUAGGGUGGGCCUAUAGGCCCAUCUGCGCCUAGGGUUUCCCCUCUCCCCUCCUAGCUGCACCUUGGGCAAGGGUGGGAGGCGCACCAGCCCACUCCGGGGCUGGUCCCUUUCCACUCUAGGCCCAUGCAAGCCUCCGGGGCUGGUGGACCCUCCCGGUGGACCCCGGAACCCUUCCGGUGGUCCCGAUACAUUACCGGUGACCCUCGAAACACUUCCGGUGGCCAAAACCUCACUUCCUAUAUAUUAUUCUUUACCUCCGGACCAUUCCGGAACUCCUCGUGACAUCCGGGAUCUCAUCCGGGACUCCAAACAGCAUUCGGUAACCACAUACAAACUUCCUUUAUAACCCUAGCGUCAUCGAACCUUAAGUGUGUAGACCCUACGGGUUCGGGAACCAUGCAGACAUGACCGAGAUGUUCUCCAGUCAAUAACCAACAGCGGGAUCUGGAUACCCAUGUUGGCUCCCACAGGUUCCAUGAUGAUCUCAUCAGAUGAACCACGAUGUCAAGGACUCAAUCGAUCCCGUAUACAAUUCCCUUUGUCUAGCGGUAUUGUACUUGCCCGAGAUUCGAUUGUCGGUAUGCCGAUACCUUGUUCAAUCUCGUUACCGGCAAGUCUCUUUACUCGUUCCCGUAACACAUCAUCCCGUGAUCAAAUCCUUGGUCACAUUGUGCACAUUACGAUGAUGUCCUACCGAGUGGGCCCAGAGAUACCUCUCCGUUAACCGGAGUGACAAAUCCCAGUCUUGAUUCGUGCCAACCCAACAGACACUUUCGGAGAUACCUGUAGUGCACCUUUAUAGCCACCUAGUUACGUUGUGACGUUUGGUACACCCAAAGCAUUCUUACGGUAUCCAGGAGUUGCACAAUCUCAUGGUCUAAGGAAAAGAUACUUGACAUUAGAAAAGCUUUAGCAUACGAACUACACGAUCUCUAUGCUAUGCUUAGGAGUGGGUCUUGUCCAUCAAAUCAUUCUCCUAAUGAUGUGAUCCCGUUAUCAACGACAUCCAAUGUCCAUGGUCAGGAAACCGUAACCAUCUGUUGAUCAACGAGCUAGUCAACUAGAGGCUUACUAGGGACAUGGUGUUGUUUAUGUACCCACACAUGUAUCUGAGUUUCCUAUUAAUACAAUUAUAGCAUGGGUAAUAAACGAUUAUCAUGAACAAGGAAAUAUAAUAAUAACUAAUUUAUUAUUGCCUCUAGGGCAUAUUUCCAACAUUAUAUGCAUUUAUAUAUCAUUUUAUAUGAUUUUUGGGACUAACCUAUUGACCUAGAGCCCAAUGCCAGUUUUUGUUUUCUCCUUGUUUUUGUGUUUUACAGAAAAGGGAUACCAAACGGAGUCCAAAUGACGUGCCAAUUUUUGAGGAUUUUUUAUGGACCAAAAGAAGACCAGAGCAUCGGAGUUGGAUAGAAGAGCUCCAGACUGCCCACGAGAUAGGAGGGUGCGCCCCUAGGGCGGGGGUGCCCCCCUGUCUCAUGGAUGCCCGGAGACCCCCCUGACGUGAAACCAACGCCAAUAAUUCCUAUAAAUACUGAAUCUUUUGGGAAUUAACCUAGAUCGGAUGUUCCGCCGCCACAAGCCUUUGUAGCCACGAGAAAUCAAUCUAGGCCCUCUCUGGCACCCCGCCGGAGGGGGCCAUCAUCACCGAAGGCCAUGGAGGAGAAUCUCGGAGGGGCCAUCAUCUCCAUGAAGGCCAAGGACCAGAGGGGGAAAGCCAUGGAGGAGGAAGCACAAGGGGGGGGGGAACCUCUCCUCCUCCCUCUUGGUGGCACCGGAGUGCCAUCAGGAGGGGAAUCAUCGCCGCGGUGAUCGUCUUCAUCAACAUCACCAUCAUCAUCACCAUCCUCAUCUCUUUUACGCGGUCCACUCUCCCACACUCCGCUGUGAUCCCUACUUGAACAUGGUGCUUUAUGCUACAUAUUAUGAUCCAAUGAUGUGUUGCCAUCUUAUGAUGAUUUGAGUAGAUAUCUUUUGUCUUUGGGUUGAUUGAUGAUCUAGAUUGGUAUGAGUUGUAUGUUUCACUUUGAUGCUGUCCUAUGGUGCCCUCCGUGUCGCGCAAGCGUGAGGGAUUCCCGCUGUAGGGUGUUGCAAUACGUUCAUGAUUCACUUAUAGUGGGUUGGUGAGUGACGGAAACACGAACCCGAGUAAGAGGGGUUGUUGCGUAUGGGAAUAAAGAGGACUUGAUGCUUUAAUGCUAUGGUUGGGUUUUACCUUAAUGAUCUUUAGUAUUUGCGGACGCUUGCUAGAUUUCCAAUCAUAAGUGCAUAUGAUUUGCCUCUCCCUCAUAUGAAAUUGCAAUAGUGACUACCGGUCUUGUUAACAAUUGCCUAGGACAAUUCCGCACACCGAUCCACCAUUAUUCCACACUCGCUAUUUAUAUUAUUUAGUAUUAUAUUCUAACUUCAUGAUAACAACACCUACUUUUAUGUUUUAGCUCUCCGAUAUCAUACAAAGUUAUCCUCUUUAUACCCACAACACAGUUUUAUUUCUUGUUUCUAGUUGGAAGCAAACGUUCGGUGCACGUAGAGUCGUAUCAGUGGCAGAUAGGGCUUGAGAGAAUAUUGAUCUUACCUUUGGCUCCUUGUGGGUUCGACACUCCAUACUUAUCACUUCCACCUUUGGGAAUUGCUACGAUGAUUCCUUGCACUUGGGGAUGAUCAGCCUCCUACGGAUUGAUACCUUAGGUCAUCCACUUGAGGGAAAUUUGCUACUGUCCUACAAACCUGUGCACUUGUAGGCCCAACAACGUCUACAAGAAGAAGGUUGUGUAGUAGACAUCAUGUCUCCUUUGUUGUUCAACAUUGCUGCUGAAUGCCUAUGNNNNNNNNNNNNNNNNNNNNNNNNNNNNNNNNNNNNNNNNNNNNNNNNNNNNNNNNNNNNNNNNNNNNNNNNNNNNNNNNNNNNNNNNNNNNNNNNNNNNNNNNNNNNNNNNNNNNNNNNNNNNNNNNNNNNNNNNNNNNNNNNNNNNNNNNNNNNNNNNNNNNNNNNNNNNNNNNNNNNNNNNNNNNNNNNNNNNNNNNNNNNNNNNNNNNNNNNNNNNNNNNNNNNNNNNNNNNNNNNNNNNNNNNNNNNNNNNNNNNNNNNNNNNNNNNNNNNNNNNNNNNNNNNNGGGGGUAGAUUGACUCUGUUGAAUGCUAACAUUUCCAGCAUAGCCUACUAUUACAUGUCCAUGUUUCUUUUGUCUAAGACUAUCGUAGAGAGGCUGGAUAAACAUAGGAGGAGAUUCUUUUCGAAAGUUUCUAAAAAAGGAAACGAUACUACUUGGUUAGGUGGUCCGGGAUUUGUAGAUCCAGAGAAAAAGGGGGACCAGGGGUGAAAGACCUUCAUAGGCAGAAUAUAUGCCUUCUUGUAAAAUGGUGGUGGAAACUUGAGACGAAAAAGGGUCUCUGGCAAGAUAUUAUCAAGGCUAAGUAUUUCAGUAGGGAUACUGUAGCUUCUAUCAAAGGGAAAAUAAAUGAUUCUCCCUGCUGGAAGACCAUUAUGAAAGUGAAAGAUCUGUAUAUGGCUGGUAGGAGGGUGGUCGUCCAAUCUGGUGACAUAGCAAGGUUGUGGACAAACCCAGUUGGCGACCAAACACCAUUUGCUGUUCAAUUUCCCCGGUUGCUUGCCAUUUGCAACUAUCCUAAUUGUGUUGCGAAGGAAUGUUUGGAGGCUGAUCCUAUUUCCUUCUUUCGAAGGAGACUGAAUUGUGAGCUUAAUGAGCAAUGGCAAAAAAUGGUCUCGAUUGUUAAAAAACUCCGUGUCUCUACAAAGAGUGAUAGUACCAAAUGGGGAAUGGGCCCUAAACCAUAUUCUACAACCAAAGCAAUGUAUUCCUAUCUUGAAAGGAACAUCUCAGGAUGUAAUUAUCGGUGGAUAUGGAAAGCUCGUAUGCCUUUGAAAAUUCAAAUUUUCAUGUGGCAGUUAUCGCAGGAUGCGGUGCUGACCAGGGAUGUGAUGAUACAUCGUGGGUGAAACGGGGAGCCCAAGUGCUUGUUUUGUGGGGAAAGGGAAACUUCUCAGCAUCUCUUUUUCACAUGUCCCGUUGCUAGGGUUACCAGGAGAGUUGUGGGGUGCAUGUUUGGCACCGAGCUAUGCCCUGACAAUUUGUGGCACACAUAUGUGUGGUGUUAUGUGUUUUUUCCCUGGUGGAGAUAUCUUUUAUACAGUCGGCAUUGCGGCUAUCUGCUAGGCUAUAUGGGCUUGUCAUAAUAGAGCUACUUAUGAGCAUAUUCCACUCAAAACUCCGUUUGAAUGCAUCUUCUCUGCAUGUGCUCUUCUUUGUUACUGGGCAGGUAUGAUGAAGCAGGAGGAUGCGGCGGCCCUAAGAUCUGGAGGAGCUCUACUGAAGGACAAUGCGUCUCGUCUGAUGAGGAUCUGCGCUACGGCAUACCAGGACGAGGGAGCCUACUGAAGGGAGAGGGCUUGAUGCGUAAAGCCUUCGAUAUUUUGGAUAGAUACCUCCUGCAUGAGGAUGAUUGAGCCAUGCUGCUCUGUUCUGAGCAGUGUUUCUUAGUGAUCUGGCUUUAGACAAUGAUUUUUCUCUUUUGGGUCAUGGAUUUAUGGUGUCGUCGGGUUUUCGUCCCAUAGUGACUAAUCUCGAUGGCGAGUGCUCAUGGUGGGUUUCCUGGCGAUGCUUGAACCCGCUUUCCUCUUUCCCGUUUCAUUCUCUGGACAUGGUUGUAUUUUCGUUAUGUCACAGUAAUGGAAAGGGGCAAUGCCCGGUUCAAAAACAAUCAUGGAGCCGCUACAGAGAAUGUUCCAAUUGGCAGCUCAGAGAGGCAUACUUUCACUGCUUGCACAGAGAGGGAUGGCGUAAAGGGUAUCAAUGUUCACAGAUGAUGUUAUGGUCUUCCUAAAAUCGACGACAGUGGACCUACAUGCAUGUGUUUCCAUCCUACAGCUCUUUAGGGAUGCCUCUGGUUUGCGGGUCAAUCUCGCCAAAUGCGCAGCGCUACUGAUUACAUGCAACGCGCGAUAGAUGAAGCGGGUCACCCAAAUCCUGGGAUGCCCAAUCGGUACUUUCCCGUGCAAAUACAUGGGCCUUCCCCUCACUGUGAGAAAACAAAUGGCGACGCAAUUAUCAAGGCUGGUAGAUCAAUUGGCAACCUGUUUACCAAGUUGGAAGGCCGCCAAUAUGCCGAAAAGCGGAAGAAUGUUCUUGUUAAGUCAGUGUUAUGUGCAAUACGAAUUCACGUGAUGAUGGCACUGGACAUCCCAAACAAGACAAUUGCAGCAAUGGUCAAGAUAUGUAGAGGCUUCUUAUGGAGUGGAAAAGCUCAGGCGAGCGGUGGACAGUGUGCAGUGGCCUAGGUAGAGGUUUGCACGCCAAGAUGGGCAGGUGGACUAGGCCUUCCAAAUCUACAACGGCUAAAUGUUGCCACGCAGGCGCGAUGUCCGUGACUCAAGCGGUCGGACCCCUCGAGGCCCUAGAGUGAGUUUGACAUACAAAUACAGGUACCCAAAGAAUCCAUGGACCUAUUCAGAACAGCCAUCCACUCGACCGUGGGCAACGGAAACACAACUCUCUUCUGGGAGGACAGAUGGGUUCAGGGCCACAGGAUGGAGGAGUUAGCGCCUAGCCUCUAUGGCCAUGUGAGGCAAGCCACGCGAGCCACUAGAAUGGUUUCCCAAAGAAUGAUGAAUGGCGUUUGGGCCAUGGAAAUUGGACCAGAGCUCUUGUCGGGGAUAUACCCCGCAGUAUGACCCGGCCGGAAGUAUGACCCGACCGGACUUGGCGCUUCACCGAUGACCCGCCGGAGGACUGGCGACUCACGGGUCUGGCGGCUCACUGGUCAGACGACUCACGGAUGACCCCGACAGCGGGUCACAUAGAAGACUAGGCCCAAGGCCCAGUAGGCCGGCUCAUAUUAGGGUGGGCCGGCUUAAGACAGAAGGCAUGAGGAAUAUUUCCUUUACGGGGAAGCAAAACCCGUACUUGUAUCCGACUUGGAAUAGAGAAUAAGUUAGUUCUAAUCCUAAUAGGACUCUACAUGUAAGCCGCCCCUCUAACUUAUAUAAGGAGGGGCAGGGCUCCCCAAGAGGGGCAAGCAGCAAGAAACAAUAUCUAGGGCUAGACACAAAGGGGGAGCCGGCUUAUGCGGCGACUCCCUCAUGAGCAUAAUGAGACCUAGCCUCAAACAGCAUGUAGGGCUAUUACCGGAUGAUGUUUCCCGGGGCCCGAAGCUGUCUAAAUCUUCGUCUUGUGUGUUGCGUCUCUCGAUUCCGCCCAACCCCUCUCAAGCUACCACAUAGAUGCGUUGGCCUCACGACUAAGUCCUCACACUAGGACAUCUGCCGUGACAAUUCCACCACAGCUCUCAUCACAAAUGCUUUAGGAAUACCUGCUACUGUGGGAGCGGAUGGAGACAAUACAACUCGACCAAGACAAAGAUGACUCGGUGCACUGGGCAUGUGAGGCAAAUGGAACUUUCUCAACGCAAUCAACAUACAACACAAGGUUUUGGGGCCGUAAGAUCGCACCGGCGGCAAAGUUCACUUGGAAGUCAAGGGCGCCGCUGAGAUGCAGGUUCUUUGCAUGGCUUGCCCUGCGAAACAGAUGUUGGACCUCAGACAGACUAGCACGACGUGGACUAGACCACCAAGAAGCCUUCCUGCUCCGCGACCAAGUGGAGGAAAGCAUUCACCACAUCCUCGUCCAAUGUGUCCUUGUGAGGGACGUAUGGACCCGAGCCUGCAUGUCAUUGAACAAACAAGAAUUGAUCCCAACACGGGCUACAAGGCUUAUAGAAUGGUGUGCACAAUUAAGGGUGGAACCGACGGAGAAGGGAAAGAUGUCCGUGCCCUAAUCCUACUAGUGAUGUGGGAGCUAUGGAAGCAUCGCAACGCGGUCGUGUUCGAUGGAUCAACACCAUCGAUGGGAAGUGUACUCCGUAGAAUUGAGGUCGGAGAGUAGAUCAUGGAAGUCAAAGGGCAUUACCAAGGCGGACAUGGAGAGCUUUCUUGAAGCUCUAAGAGUGGGUAGUGACGCGAGAAGUUAGCAUCAUGUAAUUUGGAACGCGUGGAGUUGGUUGUAUAUAUAUAUAUGUAAACCCAACGUGGAGGGGUUCUUUCCCCCUCCCUCUCCUUUGAUAUAAUGUAUGCACACUCGUGCGUAUUCGAGAAAAUAAAUUGGGUGAAUGGUGCAGGCCGCAAAUGCUAAACAGGCAAACACUUUUUUUUGAGUCAUGAGCGUUUUUAAUAUGUUUUCUUUAAUAUCAGUACAGACACAAGCGCUCAUAUACACGCGCAUACACUCACCCCUAUGAACGCACACACGCACACCCUACCCUUAUGAGCACAUCCGACGAAAACGUCUCCUCCCACUGAAUGCGCAUCGCCGGAAAUCCUGAAAUAAAUUCAGAAAUAAAUGCGAGCACCAGGAUUUGAACCCUGGUGAAAUGAGGAUACCACAGUCCUUCUAACCACCGAGCGCACGCCGCAAAUAUUAAGCCCAACACGCCCUACCGUGAGCUAAAGGUUGCUAAAGAAAGCUGCGAGAGCUAUAUCCGGUUCAAAGCGAGAUUGAAGGAAUUCUCGCCUGAAGGUUCCCUCGAGGAGCUCCUACCUGUAGCUACUGUGCCGGCCUAUAUUUUCUGGAUUUCUUUUCAUUCGUUGGAUUUCAAUUGUGUUCGUUGUGGUUGUUUACUGAGUUGGUUUCCUGGUAUUUUUUGUUUUUUCGUUUCUUUGUGUUUCUUUAUACAUUUUUUUCAACGUUUUCUUCAUUUCUUUCACAGUUCUUAUCGGUUUUCUUUGUUUUUUCAUGGUUUUCAUAUUUUAUUUGUUUUAGUUUACUUUUUGGCGGUUUUCUCUGUUUUUACUCAGUUUUCACUGGUUUUUUCUUCCUUUCAUUAGUUCUUUUUGUUUCUUUAUCGGUUUUAUUGUUUCUUUCUUUCCUUUUCGUUAAUUGGGUUUUCUCGGUUGUACAGAUUCAUGACUAAAAUUUUCUAUAUACAUGUUUCACAUUUUGAAAUACAUGACUAACAUUUUUUGAGUUACAUGUACAUUUUGUACAUUGUAUAUUUUUUUUUGAAAAUUUCCAUGUGUAUGUUUUUUAAAUGUGUGAAUAGUUUUAAAUGGCACAAACAUCUUUUGAAAGCUAUCAACAUUUUUCAACUUAUGCUAACAAAACAUUUACACUGUGUUCAUAUUCUCUGGAUUCGGAUUUUUUACCUAAAUUAAGUUUUGGAAUAUAUUAAUUUAAAAUAUAUUAGAAAAAGUAGACAAAAAAAUAAAAGAAUGAAGAAACGUAAAAAACAGGAACUAACCUGAAAGGUUUUUUUAUAACAUAUACAUAGUACAAUUAGUACAAACACACGUGGAGACUGCUAGACAAAUUGGACGAAGACAUAUGUCCCAAAAAUUAUGCAGCAAGGAUCCCAAGAAAAUAAAAUUUACAAAAGGUUUCCAAGAGAUCUCUGCACACAUCGAAACCCACAGCGGCCUCCACAUUCCAGUGUCACCAAAUCGCUCACUAGAAGAGAAACAUAGCCUCCAACAUCUCAAGAUCCAGAGCAGCAUCAUCGCCAAAAUGGCUUUCAAAAUCGAUGAACAGACUCGCUGCAUGCAGCAAGGCACUUGUCGAUGUGGCAUUGUCGGUUGGGGAAUAUCCCAUGCUGGCCUAGACCGGGAUCCAUCGAUUCCCACCGAUGAAGUCGGGGAAGAACGUUGGAACCGCCGUCGUUGGACCACAAAACCCGUUUCUGGAUCAUCAUGUUGUCCUGACCAAUUGCACCACUGCGAGAGACGGAAGCGACUAACAAGACAAUGAACAAUAGAUCUCACCGUCUGAAAAUAACCGGCAAAGGCUACUGGCUUCUCGAUGUCGUCAUAAAGAUCGUCGUCAUGGAGAGGAAUAAGGCGAAGCAGAUUUAUUCGACGCAGCCCCGUUGUCCUCGCUCCAGCGCCACCAAAAGAAACAUAGAACCUAUCUACAGAACACCAUGGAAGAGGAACGGGAUCCUCCCCCUCCAUCUGCCGCCGGAGCAGCGGACAGAGGGGGCGGAGGCCGUGGCUUCACCGGCGUUCUGCAAGGAAACCGUCGUCGCGCAGAGCCCUUUUCUCUCUCGGGCGGUUGGGAGGAACCGUUAAGUACUCACCUGAAAGUUGGGCCUGCACAUUACUUCGCGGCUGCGAGGGCGCUCCUUCAGCGAGACCCUUCUUCGGUCUCGGUACAAGCGAGGCGUAGGCGCUCCGGACCCCCUCUCAAUCGUUGUUCGCUCCAUCCCGUACCACCGCCGGAGUCGCCGAGAUGACCGGCCUCCAUGACGAGCGCGCCACCAGCGAACCCCGGAGAUCCAAGCGGUCCAGGCCGGAGGCGAAGGCGGCGGAGCCUCCGGCACGCCGGGCCAGGCGCGCCGAGGGCCACGUUCCUCUGCGCAAGCGCGAGUCUCCGAGGUUUGCGCGACCACCCCGCCCCCUGGACUCGGACGCGGAGGGUGCGGUCGCGUCGCCUCCUCCUCCUCCUCCUCCAGCACGCCGCGCCGAGACCCCGGCUCCUCCGCCCAAGCGUCGAGCUGCGAGGGUUGCGCGACCAUCUUCGCACCAUAGGGAUUCGGAGGAUGUGACCAUGGCUCCUCCUCCCGCGCGCCGCGUGAAGGCCCCGGCUCCUCCGCCCAAGACUGAGUGGCAUCGCAUCUCGUACAGACUCCGCAACCGCGUCGUCCAGGAUACCAGCAACCUCAAGCCCGCCCCCAGUCGUUACGACAACCGGUAUCUCAUUCUCUCCACACCCUCUCCCUACUGUGCUGCAUGCUUGGAUUGAUUGAAUUUGUUUGAUGGAUGGAUAUACUCAACUGAAUCCAUUCCAUUCUCCGUGAUUUUGCUAUCCUAUUAUACUGUAUAUGCUCACCACAUGACCCAAGCUUCAGACCCUUCCCUUGAACUUUGUUGAAUAGACCAACAUUAGCAUUUAGUAGUAGUAAACUAGUAAUUGGUAUUGAUUGGAUUGAUAUAGUUUCAACUAUGUAAUCAAGAACUAGAAAUAUGAUCUGUAUAUAUGCUGGUGAUAGAUUCUGUCUUUUAUCUAUCUAUCUAUCUAUCUAUCUGUAUGUAUGCAUUCUUGAACAGUUGUUUUUGUUGUUUCUGCAUACCCUGCAACAAUUCCACAUUUGUGGGAGUAAAAUCUGCUUGGUGCCUAGGAUAUUUAUUAAGCAACAUUCAAUCCUGUAAUACCUUCCUUUAUCUCUGAUCUGUUAUCUCGCCAUCAAGUCCCUGCAUUACCAUACUUUUCUUAUCAUGUCUUCAUCCUUGAGGGUCAUUGGUUAAUGGUUAUGAGUAUGACACAGUUUAAUGUGCUCCUUGCCUGCUAUUUAUUUUUCCAUCAACAAGGUAUAGUAUCUAGGUCCAAAACUGUCUGUCGUUGCAAGUUAUCACCUGCCACUCAGUUCUCCAUUGAGAAGUAUGAGUUGUAACCUCUCACUAGUGAUAGCAUCGAGUUCCAAAAUCGUUUGCCGAUGUAAGUUAUCGCCUUUUCACUUUCUGUUUGUUAUAAUAAAGGUUUAGUUCUUCUGUUUUAUUUGAUAAUACCAUUCAGUGUUAACUCGUAAGUACAUACUCCCUCCAUCCCAACAUUCAUGUCUUAGAUUUGUCUAAAUACGAAUGUAUCUAUUUAGAGCAUCUCCAACAGCCGCGCCAAACUAGCGCCGCGCCGCAAAAGUGGGCGUUUUAGCGCGCGCGCAACCGGUAUAGCUGCUCCAGCGGGCGCGCAAAAACUGUGCGCGCGCCAUAUGCAGUUCAGCGUGCUGGCCGAAACGCAAUCGCGCGCCGCUUAUUUGCUGCGCCCGCUCCUGGGCGCUGGACUCUCGUGCGCUUGCUCUCCCACUUCCACCCCCAUCCGGCCGCGCCGCCGCCGCCGCCCGCGCCCCCCGGCGACCGUUCCGGCGCUUCCCCCGCCUAUCCCUGGGCCGCCGCGCUUCCGCCCUGUUGGGGAACGUAGCAGAAAUUCAAAAUUUUCCUACGUGUCACCAAGAUCUAUCUAUGGAGAGACCAGCAACGAGUAGAAAGAGAGUGCAUCUACAUACCCUUGUAGAUCGCUAAGCGGAAGCGUUCAAGUGAACAGGGUUGAUGGAGUCGUACUCGUCGUGAUUCAAAUCACCGAUGAUCCUAGUGCCGAACGGACGGCACCUCCGCGUUCAACACACGUACAGCCCGGUGACGUCUCCCACGCCUUGAUCCAGCAAGGAGAGAGGGAGAGGUUGAGGAAGACUCCAUCCAACAGCAGCACAACGGCGUGGUGGUGGUGGAGGAGCGUGGCAAUCCAGCAGGGCUUCGCCAAGCACCAUGGGAGAGGAGUAGGAAGAGAGGUAGGGCUGUGCCAGAACUUCGUGUAUAGCUCCCAUGCGCCUCCCCACUAUAUAUAGGGGUGGAGGGGCUGGUUUCUUGCCCUCCAAGUCCAUUGGGGCGUUGGCCAAGGUGGGAGGAAAGAAAUCUCAUUAUUUCCUUCCCCACCGAUUGUUAUCCCCCCUUUUUAGGGAUCUUGAUCUUAUCCCUUCGGGAUAUGAUCUUAUUCCUUCUAAGGGGGGAUCUUGGUGCGCCUUGACCAGGGGUGUGGGGCCUUGCCCCCACUACCCACGUCCAUGUGGGUCCCCCCAUGCAGGUGGGCCCCACUCCGGAACCUUCUAGAACCUUCCCAGUACAAUACCGAAAAAUCCCGAACAUUUUCCGGUGGCCAAAAUAGGACUUCCCAUAUAUAAAUCUUUACCUCCGGACCAUUCCGGAACUCCUCGUGACGUCCGGGAUCUCAUCCGGGACUCUGAACAACAUUCGGUAACCACAUACAAACUUCCUUUAUAACCCUAGCGUCAUCGAACCUUAAGUGUGUAGACCCUACGGGUUCGGGAGACAUGUAGACAUGACCGAGACGUUCUCCGGUCAAUAACCAACAGCGGGAUCUGGAUACCCGUGAUGGCUCCCACAUGUUCCACGAUGAUCUCAUCAGAUGAACCACGAUGUCAAGGACUUAAUCAAUCCCGUAUUCAAUUCCCUUUGUCUAUCGGUAUGUUACUUGCCCGAGAUUCGAUCGUCGGUAUCCAAUACCUUGUUCAAUCUCGUUACCGGCAAGUCACUUUACUCGUUCCGUAACACAUCAUCCCGUGAUCAACUCCUUGGUCACAUUGCGCAUAUGAUGAUGUCCUACCGAGUGGGCCCAGAGAUACCUCUCCGUUUACACGGAGUGACAAAUCCCAGUCUCGAUCCGCAUAAAACAAUAGAUACUUUCGGAGAUACCUGUAGUGCACCUUUAUAGUCACCCAGUUACGUUGUGACGUUUGAUACACCCAAAGCACUCCUACGGUAUCCAGGAGUUACACGCUCUCAUGGUCGAAGGAAGAGAUACUUGACAUUGGCAAAGCUCUAGCAAAUGAACUACACGAUCUUUUGUGCUAGUCUUAGGAUUGGGUCUUGUCCAUCACAUCAUUCUCCUAAUGAUGUGAUCCCGUUAUCAACGACAUCCAAUGUCCAUAGCCAGGAAACCAUGACUAUCUGUUGAUCACAACGAGCUAGUCAACUAGAGGCUCACUAGGGACAUAUUGUGGUCUAUGUAUUCACACGUGUAUUACGAUUUCCGGAUAAUACAGUUAUAGCAUGAAUAAAAGACAAUUAUCAUGAACAAGGAAAUAUAAUAAUAAUACUUUUAUUAUUGCCUCUAGGGCAUAUUUCCAACACGCCCCCCUCCUAGUCCCGCUGGCCCUCACGCGCGCCCGUCGUUCGAGGAACAGCGCCCGAGCGCUCGCUGCCGCACCCGCGCCCGCAAGGUGUUCGGCAAAACGCCUACAAGGUAUGUAUUGCUCAAACUUCAUGAAUUUGGUGCAUGUUUUUAAUUGUAGUUUUUAUAGUAUAGUAUUGAACAUUGUAGAUGAGUUCGUCGUAUGAUUCUUCCGAAGAAGAAUUUGAUAUGGAAGAGGAGGAGGAUCUUGCAAUGAUCCUAGCUAUGCAUAUCAAUAAAAAACCGAAGCACGGUGGUUCGGUUAUGGGUUGGGAGAAAAUUUGGAGAGAUAGGAUUAAUGCUCAUAACUGAUUGAUGAUGAACUAUUUCGUGGAGAAUUCCACAUACCCAGAGUCGUAUUUUCGUCGCCGAUUUAGGAUGAGCACCGACUUGUUCAGGCGCAUUGCAGAAAAACUAGCGAGCCAUGACCGGUUUUUCAGCAAAGGAGGAAUGCCGCCGGAGAUCUCGGGCAUAGCACCUUUCUGAAGGUGACAGCCGCUUUGCGUAUGUUGGCAUACGGUAUCCCGGCUGAUCUAGUUGAUGAUCACUUGGCUAUGGGUGAGAGUCAAGCCAUCAUGUGUGUCAAGCGCUUUGCAGUGGGAAUUGUGCAAGUGUUUGGCGAGGAGUAUUUAAGAUCUCCUAAUGUUGAAGACGUCGCAAGGCUAUUGGCGAUGAACAAAGCUCGUGGCUUUCCUGGCAUGAUUGGCUCAAUAGAUUACAUGCAUUGGAGUUGGAAGAAUUGUCCAAAGACAUGGCAUGGGCAAUUCCACGGCCAAAAAAAGGGAUCCACUAUAAUACUUAAAGCGGUGGCCGAUCAGGAAACUUGGAUUUGGCAUGCAUUCUUUGGAAUGCCUAGAUUUUUGAAUGACAUCAAUGUUGUCAACCGGUUACCACUGAUGAAUAAGAUUGCAAGUGGUGAGUUGCCACCGGUGCAGUUUGUAGCAAAUGGCCGUACGUACAACUAUGGCUAUUAUCUAGCGGAUGGCAUCUAUCCAAAGUGGCAAACCUUCGUGAAGUCGUUGAAAAAGCCGGAAGGUAAGAAAAAUCUUGAUUUCCACAAUGCUCAGGCGGUGGCUAGAAAAGAUGUGGAGAGAGCAUUUGGGAUUUUGCAAGCCCAAUUUGCUAUUGUGAUAGGACCAGCUAGAUUUUGGGAUCAAAAAAUGCUUUGGUACAUCAUGCACGCUUGUGUGAUCAUGCACAACAUGAUCAUUGAGAAUGAACGUGGCCAAGAUUUAGACUACUCACAGUAUGAGCUCUUAGGACAUCCCGUGCGAGUGCGACGGAGGGCUGAAAGGGUAGCCCGUUUUGUUGCCUCCUAUCAGGACAUUCAGCGUCCCGCAACACACAAUGAACUUCAGAAGGAUCUGAUUGAAGAGUGGUGAGCAAGGAAUGGACGACAAAGAGGAUGAUUUCUGCAUUCGAUAUUGUAUUGUUCAUGAACUAUUUGUUGUGUCUAUUGCAGUAUUUGUUGUACUGAACGAUAAACUAUUUGUUUGGGUUGUAAUGAUAACGAAAUUGAACUAUUUAUUAUUGAUUUAUUUUGUUUGUUUGAAUAUUUUUGCUUUUAUUUGAAAUGUAUAUGUGGUUUGUGCGUGCCGUGCGCGCUGUAUUUUUGUGCACUGCUGGAGCGGCGCGCGCACACUGCAUUAUAGCGCGGCUGCUGGAGCCAGCGCUGGCGGCCGCGCUAAACCAGCCGAAGCGCGCGCGCCAUACUAGUUUUUAGCGCGCGGCACGAAGCGCGGCUGUUGGAGAUGCUCUUACAUUUUAGUGUUAGAUACGCAAGAAUUUUGGGACGAAGGGAGUACUAGUUAUACGGAAAACACACAAGCAAGGUAUGUGUAUGAUGUUGACACUUCUGCUCUUUCAGGAUAGAAAUUAAACAUGAUCUAACAUGGCAAACUCCGACGUGUGCACGCGUGGCUUUGGAACACUACAACAACAUGAAUCAGGUUUGCUCUAUUGUACUCAAGUGUAUAAAUAUUGCAUGGUGCUACGUACUUAGGGGCAGAGUAGUCAUUCGACAUUUAGUUCAUCAGAUUGGGACAACUUUUCAGCUUUCUUUACUUUGUCAGUGUGCCGUAUUCCGCCGGUGGAAAUAAGUCAAACUGGAACAAAUAAUCUUGCAAGUGGUUUAGAAUGUAACUAAGCUCGAGACAUGGUGGUCUAGAAUGCUUUUGCACUGUGUAUGCUGUGCCUGCGACAAGUUGGCAUAUGCUGCCCCCUCCCNNNNNNNNNNNNNNNNNNNNNNNNNNNNNNNNNNNNNNNNNNNNNNNNNNNNNNNNNNNNNNNNNNNNNNNNNNNNNNNNNNNNNNNNNNNNNNNNNNNNNNNNNNNNNNNNNNNNNNNNNNNNNNNNNNNNNNNNNNNNNNNNNNNNNNNNNNNNNNNNNNNNNNNNNNNNNNNNNNNNNNNNNNNNNNNNNNNNNNNNNNNNNNNNNNNNNNNNNNNNNNNNNNNNNNNNNNNNNNNNNNNNNNNNNNNNNNNNNNNNNNNNNNNNNNNNNNNNNNNNNNNNNNNNNNNNNNNNNNNNNNNNNNNNNNNNNNNNNNNNNNNNNNNNNNNNNNNNNNNNNNNNNNNNNNNNNNNNNNNNNNNGCAAAGCCCGCGGGUGUCGGCCGCGGCGGGGCCCCUUCAUCCUUUUGCCCUGCGGCGGCUGGCGCAGGCCGGCGGCGGCGGGUGUUACGUCGUGCUGGCGAGGGGCAUGGCGGCGCAACGGCGAGCUUUGGCGGCAGGGUCGCGAGCACGUGGCGGCGGCGUGGUGGGCUUCGCGGGCGUGCGCGCGUCUUGGGCUGGGGCGGCGGCUGGGUCUGGCUCGGCCAGAUCCGCGGCUCAGCGGCCUUUUUGACGGCGCGGGCCAUCUCGUUGGCGGGUCGCGGUGCAUCUGCUGCGGCUCGCGCGGCUGCCGGUGGCCGAUGUGCAAGGCCCGGCGUGGCACCUCCUGUGGUCGUCUCUAGGACGGAUCUGACCGUCUCACGUCCUUGUCGUCAGCCGAGUGUUCGACGUGCUCCUCGCUGAUCUGAUCUGGAGGCCGUGGUGGGGCGUUGUAGGGGGCAACGUGAGGAGGCUGGCUGGAGGGAUGGGUGGUCUGCCCACCCGUCACCGGCGCGGGUGUGUGCCGGUCGAGGUCUCGCACCGCUUCGCCCCCUCCUCUUCUCCCUGGCCUGGUUGCCUCCGGCUCCAUCUGUCGAGGCGUGGCAGCUCCAAUGAUGGUGGGGGUCUGCUGGUGGUGGUGAUUCGUUCCUUUGGGCGGUCGUUGGGGGUGUCGGGUGGCAGGGCGACAGCUCUGCGGUGGGAGCUGCGGUGUUCGUGAGCAGAGCUCGCAGCUCGGGUGCGGACUGGUGACCUUGGUCGCGUGGGCGGCGGGGUGGCUCGCGCUCGGCGACCCGUGGUGAUCGGAGAUGAGAGGUAUACCGGGGUGAAAUCCUUGUCUGACCACGGUCAGACCGACGGUGGCGGCGUCCAAGGGCGUCGUCCCCUUCCUGUAGGCUCCGUCGCGGUCUCUCCUGAUUCUCCGUGUUGCUCCGGAUGAAAAUCUUGAUCUUUGGAUCGGGUGGUGUCGGUGCUCCGGUGUCGUACCCUUCCUGAAGGCACUACCUUGGAGCUCGCAGUUCGUCGGCGGUCAACUAUGUUCUUCACGGUGGCUUGUUCUCGGUGGAGGGCUCCGUCAUCUUCGUAGUGAUGCUUGUUGUACAUCCGUUGUCCGCUUCGAGUUGGCUUAGCUGAUCUCCGGCAUCUUUGUAUCUUGCUCUGUGUGUGUUUGGGUGAUGUGUUGUAUGGUUCGGUUGUAUGAGGGUCAUUGCUUUAUAUAUAAAGCGGGGCGAAAGCCUUUUGUCAGUAUGCUGUGCCUGCAUCUUUUGCAUGAGGCUCAAUUGGUCUGGUUUGGCCCUAUGUACAUGAAAGUGUUGUUAUAGAACAGCCUGCAAGUUCUCUAGACCCUGGUAUCACAAGGUUAUCUUGUAGUCUUCUUGUCUUGAUGUUCUGUAAAUGUUCCCCAGCAAUGUCCCAGACCGUGAUCAUACUCUUGAAUUGCUUCCAAAGUGCGGUGAAGAUUAUGGAACCAGUGUGCAAUGUGUUUUGCCUCUUGACCUGCCCAAGUUCUCCUUUUUUUUAUUAUCCUUUCCCAGUUUGUUUUUCAUGAUAAGAUUAACUUCUUUCUCAGUUAGAUGGCACUUCAUUAUUGAACCCUUGGACUGCCCUCUUAUGCUUGUGAUUUUGUGAAUUCCACGGGCUAAAUCUUGCAGUUCAUAAUGCAGUACCAAGUGCCUAGCUAAUCAUUAAUUCAUAUAUGCACCCUUGGACUGCUCUCUUACGUUUGUGAAUUUGUUAGGAGGACGAGCAUGAGAUGGUUAAAGCAGUGAGCAGUCAUGUCUUUGUCUUCAAUGGUAUCUGGUUCCAUGCAAAUUUCCUUGCUAAGCGAAAAGGAGCCACCACCUGCGUUGAUCUCGUCCCCAAGUACUUCUUUGCUGAGUUGGACAUCGUGGGGACGAAAAAACUAUCUUGUGUUUCAUGUGUUAAGCUUGACCCAGGUAUGUUCAAUAACCCAAGUUUCACUCUAUUUGUUCACACAAAUUUAUCUUGAUGAAUUCAGCGAGUAUGUGGUGUUUUUUUAAUAAAUGAUUUUACACCCGCAGGUGAUCCCAAAAACAUUGGUGGUUGUAGCCUGUGCUAUGAGAAUAUCAUACAUCCUGCUGGCGGUGGAUACCACGGUGCCCAACCUCGAUCUGUUCGACAUGCUCCUGGUGGCCUACAGAUUUCAUUCAAGUUCUGAAUGUUGUAAGUGGUAGAAUCGUCCAUCACCAUGCUAAUAUAAUAUAGGCGGAAGAAGAAGAAAACCAUGUUUAAAUAUGAGCGUCAAACCGUUCCGGUAGAAUCAUGCAUCAUUUUGGUUGUAACAAAGGUUAAAACUCCACUUUGAUGUAUGUCUGAUGUUAUUAAUCUGUUUCAUGUAGUGUAAGAAGGUGUUUGUUACAGUUUGCUUGAAUAUAUACACCUUGUCGCCGCCAGUGGCAACGAUCUAGUGCUGUUGUUGCUGGCAGCAACUUUGGUUACGAGGUUUAGUUUAUGCAUGGCGAAAAGGCGCCUUGGAAUGAUCUUAACAGAACAUUUAGAAAGAAAAAAAAGGGAAAAGAUUCUAUUGAGACAGUUACAAAUUUGAUUGAGUUUCCCCUACUUGAAAGUUUGAAUUCUGUUAUUUCUACUAUAGCAAACGAUAAUUCGAAUUGGUAGACUACCCUCGAAUUAUUUUCAUAAACUGGAGAGUCUUGACCAUAGUAUGAACAACUGGAGACCCUCAUUACGGACAAAAUGGCCGAACUAAGGGUUGAAUCUCCUCGGAUAUAACUUAUUAUUUAAAACCGAUGAUCCAAUAGUCCUCGAGACUCAGGUCGGGCUGAAAGACCGGCCCAAGGAUCGGCAUCCUCCUCCUUGACUUAAAUUAGAUCUGAACUUCCAUCGAAGCCAAACCCUAUUCAGCGUCUUUAGCUCCAAUUAUAGUAGUUUUUGGCAAAUUGGGGCACACACACCCCCUCCACCUAGGGCUCGGCCCAUUUAACUUUUUUUCUCGUUCAAAACAUUUGUCUCACGCGCCAGGUUCCUGUUUGACCGAUCCAAGUAGGGUUUCUUUUCUUACCUUUUUUUCUGGAGUGGUUUUCCUUUGUUUUUUUCAAGGUUUGUAUGGUUAUGUUUUUCAUUUUCUUUUUCAUUGUUCUUCUAAAUUCCUGAAUUUUCUUAAAUGUGGGAAAAAUUAUAAAAAAAUAAUAGAACAUUUUCUCAAAUCCAUGAUCUUUUUGCAAAUUCGCGAACAUUUUUUCAAAUUUGUGAACUUUUUCAAAUCCAUGAGCGUUUUCAAAUAUACUAACUUUUUUCUAAACCCAUGAACCUAUUUUGAACUUGAGUUCAUGAACUUUUUUCAAAUUCACAAACUUUGUUUGAACUCGUGAACAUUUUUGAGUUUGCAAACUUUUGUUCAAAUUGUACGAACUUCUUUUGAACUCAUGAAUGUUCUUCUGUUAAUAAACUUUUUUCAAAUACAUGAAUAGUUUCGAAUCCCCAGACAUUUAUUGAACUCAUGAACUUUUUUGAGUGCGCGAACUUUUUCUAAUCCCAGAAACUUGUUUUGGACUCGUGAAACUUUUCGAGUUCGCAAACUUUUCUCAAAUCCCAUGAAGUUUUAUUUGAAGUCUUGAAUGCUUUCGAUUACACAAACUUUUUUUAAAGCCCACAAACUUUUUUCUAACUCAUGAAUCUUUUUGAGUUUGUGAACUUUUUUCAAAUUCCCGCGAACCUUUUUGAAAUCCAGAAAAAAAAUGUGAACCUUUUUCUAAUUCACGUACUCUUUUAAAUCUGCGAACAUUUUUUUAAAUCAGUAAACUUGUUUUCAAAAGCAUUCACUUUUUCUUUUUCUUUUUAAAAUACAGCUGGAAUGCAGCAGCAAAAUCUAGGGAAAAGGUGUACGUAUUUUUAUAGGUACAAAAAAGUUUACGUACGUGAGAGUUAGAGCGGCAAUUUCACGAAAAAUGUAUGUGAGAGUGAGAGCGGCAAUUUCAGAUAAAAAAAAGAAAAGACGUGUGAGAGCUGAGGGAAUGAGUUGGGCGACCGAGCGCCUCAGAAAGCACUAUUGGGCCACGGCCAGUCUAGCCCGUGUGAGCGCCGGCAUGCGUUUUCGUCUCCUGAAGCACUGAGGAGGGGUCGGGUGUCUCUUCAUAGAACCACGACGUUCAGCUAGCAGGACCUGCAUGGGCCAUCACCAUCGUGCUUCAUUUUGAGUUGUUGCACAUUAAACGACACAGUGUAUGGGUAUGGCAUGUCAAUGCCUGCAGCCCAUCAUACUGAGAAAUUUCUUCAUUCAUUUCCACACCAUAGUACAACAGAUUACAAAUCAAUUUUGGACGGGCAGUUACAUGACAAACACAUUCAUAACAAAAUCCAGAAUAAUGCUACAAGCAAACAUAUGUGAACCUCGCACUAGUAGAAAAUGGGGCAUUUGUCCCGGUUCGUAAGGGCCUUUAGUCCCGGUUCAUGAACCGGGACUAAUGGGUCGUUACUAAUAUCUCCUCCCUUUAGUCCCGGUUCAAACACGAACCGGAACAGAUGGUCCUCCACGUGGCCGGUGCACCAAGCCCAGGCAGGGGGGCCUACCAACCGGGACCAAAAGGCAUCCACGUGUCAGCAUUCCAGUGGCUGGGGUUUUUGUUUUUUUUGAAGGGGGGGUUGGGGGUUUUGGGGGGUUAAUUUAGGUGUUUCAUAUAUUAUGUUAGCUAGCUAAUUAAUAGAGAGAAGUGUCCUCUCUUAUGUCCGUGCUUGGUCGACGCUACGUACUAUAUACAUAGAGAGGCCCUCGACAUGCUAGCUAGUAAGAAAAUGAAGGGAACCAUUGAGUACAGAAGUUCGUCAUGCAUACCGAGAGAAGUGAUCGAUCGACCUCUCCUUCUUCGAGAGAUUGGUCGAACAACAAGUUUUCGUAUCAUGUAUCCAACGCUACUGGCUACAUACAUGUACAAUAUGUAAGAUCUCUUAAUUACAAUCCCCUAGCAAUUGAAAUCAACUUCCACAUGGUAUUCUCUGGCUUUAUUGAUGACGUGGUCAAGAAAGAAUCCCGCCAAUUCCUCUUGAAUUGCUUUCAUGCGAUCUGGUUCUAGGAGUUCAUUCCGCAUCUGCCACGUCUAAUUUGAAGAAGGGGGUUAAUACAUACAUAUAUAUGAAUGAAACUCAACAGAAAUGAUGGUGUAAUAAAAUAAAAUUGUGAAUAUUAUUGUUUACGCACUUCAAAUUGUCUUUCAGAGUAGCCCCGCUUGUUUUGCAAAGUCGCAUUGUGAAUGAACUCGCACACAUAGUAUCCACAGAAAUCAUUCCCUUGUUCCUGCCACAAGCACUUUACGAGAAAUAGAGGUCAAUCAAACUGAUAAUGAAGCAUUAUAAAUGGCAUUGAUGAAUAUAGCUAUAGAAUCAACGGGAGAUGCGCGCAACUAGCUAGCCAGUAGUACUUAUUUUUGGGUACGUAUAUCGCAGCUCCUUCGGUAGUCCCGGAGCUUCUGCGGUGAACUAUUCCAAACCCUGCAAGACAAAGAAAAUAAUCAUUAUUACUUGAGAUAUCAGGAAAUGAACAAAAAGUUACCGAUAUGGUGCGAUAAUGAUCGAUUGAACUUACUUGCUGAGCAAUUCAGUCAUGUCCGCAUAGGUUUCGGGAUCUUUUCGUCUUGAGUCUAAGACGGUUACUAGUCCCCGCUCAAGCUUAAUCUCCAGAAGAACAUAGUGGUACCUGUGCACGCAUGCAUAACUCAUCAAUUACAUUACUAUAACCUCGCUCGAGUAAUAAGGGAAACUGAAUAUGCACACGACAGUAACACUCACUUGCCGUUGUAAGGAAAGAGUAUGGUAUCUUUGUUUUGAUUUUUGAUCAACGAUUGUAGCAAGUUGUCCUCGGCCUCUUUGGAGUGUUUUUUAACCAGAAAUUCAUCUAUGAUAUUUGUGUUAAUGAACCCAAUAUCAUAAAUUUCUUGUUUUUUGCACUCGACGAUCUUCAAUCUGCAUAAUAUAUUGAGGAUAAUUAAUUAUAAAUACAUGCAAUGAAAGAGCCGAGCUAUAUAUAGAGACUUAAUGACAGAAAUAGUACUUACAUGCAGUAGCAAAAGACCGUUAAUUUAUCGAGGGCCUUUUGAUUGAAGAACGCGAAGAACUCAUCAAAUGGAACACACAACAGAUCACUUGAAACGAGGUCUUGCUCCUCUUUAAUGUUCAGAUACAAACUAUUCGUCCCCUCAGACUCUCUGCAGGUUUUCCUGUACCAAUUAUGGAAUCUUCGCAUCAUCGUUGUUAGAGAUUUUUCAUCUUUGACGAGAGGCUUCCCGUACUCGUAUCUGUGUUCGUCCACCUCCACGAAACAGGAAGUUGAUCGUCAGGCAGGUAAUCUUGUAGAUUGCCAUAACCGGUCACCAUCCCCGGAGCAUUAGCGACGAUGUUACCGCUAGACACAUUGAGCGGGGGGCACGAUUGGUUUGCUUGUUCGCCGAGCUGGUCCAUUUUUUCGCAGCUGCUCGUUCUCUUGACCUUAGAUGUCUGACAGUACUUCCCGACCGCUCCGCUUGGAGAUAUGUCUGUUCAGUAAUGCGCUCAUAGUUGGUUCUCGGCGGAGACUUUGCCGGUUUCCUCUGGGCAUCGAGAGUGCGCUUUGCUUUCACUGGAUCUACCUUCUCAUCCGAAGGUGGUUGUCUCUUUGCUUUCACCCCUUCAAAGAACUCCUUCACGUGGGUCCGCACGAUCGUAUCGUUUUCCUCCUUGGUCCUCUCGUACGGUAACUUCUCUAGAGGCUUGAGAGGUGGACCGUAUCUGUAUUACCUCCCGCCUCUGGUGUGCUGCUAGACGCCGGAGCAGACGGAGCGGCUAUGGCGUCUGUCUUCUUUUGUGCUUGCUUACGAGGCGGAGGAGAAGGACUACGACGCGCCGGAGCAGCCGGGGCGGCGGCAGGUCUCUUCCGCCCUUGCUGGCGAGGCGGAGAAGGAGGAGGCUGCUAGCUGAUCGGGAGCGCUGGCGCAGGCGGAGAAGGAGGCGGAGUGCCGCCACGCGCCGGAGAAGGAGGCGGAGUGCCGCCACGCGUGCCCUGAUCGUCACUCACCGGAGGAGGAGGCAGUGGAGGAGGCGGAGUGCCCUGACUCGCCGGAGGAGAAGGAGGAGGCGGAGGCGUCCAGUUCGGAAGGUUGAUGAGCUCCUUCCACCAUAGGCAUGGAGUCUUCAGAGCAGAACCCAGCCUAGUCUCCCCUUCACCGGUAGGGUGGUCAAGCAGGAGUUCCUCAAAUCCCUCCGUUAUUUCAUCCACCAUCACCCUAGCAUAUCCUUCUGGAAUCGGCCGGCAGUGAUAAGUUGCGCCGGGUCCAGUAGGAUAAACAGAGCCAACAGCCGCCUUGACCUUAAAAUUCAUCCAUCGCGUCAUAAUGUGGCAAUUUUGAUACUCCGUGAUAGCAUCCACGGGAUAGCUAGCAGGAUCCGUCAAGACAUGCUUCGGCUGAAGCAGCUCGGUGGAAGCCACGCUGCUUUUCCGCUGAGAUGGCGGGGUAGCUUCGGCGGAAGCUUCGGCAGGUCGUUUGCUGCGAUCUGCUGCUUCUCGUUCCUCUUCUCGUUCCUCUAGCCCCAUUACCCUUUCGUGCAGCUCCUGCAGUUGGCCCUGCUCCAGUUUCUUCCUCCUCUCGUGGGUUUUGUAAUCCCCUGCGUCCGGAAAACCAACCUUCCACGGAAUGGAGCCUGGCGUGCCUCAUGUCCGUCCAGGGUGCUCAGGAUUCCCGAGGGCCAUUGUGAGCUCGUCCUCCCCCUGUCUGGAACGAACGUCCCUUGCUGCGCUGCAUUGAUAUAUUGUCGAAGGUUCUUGACUAGUAUUUGUAGUUGCUCGUCCGUCCAACGGCACUUCCCUGAUACAGGGUCCAAGGUUCCGCCAGCCCCGAAGAACCAAGUCCGGCAACGGUCUGGCCAGUACAUUGUCUCUGGUUCGAUCCCUUUUUCAAGCAGAUCAUUCUCAGCCUUGGACCACUUAGGCCGGGCUUUGAGGUAGCCACCUGACCCCGUGCGAUGGUGAAGCUUCUUCUUCGCAGCAUUUUUCUUGUUUGUCGCCGACAUCUUCUUACUCUUUUCCGAUGUCUUGUGGGCCACAAAUGCGGGCCAGUGAUCUUUGAUCUUCUCAUAUUUGCCGAUGAAUUCUGGUGUCUAUUUUUUGUCGACAAACUUGUUCAGCUCUUUCCUCCACCUCCUGAAUAGGGUUGCCAUCUUCUUAAGAGCACAAGACUUGAUUAAUUACUCUUUAACUGGCUUCUCCGGAUCCUCCUCUGGCGAUAGGGUGAAAUUUGCCUUCAGCUGAGUCCAAAGAUCUUCUUUCUGCAUAUCAUUGACAUAAGACACCUUAGGGUCUUCCUCCUUAGGCUUAUACCAUUGCUGGAUGCUGAUCGGGAUCUUGUCCCUAACAAGAACCCCGCACUAAGAAGAAAAUGCGUUCUUUGUCCGGAUGGGUUCAAUCGGUUCGCCGUCGGGCGCGAUUUCUCUGAUCUCAAACCUUUCAUCCGAGCUCAACUUUUUCUUUGGGCCUCGUCUCCUUACCGAAGUUGUGCUCGAUCCGAAGGGCUAGAAAUUAAAAGGAAGAAAGACGAGAGUAAUUAAUAUGUGUACAUAUACCAAAACAAUGGAUGCAUCAAUUAACUAGUCAGCACGGGCUUAACUAAUAUAUAUAUAUACUUGGCCGGACUCGGUUCGGUCACCGGAGCAGUCAGCACGGUCUCCUUCUUGUACCUCCAUUGUGUCACCGGAGCCAUCAUGAACAUAGCCCUCUUCUUGUACCGGCAUUAAUGGGCCGAAGCCAUCAUGAACAUAGCCCUCUUCUUCACCCAGUCCUUCCUGACCAUCGGUGCCAUUGAGAAAUGACGCAACUUCAUCACUUCCUUGUGCGAUUAUGUCCCCCAACAUCGCUUAUGUUGCUUCGCCUCAGGAGUGCUCCAUAGUUUCUGCAAAUAUUUACAACAUGUCAAUUAUUAUUCAAACAUGGUACAGAUGGAUAUAUAUAUAUAUUAGUGGCAAACAUAGAACUAGCUAGCUAAUCACAAUAAAUAAUCAUGUGAGUGGCCUCGACGCUGCUUCUCUAGGGUUUGGGGUCGCCUCGACACAACGCUUCAAGGGUUUGGGGUGGCCUCGACGACAACGCUCUUUUAACUUGGUAAAUUUGGGUGGCCUCGAGAGAGUUAAUUUGUCGGGUAGGGGCGCGGCGGGAGGGGGUAGGAGACCAACAUCGUUUUCUCUCUAGGGUUUGGGUGUCCUCGAGAGUUUUGGUCGAGCGAGAGGGCCGAGGGGGGUGCUGCCGUUGUAUAAGUUAUCACGGUCGAGAGGGGGUAUAUAUAUCGAUCGCCCCUCAUGUCGAAGUUAUCUCGAGGGGGUUAUAUCGACAACGACGCGACAUACAUAUACAUGGAAAAAUAAUGUUAUCGGGGAGGGGGUAUCGGUAUUUAUUUCUUCUCUUUUUCUUCUUUUUUCCUCUUCUUAUUUAUUUCUUCUCUUCUUCCUCUCCUCUUCUUCUCCUUUCUUCCUCUUCUUAUUUUCCCUUUUCCUCUCAUUCUUUUUCUUCUUCUUCUUCCUUCUUCCUUCUUCCUUUUUUCUUCCUUUUCCUUAUUUUACUUUCUCCUCUACACUAACCUAAAAUGCACUAACCUAAAAUCGAUAUCUACUAACAACCUAAAUAAAAAAUUAAUACAUAUAUGAAAAAACAUACAUAAACAAAAAAAAUGCUAUGAACAUUAUAUUCAAACAUACAUAUAUAGCCACAUCCAUUCAUCAUAUAUAUAGCUAGCACAUACAUAUAUACAUUAUAUAUAUGAACAGAAUGCAAUGAACAAAAAAAAUACACUUAUGAAAAAAAUGCUAUGGAAAUUNNNNNNNNNNNNNNNNNNNNNNNNNNNNNNNNNNNNNNNNNNNNNNNNNNNNNNNNNNNNNNNNNNNNNNNNNNNNNNNNNNNNNNNNNNNNNNNNNNNNNNNNNNNNNNNNNNNNNNNNNNNNNNNNNNNNNNNNNNNNNNNNNNNNNNNNNNNNNNNNNNNNNNNNNNNNNNNNNNNNNNNNNNNNNNNNNNNNNNNNNNNNNNNNNNNNNNNNNNNNNNNNNNNNNNNNNNNNNNNNNNNNNNNNNNNNNNNNNNNNNNNNNNNNNNNNNNNNNNNNNNNNNNNNNNNNNNNNNNNNNNNNNNNNNNNNNNNNNNNNNNNNNNNNNNNNNNNNNNNNNNNNNNNNNNNNNNNNNNNNNNNNNNNNNNNNNNNNNNNNNNNNNNNNNNNNNNNNNNNNNNNNNNNNNNNNNNNNNNNNNNNNNNNNNNNNNNNNNNNNNNNNNNNNNNNNNNNNNNNNNNNNNNNNNNNNNNNNNNNNNNNNNNNNNNNNNNNNNNNNNNNNNNNNNNNNNNNNNNNNNNNNNNNNNNNNNNNNNNNNNNNNNNNNNNNNNNNNNNNNNNNNNNNNNNNNNNNNNNNNNNNNNNNNNNNNNNNNNNNNNNNNNNNNNNNNNNNNNNNNNNNNNNNNNNNNNNNNNNNNNNNNNNNNNNNNNNNNNNNNNNNNNNNNNNNNNNNNNNNNNNNNNNNNNNNNNNNNNNNNNNNNUGCCACCAACCGGGACCAAAGGCCCCUGUGCUGCCCACAUCGGGGCCAAAGUUUAGUCCCACCUCGCUAGUUGAGAGGGGCGUGCAGUGGUUUAUAAGCCCCACUGUCGCACCCCUCUCGAUCUCCUCUCCAUCGUAGGCUUGCGGGCCUAUUUGCUACUGCUUUGCCUGAUGGGCCUUCUGGACCUACUGCGGGCCUGAAUCCUGGUCCAUGGUAGGGUUUCUAGUCGUAUUUAGGCCGUGGCCCAGUAGGAGGCAUUUUUUUUUGUUUUCUUUACUUAUUGUUGCUAUUUUUAUUUUUUUUCCAGUUUUUUUGUUUUAUUUUCUGCAUUAUUUAUUUUCUUUUGUUUUUUGCUUUAUUUUUUAAUUCUUUUUUGCUUUUAGUUUUAGGAAAAUUAUAAACUUUCUGUUAGUGCCAUUAGUUUUCAAAUUUGAAAACACUUUUUCUGUUUUUUUGUUUUCUUUCUUGCUUUAUUUAUUUUAUUUUGUUUCUACUUACAACAAAAUACUUAUUGUUGCUAUUUUUAAUUAUUACGAGGGCCAAACCAUAAGACAUUAAAGCAUUUCAAAUGAACUCUGGAAAAGUUGAAAGUUGGCAUGGUAUCAUAAAUUCACCCACAUAGCAUGUGCAUGUACAAAACGGACAAUGGUAUCAUACUCGUCUGUUACAAAGUUGGCAUGGUAUCAUCAUAAUAGUUCCGAGAGAAAGUCUUCACUUUUUCUUCGCUUGUGUCAUUUGCUUAUUGCGCCGUAACCAUGGAUAAUCUUCAUCGUUUAUCAGGAUGCUGGGGUCAGCCUUGACUUUGAAGGGAGGAAUUUCAUGAAACUUUUCAUAAUCUUCAGACAUGUCUGUCUUGUCCUCCACUCCCACGAUGUCCCUUUUUCCUGAAAGAACUAUGUGGCGCUUUGGCUCAUCGUAUGAUGUAUUCGCUUCCUUAUCUUUUCUCUUUCUCGGUCUGGUAGACAUGUCCUUCACAUAGAUAACCUGUGCCACAUCUUUGGCUAGGAUGAACUGUUCGUCAGUGUACCCAAGAUUUUCCAGAUCCACUGUUGUCAUUCCAUACUGUGGGUCUACCUGUACCCCGCCUCCUGACAGAUUGACCCAUUUGCACUUAAACAAAGGGACCUUAAAAUCAUGUCCGUAGUCAAGUUCCCAUAUAUCCACUAUGUAACCAUAAUAUGUGUCCUUUCCCCUCUCGGUUGUUGCAUCAAAGCGGGCACCGCUGUUUUGGUUGGUGCUCUUUUGAUCUUGGUCAAUUGUGUAAAAUGUAUUCCCAUUUAUCUCGUAUCUUUUCCAAAUCGUAACAGUCGAAGAUGGUCCCCUGGACAACAAGUACAGCUCAUCACAAACAGUGUUGUCACCUCUGAGACGUGCUUCCAACCAACUGCUGAAAGUCCUGAUGUGUUCACAUGUAAUCCAGUCGUCGCACUGCUCCGGGUGUUUGGAGCGCAGACUGUUCUUGUGUUCAUCGACAUAUGGGGUCACCAAGGUAGAGUUCUGUAGAACUGUGUGGUGUGCUUGAGACCAAGAAUAUCCGUCCCUGCAUAUUAUUGAGUCCCUUUCAAGCGUGCCUUUUCCAGUCAGUCUCCCCUCAUACCGCGAUUUAGGGAGACCUAUCUUCUUAAGGCCAGGAAUGAAGUCAACACAAAACCCGAUAACAUCCUCUGUUUGAUGGCCCAUGGAGAUGCUUCCUUCUGGCCUAGCGUGGUUACGGACAUAUUUCUUUAGGACUCCCAGGAACCUCUCAAAGGGGUACAUAUUGUGUAGAAACACGGGGCCCAGAAUAACAAUCUCGUCGACUAGAUGAACUAGGACGUGCGUCAUGAUAUUGAAGAAAGAUGGUGGGAACACCAGCUCGAAACUGACAAGACAUUGCACCACAUCACUCCUUAGCCUUGGUAUGAUUUCUGGAUCGGUCACCUUCUCAGAGAUUGCAUUGAGGAAUGCACAUAGCUUCACAAUGGUUAAUCAGACUUUUUCCGGUAGAAGCCCCCUCAAUGCAACCGGAAACAGUUGCGUCAUAAUCAAGUGGCAGUCAUGAGACUUUAGGUUCUGGAACUUUUUCUCUGCCAUAUUUAUUAUUCCCUUUAUAUUCGACGAGAAGCCAGUCGUGACCUUCAUACUAAGCAAGCAUUCAAAGAAGAUUUCCUUCUCUUCUUUGGUAAGAGAAUAGCUAGCAGGACCUUCAUACUGCUUUGGAGGCAUGCCGUCUUUUUCGUGCAAACGUUGCAGGUCCUCCCGUGCCUCAGCUAUAUCUUUUGUCUUCCCAUACACGCCCAAGAAGCCUAGCAGGUUCAUGCAAAGGUUCUUCGUCACGUGCAUCACGUCGAUCGAAGAGCGGACCUCUAGGUCUUUCCAGUAGGGUAGGUCCCAAAAUAUAGAUUUUUUCUUCCACAUGGGUGCGUGUCCCCCAGCGUCACUCGGAACAGCUAGUCCACCGGGACCCUUUCCAAAGAUUACGUGUAAAUCAUUGACCAUAGCAAGUACGUGAUCACCGGUACGCAUGGCGGGCUUCUUCCGGUGAUCUGCCUCGCCUUUGAAAUGCUUGCCUUUCUUUCGACAUUGAUGGUUGGUCGGAAGAAACCGACGAUGGCCUAGGUACUCAUUCUUCCUGCAGCUUCCCAGGCAUAUACUAUCGAUGUCAAGUAAACAGUGCAUGCAUGCGUGGUAUCCCUUGUUUGUCUGUCCUGAAAGGUUACUGAGAGCGGGCCAAUCGUUGAUGGUCACGAACAACAACUCCUUUAGGUCAAAUUCCUCCUGUUUGCGCUCAUCCCACGUACGUACACCGUUUCCAUUCCACAGCUGUAAAAAUUCUUCAACUAAUGGCCUUAGGUACACAUCAAUGUCGUUGCCGGGUUGCUUAGGGCCUUGGAUGAGAACUGGCAUCAUAAUGAACUUCCGCUUCAUGCACAUCCAAGGAGGAAGGUUAUACAUACAUAGAGUCACAGGCCAGGUGCUGUGAUUGCUGCUCUGCUCCCAGAAAGGAUUAACGCCAUUCGCGCUUAAAGCAAACCAUACGUUCCUUGGGUCACUUGCAAACUCAUCCCAGUACUUUCUCUCGAUUUUUCUCCACUGCGACCUGUCAGCGGGUGCUCUCAACUUCCCGUCUUUCUUACGGUCCUCACUGUGCCAUCGCAUCAACUUGGCAUGCUCUCCAUUUCUGAACAGAUGUUUCAACCGUGGUAUUAUAGGAGCAUACCACAUCACCUUCGCAGGAACCCUCUUCCUGGGGGGCUCACCGUCAACAUCUCCAGGGUCAUCUUGUCUGAUCUUAUACCGUAAUGCACCGCAUAUCGGGCAUACGUUCAGAUCCUUGUACGCACCGCGGUAGAGGAUGCAGUCAUUAGGGCAUGCAUGUAUCUUCUGCACCUCCAAUCCUAGAGGGCAUAUGACCUUCUUUGUUGCGUAUGUACUGUCGGGCAAUUCGUUAUCCUUUGGAAGCUUCUUCUUCAAUAUUUUCAGUAGCUUCUCAAAUCCUUUGUCAGGCACAACAUUCUCUGCCUUCCACUACAGCAAUUCCAGUACGGUACCGAGCUUUGUGUUGCCAUCUUUGCAAUUGGGGUACAACCCUUUUUUGUGGUCCUCUAACAUGCGAUCGAACUUCAGCUUCUCCUUUUGACUUUCGCAUUGCGUCCUUGCAUUGACAAUGACCCGGCGGAGAUCAUCAUCAUCGGGAACAUCGUCUGGUUCCUCUUGAUCUUCAGCAGCUUCGCCCGUUGCAGCAUCAUCGUGCACAUUGUCUGGUUCCUCUUGAUGUUCAGUAGCAUCACCGUAUUCAGGGGGCACAUAGUUGUCAUCGUACUCUUCUUCUUCACCGUCUUCCAUCAUAACCCCUAUUUCUCCGUGCCUCGUCCAAACAUUAUAGUGUGGCAUGAAACCCUUGUAAAGCAGGUGGGUGUGAAGGAUUUUCCGGUCAGAGUAAGACUUCGUAUUCCCACAUAUAGGGCAUGGACAACACAUAAAACCAUUCUGCUUGUUUGCCUCAGCCACUUCGAGAAAAUCAUGCACGCCCUUAAUGUACUCGGAGGUGUGUCUUGAACCGUACAUCCAUUGCCGGUUCAUCUGCGUGCAUUACAGAACAUCAUGAAUAGAUAAUUAAGUGACCAAAUUAAUAGAAGUUCAUCAUCACGUUAAAACCAAAGUACAUACAUAGUUCUCAUCUAACAACAUAAAGCUCUGCAGAGCAUCUAAAUUAAUUGAACCAUACAUUGAAACUAUGUAAAACAUUUCAAUGCGAAAACAAAUGCGAUAAUCGCAACCAAUGUAACAACUGAUCUAACGGCAUAAUGAUACCAAGUCUCGGUAUGAAUGGCAUAUUUUCUAAUCUUUCUAAUCUUCAAGCGCAUUGCAUCCAUCUUGAUCUUGUGAUCAUCGACGACAUCCGCAACAUGCAACUCCAAUAUCAUCUUCUCCUGCUCAAUUUUUCUUAUUUUUUCCUUCAACAAAUUGUUUUCUGCUUCAACUAAAUUUAACCUCUUGACAAUAGGGUCGUUGGAAUUUUCGGUUCAACAACCUCCUAGAUAAAUAAAAUCUAUGUCACGUUGGUCGGCAUAAUUGUCAUAAACAAUAAAUGAACCAAUAGUUAUGAAAAGAUAAUAUAUACCACAUCCGAAUCAUAGACAGGACGAGGGCCGACGGGGGCUGGUACCAAAACCAUCGCACUAUAUAAGAUGCAAUAAUAAAAGUAAGAAAAUUAUACAAGUAUCUAUAUAAACAUACAAGUAAGAAUUUUUUCUUUCUUUCAGAAAGAAGAUAAGAACAAGAGGCUCACCACGGUGGUGCCGACGACGAGAUCGGCGCGGGCGAUCGACGGCGGUGAAGACGGGGACGGGACGUGACGGACCGCUAAACCUAGACAAAUAUUGAGGAAAAUGGAGCUUGGAGGUCGAGCUUGGAGAGGAGAAAGCUUAAGUAGUGUGGCUCGGGCAUUCCAUCGAAUACCUCGUGUGCAUAGGAGGUGAGCUAGAGCACCACAAAGCUCUCUCCUCGCCGGCCACGAAAAACAGAGCAGUGGGAGUGCUCUGCUCGCGGGCAAGGGGUAUAUAUAGGCAAUUAAUUGGUCUCGCUUCGUGGCUUGAACCGGGACUAAAGGGAAGCCUUUGGUCCCGGUUCAGGCCACCAACCGAGACCAAUGGUGGUGGGCCAGGAGCGAGUCACAUUGGUCCCGAUUCGUCCCACCAACCGGGACCAAAAGGUCCAGGCGAACCAGGAUCAAUGGCCCACGUGGCCCGGCCGGCCCCCAGGGCUCACGAACCGGGUCAAAUGCUCCCAUUGGUCCCGGUUCUGGAUUGAACCGGGACUAAUGGGCUGACCUGGCCUGAACCAUUGCCCCCUUUUCUACUAGUGUCAAGCUGCCUUCACAAAAACCGACAAUGCUUCUGCUUACUACAGGAACAGAGAAACAUACUCUUUGUCUAAACUCAGAAACUGAAAGAUAUCUCGAGACCAUUGGGGGCAGGUCAAUCACUGUGAGGCUGACCAACAUUAUACGCACCAACAGCAGGAUGAAGGAUUUUCUCUGGGCACACUCCGCAGCCACCAAACUUUUUUGACUCAACUACACAUGUAAAUAAAGACAUAAACGUAAGCACCACAAAUCCCCAAACAAUUAUUAAAAAAAAAUUGCAAGCUAUGAGUGAAAAACUUCUAUCAAGGAGCACACAUGAAUCGAUCUUCAUGUAUGAAGCAUAGGACAAGUCGUUUCGAUCAAUCUUUAGCUUAGUAAAGAAGUACUUGGGCAACACAGUUGUUGGCACCUUUGCGCCUAGUAAGGAAGUGCGCGUGCAGCCACAUACCACAGAACACAAACGGAUAGACGUCCACUCCCUUAACUAGCUCUAACCGGCAAUGGUUUUUCUUUAUUUGUACUAAACUUUUGUAUUUCAACAUAACUUUUUAUGUGAAAUAUAUAUUAUUUUUUAACAAUAAGUUUCUUAUUCACGUGUGGUUCACUGUAUUGUCUAAUAUUUUUUUUCUGUUAUAACCAUGUAAGUGUGUUCUACAUAUUAAGAUACCUUAUAUUAGUAUAUGAUUCUUUUGUUCGCGGUUAUAAGUACAAUUUUUAUGAUAAACUCUAAGUGCACCCGGUCAUACCAAUACUUAAGUUUUCUAAUUUAGUUUGAAAUAAAAAUUGCGCUGAGUUUCACCAUAAAUACAAGCAAAGCAAGAAAAAUCACAAUCCCCCACACAUGAAUAUAUGCCACUUAAUGAAUUGUGACAUGUUUAUAUAUGGUUGUAUUUGUAGUGUCCUUAACUACAUCGGGUGUGUUUGAAAACAAAAGAGUAACAAAUACGUUGAGAGUGGUCUCUAGAGUGUUAGGCUGUCAACCGAGAUACUAUUAAACAAGGGUGUGGAAGGUUCAAAAAGAGGUAUGUCGAAUGUGGAAGUGUUUGCUUCUUGGUUCUUCCAUGGACACCUAUGUCGUUCCUCUUCACAGGCAUAUAACAACCGGCCAAUGGCCCAUCAAUACACAUUUAUUGUUGUAUUCCUAUUUUAUUUUUUUCUUAUCAAGUUCACAAGAUUAGUUAAAGCUCUUUACAGGAAAAGCUCCCAGAAUUAACAAUAAUAGUAAUAAUUGAACCUAGCGACCUUGAAAAUGUAUGUGGUCUUACUUCUUUUAGAAUCUUCAAAUAAUAUGCAUGUUAGAGCAUCUCCAAUCAUCCCAGUCGUUUAGCCUGCAUGAGAUUUAUUCCCAAUCCAAAGGUUGGCAUCCUAUAUACCUAAAUAGUUGAUCCCAACUAACUUCACUUCUCUCAGCAUGCAACUAUGUCACCUCAUCAUGCCAUCAUGCAUGACCUAAAUGAUUGAUCCUCCAGUAUCUUUAAUUCUUUUAACAUGCAAAUAUGCCACAUCACGCCAUCAUGCAUGCAUGAGAAAAGACCCAAAUGAAAAUGCACCAUGCAUACUACUCAUAUUUAAUAGAUAUUCUACAACUAUAGAAUAAGGAAAUAUAAUACUAGAUAUUAGUUUCAAUUCACAUAUUGUUAGUUCAAAUAUGAAUGCUUCAUACAAAUUUUCUUGAGAGAAAACACCCAAGGGCAUCUUAGAGCCGAGAAUUAUCAAGGAAAACAUAGUCAGCACGAUGGGAAGACAAAUGGACGCAGAAUGACCAGUAAACAAUAAAAUUACAUUAAAAACCAUACUAGCAUUCUUCUUCCUCUGAUUGUAUGCCGCCCGCCGGAGAUUGAAAAUUGCACUGAACUAAUAGUAAAGGAAAGGGACACAUGCAAGCACUCUUGCCAUACCAGGCUUUAAAGGCCGCAAUAGCCAAUUGUUCCUUGAAACCAUAUUUAGAAAUUGCUGAAGAAACAUCGGCUAGAGGAAAUAUGUAGUUCGAGGGGGGGAAUUCCCACGGUUGGGAGGUUUAAUCGUAGCUAGGGGAAUAUGUAACAACGGUCUUCACCUAGUCUUCUCUCCUCUACAUUAGUUGGUAAAGAUAGGAUCUAAACCUCUCUUGCAUCUUGAUAGUGAUCCUGUGCAUGUACGUAGGUACGAGUAAAAGAAUAUUCUUUGUACUAUGUUCCCUAACAAUAGCCAGCCAAUUAAUCUCCUUGAUAAGACACACCAACUGCCAAAAUCCGAAGAAUGGCAACAGAUCUGGCAACACAAACUUUUGUAUGCUCUUUGUCAAUGCCGGAUCAGACAUCGCCGAGGUAGGUAGAUGUUAAAGAGACCUUAUUCCAACACGUCAUUGUUGCCGUCACAACCUCGUCGAUGCCGCUAUGAAAACAAAACAUAAAGAAAAGAAAAAUGAGACAGAAGGGUCCCACUCCUCUUGUCACCAUCGAGGUCGCUGGAUGGAGGAGAGGAGGGGGACCGAGGCGGCGACAUGGAGAAGACCUUUGGUGCUGGCGGCUAGGGUUGGCAAUAGGAGGUGGGCAAAAAAGCUUCGUCCUUCUUACCUCUCGAGAAGUAAGAGUUUUAAAUUUAAGUGAAUUCUCAAUGCUUAUUAUUUGCCCAAGUGUCCUUAAAAUGGUACCACCUCCGUCCAGAAUUACUUGUCGCUCAUGUAUCUAGCACUAAAAUACGACUAGAUACAUCCAUUUGAGCAACAAGUGCAUUGGACGUGGCUUAAAGUUUUUUUUUGCGGUAUUGAUUGCCGACAAAGAUAGUUUGACAGUACUAUUUCGAAGACGAAAUUAACAACCACAAGAUACUAUUUUCUUAGACUUAGCUCCACCUGGUAUAGUUGCUAGUACUACUUUGAGAAUUGCUUUAUUCUUAUGGUUAUUUGCAUAUUAUUCUACAUCGACACAUUCAUGGAGAAACAAGCAGUGAUUUCAAAUCCAGAGGUGCCGAUGCAACAUCGUCUGGAAAAAACGAGUCCAACAAAGGAACCCCGUAUGCCACUUGGGUCAGAUAAAGAAAGAACAAUGCUAUUCUUAUAAAAAAUAAAACCGUACGCAGUAGUUCAAUGUGCUGUCAGUUAUUCUUCAGACGCCAAUGCGACCCUACCAAUGGGUUAUCCCCCAAUUCUCUAGUGCUACAUCAUUACAUCAGGCAUUGCAAAAGCAGAAUAGCUAAUGACUUACACUGCAGAAUGCAUUAUAGACAUGAAAUGCAUCGUCGUCACGGCAUAGGUGUUCGGCGACAACCAACCAAACCAAAGACAAAACAAAUAAUCUACUGCGGGGAACAAGCUCUGAACUCCCAGUUUUAACAAGGGUUUGGGGCUCAUCUCCUCGGGACACAUCUCUGAUAGUCAUCUUACUGUACAGGCUGACGAGCGUCCACCUUCUCACGCUCAACCUCCUGCAGCCGUUCGUACGCAUUAUCUCUUCAAUCAUCUGGAGCUCAGUCUUCAUGAUAUGGGCUUUCUCCAUGACCUUCAAUCAUUAAAGUGCUAUCUCAGCCUUCACUAGUAGCUGACUCAUCAAAGUCCAGUUUCAGACUUCACUAUCUGAUUUAACAACUAACCUGCAUAAACUAGAAAAUCCUUCUGCUACCAUAUAGUAACAGACGCAGAUUUUAACACUCAAACACUCAGAAACCAAAUGAUAUCUGUAGACCAGUGGGAGCAGGCUGAAGACGUCGUUCAGGCCGGGCACCAAUGUAGCCACCACCAGCGGGAUGGACAAAUGUUGCCGGGCACACUCCACAUCCGCCAAAGUUCUUCCAGUCAACUACAGGUGUGUAUAAUUAAGGAAAUAAAUACAAUUAGCACCACAACAAAGCCUUAAAGAAUUUAUCAAAAUAAAUUUUCAAGCUACACAAGUUAGCACACCUGAGUCAAACUUGGAGCAUGAAACGCACGAGAGACCAUCUGCAUCGAUUGUCAGCUCAGCAAAGAAGUACUUGGGAACAAGAUCAUCACAGCUGCUACUGGCACCUUUACGCCUAGCAAGAAAAUUUGCAUGCAGCCACGGACCACAGUAGCAAAAGCUUUUGACGCCCACUGCGUCAACCAGCUCAUGCCCAUCCCCCUAAAAUAUUAUAACAAACAAACAUAAGAGGGUGCUCACAAGAUGGAUAUAUUUGUAAAUGCUGAAUGACCACACGGUCACAAAGUGGUACACUAUGCACUGUUUAUAAACUCCAGUAAGAUCAGAACCUGAUUCAUGUCGUUGUAGCGUUCCAAACCCUUGCGCGCACAUGCUGGGGCGUUCCAAAGUUCAGCUCGCUUAAGUUGCUUCUUGGAUAAGCGUGGCUGAUCCAGCUUAAUUUCCCUGAAGAGCACAAGCGUCAACAUCACGCAUAUUUCGUGAUUUCAAAUGUCCAUCAAUUAACAACUAGUAUGAUUCAAUAAAUACUGAACGCUAUUGUCACACUGAAGAAAAUCUGACAGAAAGGAAUACAAGCGCCAGGUGAAAAAAAAAA